AUUUCACAAGUACAUGGCUGAGAGCAGUCGUUCCGGAAUGCCGACAUCCUCGGCAUCGAGCAAUUAAGCAUCACCUUUCCCUAAAAGUUAUAUUUGACACCUGGAAAACUAAAGGAGUUGAGUGAGCUCUGCUCGAUUGGUAUUUGUAGUUUCUUUUUUUUUUUCCUCAAGUGAUGUGGCAUGUAUCAAUUAGUUUGUAAAGUUAUUGUAUUGUCUCAAGUCCGGUGAGAUGCGCGAUAGAAUGGAUCACAAACUCAUUUCAUAGAAUAUUUUUUUUGUAUAAUUAUAUAAUUUAUAGGCUAUGCUUAAAAUUUUUUUUUUUUUAAAAUUGUAUUACAAUUGGUAUGAGGCAUGCUUGUGUGUGUCAUAUCAGUUGCUGAACAAACUUUGGCUUUUAGUUUUGUAGGCACUACCAUCUCAAAUUCUCUGUUAUCAUGAAUGGGUAUUUUUUUUUCUUUUUUCUUUUUUAACAAAUCAUAAAUGAGAUUAAGAUAAUCUUUUUUUUUUUUAAAAAAUGGAGAUUUCUUUUAUUUUUCCUUAAAAAACUGAAGAAAAAUUUAGAAGGUAGUGAGAGACGGAGAAUUAAAGCCAUUUUAUUCACAAAUGUAAUGUGCUUGGUGUAUCAAUACAAACUAAUAAAUUAUAAUUUGUGAGACUAGUUUACUGAAUCUUAUAUAUAAAAUUAUAUCAUCUGAAUAAAAAUCUUCUCACCUCUUUUGACUUCUCAUUUAGAUGCCCUCUCUAGGAUCUCUCCAGCGAUAAACACAUUUUUACAAAACAAAACAGAAAAAAAAAUUAUAUGUAAUUGUCACAAGGACUAUUUCAUUUGCACAUAGUACGCAAUUGGUCACUAAAGUUAUUUAAGGAGAAAAUUUACAUGAGAUUGGUACAUCCUAUUAUCAGUAUUUUAGUUUAAAUUUGAACAUACUAGAAUGGUCUGUCAUAAAUUUUUCUCCAAUUUGAGAGAUGGUGGGGGAGUGGGGUUAAAGUGCAUCUACAUAGGAUUAAUUAUAAUUAAAUUUAUUUUUUAAAACUAUUUUAACUAAAAGUAGUAGUAAUUCUUUUUUGGGUAGGGCUAUAUGCACUCUAAAAAUUAAUCUAAACACUCAUAUUUUUAUAAAAAAAUUUAUUACAAAAAUACUCAUGAUAUAAAUUACUAUUAAGGACACUUUAUUAUGAGCAUAUAUAAUAUUAUUACUCUGAACACUCAUUUAGGGCACUAAAAUUAAUAUUUAGUUUUCUUACCAUUUUAAACCCUUAAAUUUUUUUCUUUCAAAUACUUGAAAAAAUUAUUUAAAGAGGAAAUUCAAUAUAUGAAGAUUUUAACUUUAAUUAGGUAUGUGUGAUUCUUUUGAUUUUUUAGUUUACAACAUAAAGAAUUUUAACAAACUCUGAAUCAUUCUUCCUUUACUUCUGAAUUUUCUGGCAUUCAAUUGGAGAUGGAAAUGGCAUCGCAGCUGUGCUGAAGAAGAUCGUCAUAAGGGUCCCUUCUGCCAAGCACCUACUCUUAAUCAUUCUUCCUUAUCCCUCUCUUUUAGAACAUGAUUAUUAAAAUUUAAGCACGUAAUAUUUAUUAUUAAAAGAAAAACCAUGCAACGCAGAAACAUGGGGCCGACAUAUCACAUAUGCUAUGAGAAGUCAGAACAUGAUUACUUUGUCUUUGAUCACGAUCUUUUAGUUGUUCCAGGUAUUGUGCUUAUAAUCUUUUAUUAGUUUAUUAAUUUUGUAGAGUUGCAGGUAUUGUGCUUAUAAUCAUGGCCGACUUAUCACGUAUGAGGGUUAUUAGUUUAUUAAUUUUGUGGAGUUGUAAAUGCUUGAGAACUGAAAUUUUUUGAUUUUGUAUAGCAUUUUCAUGACUGUGGAGUAAAUAAAGAUAAUUAAUUCAAGAAGGAUAAAGUGAGGACUUUUUUGAUAUUUUAAAGAGUGUACAAAGUAUAAUUUAUUUUUUUUGAAUUAAUAGAUGAGUGUAUAUAGUAAUAGAGUGUUGAGAGUACUUUAUAGAGUGUAUAUAACCCCACCCUUCUUUUUAUUAUUGUUAUUCCAAUUAUAUCAAAAUCUAGUGACUUGUGAUCAAAUUAAGUAGUUCAUUAAUUUUUUUAGGUGACGUAUGGUAUGGAGUUUUUAUAAAUCUAUAUAGAUAGUAAAAUAUUUAAUUUUGCUUGUAGUAAACUUUUAAUUUGCAUGGGUUAAAAAAGAAAAAAAGAAAUUGACUUAUGAAUUAAUUAACAAUUAUGGAAAGAAUAAAUAGAAAAUUAUAGUUGCGUGAGAAAACUCUCGUGAAAAGGGUUCCAGAUUUCCUUUCCCUGGCUUCGUGCGUUUCCUGUUUUCCCUUUCGAGCACGAAUUCGAAUCCAAUACUUAAUAAUAAGGAUAUAAUAUUAUUAUAAUACUAAUAAUUAACAUUAAAAUAUUAAAAAUAAGGAAAAAACAAUCCAAAUUUUUACUGGUAUAUAAUAUAACGCAGGGCCAAAGCGAUAGCGAAACAUCAAAUUGUUUCUGUUUCAACUAAACUUUGCAUGCAUUAUUAUUUUAUUUUUGUUAUUCAUUCACACAUCCUUCUUUUCUUUUCUCUUUUGCUGUAAUUUUUUAUGAAACACUCUUCUGUUUCUGGUUUUGUUUCAGUUUAAUAUUAUUGGUUCGGUUCUGUUCUGCUCUGUUCUACGUCGUAUGUAUAUAUGUAUAUAUUUUUGGCCUCGAAUUGCUUUGAUCACCGGUUUUGUUAUUCAUUUAUCGUGAAUUUUAGAUGACUUGUUUGGCCAUGUAUUCACUGUAUUGUUACAUUCAGCUGCCAUUUUCAUGGGGGGUUUGUAAGAUGGUCUCUGACUAACAUUUGGCAUUGAUUAUGAAUGAUGGUUUUGUGAGAUACAUCAUCCAGAUGUUAACUCCUAUUAAUAUGUACUUACUUCAUUCAAAAGAUUAGUGUUUUUCUUUUCUUUUUUAAUUUGAAAUGCCCCUCUUCGCAUUUUAUAGGUGAAAGGAAGGAACAUAAUAUCGCAGAACUAGAAUAAAGGGUCCUAUUCUGGUACCUAUCGUCCAAGGAAGCUUCUGUAUGUUCAUUAGGAACUACCAUGGAAGUCAAAUCUUACCAGAGCCAGGCGGAGUCAUUGCUGAAGGAAUAUAUAUUAGCAGAUCCAUUUGUCCCGUACACUUCAAUUGUUGGUAGCAUUUUUGCUUGCAAGAUGGUAUGUUUUUCAUCGUUACUGCAUGCUGAUAUUUACAAGAAAAUAUUUUGAAUGCGUCGUUUUUUAUCUAUAAGAAUGUGUUCCUUUUCAGGUCUAUGAUCUUGCCCAAUUGAUUAGUGCUGAUAACUUUAAAUGUUAUUCCAGUUUCUCCAACAUACAGCGGGUUGAGUGGAGUAACAGGUGAUUGAAUAUUUUCAUGUAGUUCAAUUGUCAUUUCUUUUUCAAUCGGUAAAGUUUAAUCAUUUCUCUUAAAUCGACAACUUAUGCAGGGCCAUAUCAACCGCCCGUGCCAUUUUUAUUACAGCUAUGUCUUUGUAGUUCGUGUUUUGGUCGGAUCUCAGAGUUUGUGCAUAGCACACUUGGUUCUACUGUUUGUUUGUCCCUUCAUAGACAUUUCGAUAAACUGUUAUUUUUGUUCUUUGGAAGUGAAUAUUUUCAGCAACUAGAACUCCGAAGCAUCUGGAGUGAUCCAAGUGUGAUGUGCAUGCCUUGUGCGAUUCCCGCAAUUGGCUUGGCGGGUGAGUUCACAUCCUUCAUUGUGCCUCCUUCCUUGGUGGCCUUGAGGCCUAAGCGCUUGGCCUCGUCUACGGACACGAAAUUGUGUGUUGCUCCCGUGUCUAGCAGCGCGCGAACGGACUGACCGUUUACCUUUGCGCUUACAUACAUGAGUCCUUUCUUGACGAGUGCGGGCUGUUGGCGAUUGAGUGCGCCGAGGCGUUGGAGAGAACCCAUGCUGAGUUGGGGUUCCUCCGUGGACAUUGCGGGGUUGCUCUUGAGUUGGGCAGCAAGAGCAUUAAGCGACCUCUUCUCUGGACAGUCGCGUACCCAAUGAGGACCAUUGCAUAUGAAGCAUGGGCUUCGCGGCUUUGGCGCCUCCUUCUUGCCCUCCGAUUUUCCUUGCCAACUCUUGUUGCUAGGCGGCUUUUUCUGCCCCCAAUCUUUGCGGUUGUUGCCCUUGUCCUUGCGACUCUCUCCCCCACCUUUGCCUUGGUUGGCCUUUUUGUCCUUGGAUUGGGUAGAGUAUUCGGUGAGCGACUCCGCAACGGCAAUGGCGUCGUUAAGUGUUUGAACACCACGCCUAUCAAGCUCGGUCUUGGCCUAAUCCUUGAGGCCAUCUUGGAAGUAGAAGAGUGAAUCCUUGUCGGACAUGUCGCUUAUCUCUAACAUGAGGGUAGUGAACUCGUUGAUGUAGUCCCGAAUGCUACCCGAUUGCUUGCGGCGACGUAAGCGCACUCGCGCUUCCUUCUCCGCAUUGCUUGGGGCGAACUGCUUUCGGAGUUCUUGCUUGAAGUCGGCCCAAGUGUCGAUGGCGCAAAUGCCCUUGCCCAUCUCGCCAUGCUUGCGACGCCACCAUAGUUGUGCAGCGCCUCUAAGAUAGGUGGGUGCAGUGCCCACUUUCGAUGCCUCAUCUCGGACACCCAUGGCAUCGAAGUAUUGAUCCAGCCCAAAGAGGAAAUUGUCCACGAUGGUGGCAUUGCGUGUGCCAUCGUAGGUGUCGGGCUUUGGCACGUCAAUGCGGCGCGCAUCACUCGAGUUUGCGGAAGCUGGACUUGUGGAGAGUGUGCGCUUGUGCCAUGCCCAAUCCGAGCGGACUUCAUCCACUUCCGCACGGACAGCACGUAGUUCGUCCUGAACAAAACUACGAAGUUUGAGCAACUCAUCAGGGAAAUAACGAAACUCACCUCGGAGAAUGUUUGCUUGCUCAUGGAUGAGAGCUUUUGUGGCCACCGUGAACUCGGCGUAUUCUCCCUCGAGACCAUCCACUCUUUCCUCCAAUCCCACGAGGCUAUCUUGAGCGGCGGACAAUGCUAUUUCGAGAGUGCCUACACGAGGCUCCAACGCAUCCACGGAUAGGGCCUUGGACUUGCCGCGAGUCUUGCCUUGGGCGCGUUCUCCCUCUUGGCCACGGCUUGGUUCCGGUGGAACAUCCACACCAACAACACCCUCUUGUGCUACGUUCGAAGGGUUGGCCAUUGCUUCGUGAGCUAAUUUGCGUGCGUGCAAACCUUAGCUCUGAUACCACUUGUCACGGGAUGAGUGUUUUGCGCAGCUAACCCGUGCGGCACUUAGACAACUUUGCCGAAUGUUGCUAAGUAAGCCUAGAGAUUCUCGAACAAGAGAAGAGAGCAAUUGAGCCAAAGAAACUUGUAUUACACAAAGAGAGAUUACAAUGCUUGUUGGAUACAAAUGCCUAAUGCCAUCCCAUAUUUAUAGGGGAGGCUUUGCCUAACUUUACCUAAUUUUGCCAAACUUGGUCAAACUCUAGAGUAUUUUACAAUUUCCUAGCUAUUUGCAUGUGCUGGAAUUGUAUAAAGUAUUCUAGAAUAUUUACAUGUUCACAUGUGCUAGAGUUGCCUAGAACCUUCCGGAAUUGGGCCAAGCUAGCACUCUUGGCCUUGUGUUGGCUCUCUAGCCCGAAAUUGUGGGCAAUUGGGCUAGCGAAUUGGGCGGUCCGCAACAUUACGCUGCUUCCUUCUCAGAAAAUCAUCUUUUGGCUUUUUCUAUUUUUAUGCUUUUUAAAAGUUUUUUUCAAGAUUUUUUUUUAUUGCUUUACCAAGUGGGCAGUUAAAAAAUCUUUUUUUUUUUUUUUGUGUGUUGCUUUUGAUAGAAACAUAUGAUUCACCUCUGUUUCUUCGAUGCUUGCUUGCUUCAUGAUUGGUCAACUUGGGUCAAACUUUCAUCUUUAAAUCACAUAGGUAGAUCAUGAUUCAAGCUUCAGUUAUAAGCCUUUCAUUGUGACUGAUAUUAUUCUUUCUUGAUGUACAUAUAUAUAUAGAUUCAGUUUGAAUGUGGUCCUUGAUCGUUUCAUGGAAAAUGCAAACGAAAUGUCAGCAUCUUUGAGUUUUGUCUCAUCAUAUCCGUCUUGUUGGUCUACUAAUCAACCAACAGGCUCUGAAACUUGCUCUGAUCUUGAUAAUUUGAACUUAAGGAGGCAAAGCAGCAAUCCUGAAGAGCCAUUGCUUGAUGCUGAGAUUGUUGUUGAGGGCAAAUCAGUGGCAGUUAAUCGCUGCAUAUUGUCUGCACACAGUCAAUUUCUUCAUUGGCUUUUUAAUUUGAGAAAUGAUGGUUCUGUGAGUGAGGGGAAACCCAAGUAUCUUAUGACUGAUUUGGUGCCUUAUGGGAAGGUUGGAUAUGAAGCUUUCAAUGAUAUCUUGCAUUAUCUUUACACUGGGAAGGUUAAGCCAUCUCCUCUAGUAGUGUCCACGUGUGUUGACGAUGCUUGUGCUCAUGAUGCUUGCCCUCCUGCUGUCAAUUAUGCUAUUGAGUUGAUGUAUGCUUCUGCUGCUUUUCAGAUGAAAGAACUCGUUUUGCUUUUGCAGGUAAUUGUGCUUCCCUGCUAUUUGUAUUGCUUAAAUUUAUGCUUCUUGGUAUAGUUUUAACAUUUCGGUAUAGUUUUAACAUUUAUGGAAUUGAAAUCAAUUUCAAUUGUGCGAAAGCAAGUAAAUGUGAAGCAACUUCAGUGAUUCGCAAUAUUAGUCAUCGCAGGAGAUCCAAAAUUUGUAGAUACUGUAGAAUUGUAGAGCCCAAAACUUCAUCUUAUCUUGCAAGAGUUUGUUGUUUUAUUUUCAAAUAGACAAAAAAAAAAUGAUGAUGGGCAGCGAACUCUAGGGAUCAAUGCUUGCUGACCCUGACACCCAAUGCUUGAUGUCUAGCUUGCUUAUUUUUCCAACAAUGACACUACCUUUCUAGUAAAUGAAAUAUUAUUCUACAUCUAUGUAUUGGAACUUUGACAAACUUCGGUUUUCCUUUGUUGAUUCACUGGUCUCACUUUUAUUCAAUUGCCCGAUUAUGAAAUGGUCUAUUGGAGACUAGAAAUGGAAGGUUUCUUGUGGAAAAAGUUUUACUUGACCACCGAUUUUCAUUUUGGUGGGUGUCAGCGCAUGCUCUGGCUUGACUAUUCUGUUAUUUAGGCUGUUUUAUCUGAUCUUCUCACUCACUUGAUAGUUAGUUCUCUCAUGCUUCCAAGCUCAAAGAUUAAUGCAAGAGAUUCUCUUUUUCCCCUCUAGACUAUAACCUAUCAAAUCAUUAAUGCUAUAGAAUAACAUCUUGUGUAGGCGGGCUUAUGUCUCUGAACAUUUGUCCAUCGGCAUUUGCAAUAAGCAUGGCCCUGAUUUUUCGUCUCAUUAUUAUUUUCCUACCCAGAUUGUCCCCUUUAAGUAGCAUAUUGAAGGAGAGCAACAUUCUUAUAUAUGUUUUAUGAUGUUUACCAAUAAAACAUGUAUUAUUCUGACUCAAAACUCUAUCUGUCGGUGUAGCUUCAGCUUCUGAACUUUGUUGAGAAGGCUGUUGUAGAAGAUGUAAUCCCAAUCCUUGUGGCUGCCUUGCAUUGCCACCUGAACCAGCUUCGUUCUCUCUGCAUCCAGAGAGUUGUAAGUGUUGUGCGCGGAAUGCAGAAUCAAGCGCACCAAAUAAUUACAGAAAAAUAAAGGACACAAGAAUUUAUGUGGUUCGGUAAUUAAAUUUACAUCCGCGGAGGCAAGAAAGAAUAAUUGUUUAUUUAAUAAUUAAUAGAGUACAAUAUUUAAGUAACGAAUUUCACUUCCCAGACACCCAAAUAUACCCAGUACUCUCACACUCUGCAGGAAAGAUAAAUUCCUCAGACACACUUCUUGUACUUCUCUCAAAAGCUUAGAAACUUAUAAGCUUAACAAUUUUGGGAUGAUUUUAAAUGAAUGAAAUCCUUAGCUAUUUAUAGGAGAAAUGAAUUACUAUGCUAAGAAUAAAAUAAUUAAAAAUAUAAUUUUUAAUUAUUAUUAUUUUUUCAAAUCCAUCCCCCAUUCUUUCUUUUCGGCUUUACAAAAUCAACAAAUUGUUGGUGCACCAACAAUUUGUUGACUUCAACAAAUUUGCUUCCUGAGGAAGUUUCAAGCGAAAUCAAAUCAAUCCGCUUCAAAUUUCACCAGGAGUCCGAAGAUAAUGCAGCAGAAGUAGACCCUGUGCAUGCAAAAAGAGUCAGAAGAAUCCACAAGGCACUGGACUCUGAUGAUUUUGAACUGCUGAAUCUUCUUCUGAAUGAAUAUGAAGUCACUUUAGAUGAUGCUUAUGCUCUGCACUAUGCCGCUGCCUACUGCAGCCCUAAUGUUUUUGUGGAAGUGCUCAGUAUGGGCUUGGCUGAUCUCAAUCUUAAGGAUGCAAGAGGUCAUACGGUGCUUCAUGUGGCUGCACGGCGUAAGGAGCCAGCAGUGCUGCUGGCCCUGCUGAGCAAGGGAGCAUGCGCAUCAGAAACUACAUCAGAUGGACAAACAGCUGUAGCAAUCUGUCGGAGAAUGACAAGGCGAAAGGAUUAUAUUGAAGCUUCGAAGCAGGGGCAGGAAAUUAACAAAGACCGGUUAUGCAUUGAUGUCCUAGACAACUUCAUGUCUGGGAACUUGACAAUGUCAUCCGAGGUGAUGGAUGAUGAUUUCCAAAUGCAGCUGAACUAUCUGGGAAAUAGAGGUGAUAUUCCUUUAUUGGUAUUAGUAAAUCAUCUUCUCAGAGUUUGUGUGUUUCUUCAUCUUAGCAUGUCAAACACACAUGGGCUCAUUGCUUGGGGCCAGUCAUGUGAUUUUUUCCACUUUUUUGGAAUAGACAAUUGCGAAUCCAUUUGAUCUAUGCUUGGUGGUUUGCACUGAACUAGUUUUUGAUAAAUAAUUGUACAAGACUUUGUCAUCAAAACUUUUUCAUUUCCAAAAGUAAUGAGGGACAAAAAAAUUUAUGCCUAUCCUGGAUGAGUGCCAUAACAGUUUCUUAAUAUUUUGCAGUGGCUUUUGCACGGUUGUUGUUUCCUUCUGAAGCUAGAAUAGCUAUUCGUAUAGCAGGUGCAGAUACCGCCAAUUUCAAUACUGGCCUGUCAGCAUUAAAUCCUAUAGGACUGAGUUGGAACUUGAAGGAGGUUGAUUUGAGUGAAACGCCUUUGUAAACUCCGCUUAAAACAAGUGUUUAUGUACUUUAUUAACUUUUACACCUUUCUAUUUACUGAUUAUCUUUAUAAUUAAAUAAUACAUGUAUCAAAGUUUCUCCUUACAUUUCAUUAGAAGUGAAUUGGAAUCUCUUCAUGGUGCUCUGUUAGGUGUAAUGAGAUGUAGCAAAAGAGAAAGGGUAAUUGUUAGUACAUUGAUAUCUCAACAGAAUGGUAGAACCUUUAUUUAUAUCACGAGAGACAUUUGUUGUAGGGAUGCCUCCAUAAUCAGUGUGCUUUAAAACUUUCCAGGAGUUAGCUACGCCUACCUCCGGACCUAAGGCGUGACACACAGACCCAAUUAGUGCCUAAAACACAUAUCGAAUCUGAGCAAAACUAAAUGCUUGUAAAUCCAAAUCUCCAAAAUAUCAAAAGCUCAUCUACUUUCUCUUUUCAUGGAUUUCACCAAAUGUUUUUAAAAAUUCAUUCUCAAUCAUAAACUAUGCGCAUCUAAAUAAUCACCAUAUCAAUAUACAACAAUACUUCCUCAUAAGCAAAUAAAUCUUACAUUCCUCUUCUUACAUGAUUUAAAAAAAAAAAAACUUUUAGAAGUCCCCUAAAUACGAACAUAAACAGAAUUCAGCUGCUAAAACUAUGCAAACACAAGCUUCAAUCAGUAAUACAUACGACUAAUUAUUAAAACAUCUAGCUAGAAGCCUUACAGAAGCUCAAUCCUUCCGAAGCUUGUUUCCAAAGAACCUUCAAAUUAAUAAUCGCUACUAUCUGCGAAAAAUAAUUGAUAAUGGGGCAGUUGUUAAUAAGUAAUUAAGUAGAACCAUUCAUAACGAACGAAAAGAAUUCUUUGCGCAAUAUUUUCAGAAAAUUCAUUUAACUUUUCAAAUGAAUCAGAGUAAUUUUUCAAACGCAGUCAGGAUUUGUGUCAACAUAAACGUUUGAGACAGAAGCUUUUUGGAACAUAAAUUUUGCUUUUAAUAUAAAGUUAUACGUUGGUUUGAUUUUAAAGGGAGGUUAUUGGGAAGUUAAAAUACACAGUUGUGGUAACAGGGUAAUAGCAGUUAUAAAAUCUCUUUUAAAACAAAUUCGAAUCAAGUUUCAAAUUUAGGAAGUAUUUAAUUCAAUAAAAUAAAGAAUAAAUAAAGUUUUCGUUGAAGCGAAACUAAGUAGAUUCAUUUAAAGCAAAACAGGAUGCGAGAAUUACAUAAGGGUUCUUGACCCUACCAUGCAGUCAGAUAUCUGGCACCUUGUUAGCACUUGAUUGUGCCAUGUUCUCCACAGCCAGAUAUCUUGUUCUUCAUUAUUUCCUAGACAUCUUUGGAUAAGGAACCCUAAGCCUAUUGAGAAUAAAUUCUGUAAACCAAGACUCUCUUCAGUUCUUUCAUUUGUGGCUAAUUAGUUAUAAGAUUUGUGAAUUUCCUGCCCCAUGGCCCCUGCAAAAUGCAUUUUAUAUCCUUAAGAUGCCAAUGGUUGAAUUGAAAUACUAAAAACCGGAAAACAGACUUAAUGAGAUGUUUAGAAUUUUCUUAGAGCAUUUGCUGAACUUUUUGUGAUCGCAGUCGAGAGGGGUCGACGCUACUUCCCUCAUUGCUCAGAGGUGGUUGAUAAGUUUUUGGAUUGUGAUUGGCUCGAUGCUUCCCUUCUAGAAUCAGAUGCUCUGGAAGAGCAGAAACUUAAAAGGGCACGCUUAAUAGAACUUGAAGAAGAUGUGCAGGAGGCAUUCUGCAAGGACAUGGCUUAUGACAAUCGUUCAGGGCUGCCAUCCUCCUCGUCGGCAUUUUACGAUUACAUGGCUGAGAACAAUCGUUCAGGCAUGCCGACAUCCUCCGCAUCGAGCAAUUAAGCAUCACCUUUUCCAGGAAGUGAUACUUCGACGCCCGGGAAACUAGAAGAGUUUAGUGAGCUCGACUGGUACUUGAGAGAUGGUCAGAGCCUAUGUUAUGGCUAUGUAUUGUCUAGUAGCAGAGAAUAUAUUAAUGAAUGAUGGAUGACUUUCUUGUGACUCUUUGAUGCAAUCAUGUAACGAUUUGAGUAAUGCUAACAUUAUCUCAUAUAUAUAUAUAUAUAUAUAUAUAUAUAUAUAUAUUUUUUUUUUUUUUUUGAGUGAUCUGACAUUCAUCAAUUAGAUUGUAAAAUUAUUAUAUUGUUUCAAGUCCAGUGAGACACAACUUAUAACAUUGAUGGAAUGAAUCGCAUUAUUCAUAAACUCAUUUCAUAAAAUAUUUUUAUAUAAAAUUGUAUAAUUUAUAGGUUAUGGUUAAAAAGUUAAGAAAAAAAAAGGUGUACUACAAUUGGGAUGAGGCAUGCAUGAGUAGUCACAUUAGUUGCUGAACAAACUUUGCCUUUUAAUUUUGGAGACAUUACUAUCUCAAAUUUUCUAUUAUCGAUUAAGAUAAUCUUUUUUUUUUUUUAAAAAAAAAGAAAGCUGGAGAUUCUUUUUUCCUUAAAAAAAUGAAGAAAAAUUUAGAAAGUUGUGAGAGAGGGAGAAACAAAGUAAUUAUAUUAACAAAUAUAAUGUGUUUAAGGUGCGUUUGGCACACUGUAUUAUAUUAUGCUGUUUUGCAUUAUUUUAAUGCAGGUGUAUUGUAUUAUUAUGUAUUGUAUUAGCAUUGUAUUAUAAUAAUGUUGUACAACGUUUGGUGCUACACUGUACUGUAUUAAUUUUUUGUGAUUAACUUAAAUUAUAUAUUUAGAAAAUAAUAUUUAUUAGUACCUAGAAAAAUAUUAAAUAUAUAAGUCUUAAAUUUUAAAAAUUUAACAUUAUUUUUUAGUAUAAAUGUUAAAAAAUAUCACAAUGUUUUGUAAAGAUCGAAACUUAUAGCCUUAUAUUUUCGACAGCGUAACAUUUAUUUUUCAGUAUUUCCUAAAUAUAUAACAUGUGAAAUAAAGAUCGAAGUAAAUAAUUUAAUCAAAUAAUCUCUAAAUAAUAUCAUAACUUAAUGAUAUUUUAUGUUAUUAUUUUUAUUGGUAUUAAUUUUAAAUUAAUAUUAUUUAAAUUUAUUCAUACAUAAAUAUUUAUUGUUAGUUAUAUUAAAUUUUUAAAUAAUAAUCAAUUUUUAUAUAUUAAUUAUUAUAAAAUUAAAUAAUACAUUAUUUAGUUAUAUUUUUAAUAUAAUGAAAAUUAAAAUAUGAAUAAUAAAUAAUAAAAUUAUUAAUUUAUUUCUAUAAUUAUGAUGUGAACAGUGUUAUAAUACACUAUAAUCACAUGCACCAAACACACCCUUAAUGCAGCAAUACAAACUAAUAAAUUAUAAUUUAUAAGAUUAGUUUAUAGAAUCUUACAUAUAAAAUUAUAUCCUCUAAAUAAAAAUAUUCACACCUCUUUUGACUUCUCAGUUAGAUGAUCUUUCUAACGUCUCUCUAGCGAUAAACACAUUUUUAUAAAACAAAACAGAAAAAAUUAUAUAUAAUUGUUCAUAAGGACUAUUUGUACAUAGUACACAAUUGGCCACUAAAGUUAUUUGAGGAGAAAAGUUAUAUGACAUGGGUACAUCAUAUUAUCAGUAUAUAUUAGCAGAUCCAUUUGUCCCGUACACUUCAAUUGUUGGUAGCAUUUUUGCUUGCACGAUGGUAUGUUUCUCGUCGUUACUGCGUGGUGGUAUUUACUAGAAAAUUUUUGAAUGCAUAAUUUUUAUUUAAUUAGUUAUAAAAUUUUUAUACCCUCCGUUUUCCAUAAGAAUGUGUUCCUUUUCAGGUAUUCUUAUGCCUUAUUAGUUUUUGUACCUUUACAAUUAGUGAUUUUUUUUUCAAAAGAGAGAGGUUAAAUUUUAGUACAUUGAUAUCUCAACAAAAUGUUAGAACCUUUGCACCACUAGAGAUAUUUUCUUAGAGCAUUUACUGAGCGUUCUAUGAUUGCAGUUGAGACGGGUCGACGCUACUUCCCUCAUUGCUCAUUUUUGGACUGUGAUUGGUCUGAUGCUCCCUCCUAGAAAAUGGUACUCCCGAAGAGCAGAGACUCAAAGGGCACGCUUCAUGGAACUUAAAGAAGACUUGCAGAAGGGAUUUUACAAGGACAUGGCUGAGAAAAAUCGUUCAGCUUGUUGAAAGUCAUGGCUGGCACCGGCCAUCUAGAUGGCCGGUGCCAACCAUUCAACAUUCAACACGGCCCGCCAUUAUUGGUGGUGCUGUGUUGAAUUACUCUAUAAAAAAAAAAAAAAGAGCCAAAAUUUUGGCUAUAUAAAGAGGGCUUCCCACCCUCAUUUUUCAUCCAAGUUUUGUAGAGAGAAUUGAGAAUUCUUUGUUAGCCUAUAUGGCUAUAAAUAUUGAUUUUGAUGAUAACAAACCACAUGUAUUUUAAAAGCUUUGAUAAUGUUUUUAAAGUUUUCGGAUUUGGACUUAUUUGAAAUUAUUUAAAUGUUUUUGGGGUCAUUAUAUAAUUUCACAAAGUUUGGGCAAAGUCAUAAUUUCAUAAAGUUUUGGGAUUAACGAAGCAUUACUUAAAAAUUCUGAAAUUGGACAUAUUUGCAAAGUUUCAUAACGUUUUGGGCCAUACUACAGUUUUUAUAAAGUUUUGGGGUCAAACAGAAAAUAUGGGAAAAAUUUCACUGUAGCAGGUUACUGUAGCAAGCGGCUUACCGGAUACUGAUAAACGGCAGGCCGAAUUCGGGCAGUAAGCACCAGAACGAAAACGGCUUACCGGAUUCCGAAUCCGGCAAGCCGGUUAGGCAAAAUUUUGAAUUUUGCCUUAACGGUAACAUAAAUCCGGCUUACCGGAUUCCAUUAAACAGAAAACCGGAUAGUCCAGAAUGUGAGUAACGGCUAGUUUUCGAGCUCAAGCUAUAAGAACUCAAAUCCAACUCAUUUUGAAGCUCUCCAACAAGCAAAAACAAAAGGCACACGUGAUAUCUUGAGUGUUCAAACUUGCGAAAUACAAACAUUGAAUCUUUUCUUGUUCUUCAUCAUUGUAUAUCUACUCAUUGAGUGAGUUUCAUUGUAACCAUCAUUUGUUCAUCUCAUUUGUAAGAAUUUGAGUGUGUGAGACACUUGAGUGAAAUGAUUGGGAGAUAAUCUCUUUGUUGUAAAGGUUUAUUGACACCUCGAAGUCAAUUGUAAUUGUUGAAGCCUUGAAAAGGCUUGGAUAGUGAAAUCCUCGAGCUUGGAUCGCUUGGAGGCGUGGACGUAGGCGGGGAUUGCCGAACCACGUAAAAAUUCGUGUGUUUGUUUCUCUUCUCCCUUACUCUUUAAUUAUUGUAUUAUUGAACUUAUUGUUUUCAAUUAUUGUUAAGACAUUAGAUUGCUUGUUGUGUGGAUUUGUUAGGAUAGAUUUUAAAAAUCCAAUUCACCCCCCUCUUGGGUUGCACACUUGUAUUUCAAUUGGUAUCAGAGCAAGGUGCUCUUAUUUAGAUUUAACCAUCUAGAGCUAAAGAUCAAUGGCAACUCAAAAUGAUUCCACAUUUAGGGAAGGGCAGUCCACCACUAGACCACCUUACUUUGAUGGAAACGAUUACCCAUAUUGGAAAACUAGGAUGAGAAUUUACUUGCAAGCCUUAGAUUAUGAGAUUUGGGAAAUCGUUAAUGAUGGUCCUUUCAUGCCUUUGACUAAAAAUGAAGUCGGAGAAGAUAUUCCAAAACCUUCACGGGAUUGGAAUGAAUUCGAAAAGAGAAAAGCUUCUCUAAAUUCCAAGGCCAUGAAUGCCUUAUUUUGUGCACUAGAUAAGAAAGAGUUUCAUAGAGUGUCUAGUUGCGAAAGUGCUAAUGAGAUUUGGCACAAACUUGAGGUUGUCUAUGAAGGCACGAACCAAGUGAAAGAAUCUAAAAUAAGUAGGUACACUAGACAAUAUGAAUUGUUCCAAAUGGAACAAAAUGAAAAUGUGUACUCUAUGUAUACUAGAUUCACGGACAUAGUGAACACUCUAGGAGCCCUAGGAAAGAUUUUUUCAAAUAGCGAAAAAGUCAAGAAAAUCAUUAGGUCUCUACCUAAGGAAUGGAGACCAAAAAGGACUGCCAUUGAGGAAGCCAAGGAUUUAAAUGUGUUACCUAUUGAUGAUUUAAUUGGCUCUCUUAUUUCAUAUGAAGAAGAUUUGGCAGCUGAAAAAGGACAUGAGGAAAAGAAGAAGAACAUUGCUCUCAAGGCUUCAAAACGUGAGAGUGAUGAGGAAAGCGAAAUGGAUGAUGAGGAGCUGGCUAUGUUAGCUAGAAGAUUCAGAAAAUUUUACAAGAAGAAUAAUGAGCAGAGAAAGUUCAGAGGCUACAAGAAUAAGAAGGAGAAGAAGGAGCCAAUCACUUGUUAUGAAUGCAAGAAGCCCGGACACAUACGACCGGAAUGUCCUCUUCUCAACAAAUUCAAGAAGAAGGCUAUGGUGGCCACAUGGGAUGAUAGUGAUGAGGAAACAAGUGACGAUGAUGAGCAACAAGAAAUGACAAACUUAGCUCUCAUGGCCAUUGGGGAAGAAUCAUGUGAUGAACUUGAUGAGGUAAGUGUUCCUUCUACAUAUGAUGAAUUGCAUGAUGCUUUUAAUGAUUUGCAUGAUGAGCUAAUGAAGAUUGGUAAAAAGAAUAUAAGUCUUAAAAAGAAUAUGAUAGAGCUUAAGAAUGAAAAUGAUUCAUUUAGUGCAAAGAUUACAUGCCUAGAAUUAGAAAACAAAACAUUACAUGAUAGUAUUGCAUUAUUUGAGAACUCUAGCACUUCACAUGAGCACUUAGAGUCACACAUGAAUGACUUGAAAAAUGAGAAUGAAAUGCUUAGAAAGAAGAGUAAUGAAUUAAAUGAAAUUGUGCUAAAAUUUACAAAUGGGCAAAAGAUGUUGGACAAUUUGCUAAACUCACAAAAAUGUGUUUUUGACAAAAGUGGCAUAGGUUAUAAACCGAAUUUGAAACAAAAAUUUUACAAGAGUUAUUUUGUGAAGAAUACAUCUAUUAACAAUAAAAUUGUAUGUCAUUAUUGCAAUCAAGAUGGCCAUAUGAAAAAUAGAUGUGCAGUGAAGAGAAAUGCAUAUUAUGGUAUGAAAUGUGUUUGGGUUCCGAAAGGAACCAUUGCUAACUUUCAAGGACCCAAAAAGGUUUGGGUACCUAAAGCUUGAGAUUUUCUCUACAGGGCUCAAAGAAGAAGAAGAAUAAGUGGUACUUGGACAGUGGCUGUUCAAGACACAUGACAGGGAAUUAUUCUUGGUUUUCAAGCUUUACCAAGAUCGAAAAUGGUGGAGAUGUUUCGUUUGGGGAUAAUUCAAAAGGAAAAAUCAUUGGGAUUGGAAAUGUCGGUAAUGUAUCCUCUACUCUUAUUGAAAAUGUGUGUUUGGUUGAAAACUUGAAACACAAUUUGCUUAGUAUUAGUCAAUUAUGUGAUAAAGGAUAUAGAGUUAUCUUUGAUGAAUCAAAGUGUGUUAUUGAGAAUGCAUGUGAUGGGAAAGUCUUGUUUGUAGGAAAUAGAUGUGUUAAUGUCUAUACCAUUAAUAUAGAUUGUGCAUUAACAAAUGAGAAAUGUCUUUCCGCAUUGCAUGAUGAUGGUUGGUUAUGGCAUAGAAGAUUAGGUCAUGCAAGCAUGGAUUUGAUUUCAAAAAUCGUGAAAAAUGAUUUAGUAAAAGGUCUUCCAAAAAUCAAUUUUCAAAAAGAUAGAACUUGUGAAGCAUGCCAAUUUGGAAAACAAAUCAAAACUUCAUUCAAAAGCAAAAAUCAUGUUUCCACUUCAAAACCACUUCAAUUGCUUCAUAUAGAUUUAUUUGGACCUUCUAGAUAUGCUAGUUUAAGUGGCAAGUUUUAUGCAUUUGUAAUCGUGGAUGAUUAUUCGAGACACACAUGGGUAUUGUUCUUAGCUAAUAAGGAUGAUGCCAUUGAUGCAUUUCGAAUUUUCUGUAAAAAGGUUCAAAAUGAAAAAGGUUACUCCAUCACUUGUAUUAGAAGUGAUCAUGGUGGAGAAUUUGAAAAUCAUGCAUUUGAAAAUUUUUGUAAUGACCUUGGCAUUGAACAUCAAUUUUCAUCACCUAGGACUCCACAACAAAAUGGAGUAGUAGAGAGAAAGAAUAGGUCUAUUCAAGAAAUGGCUAGGACCAUGUUGAAUGAAAAUUCUUCGCCUAAGUAUUUUUGGGUCGAAGCCGUCAACACCGCUUGUUAUGUUUUAAAUUGGGUGUUGAUUAGACCUAAUCUCAAUAAAACUCCAUAUGAGCUUUGGAAAGAUAGAAAACCCAACAUUGAUUAUUUUAAAGUUUUUGGAUGCAAAUGUUUUGUUUUAAACACAAAAGAUAAUCUUGGUAAAUUUGAUCCAAAAUCUGAUGUUGGUAUCUUUCUUGGUUAUUCAAAUUCAAGCAAAGCUUAUAGAGUUUAUAAUAAAAGAACUUUAGUUGUGGAAGAAUCUAUGCAUGUUACAUUUGAUGAGUCUAACCCCUCCUCUACGGAGAAAGUUAUUGUUGAUGAUAAUGCAGAAGAAGAACAACAAGAAGAAGCAUCAAAUGGCAACCAAGAAGACACACCACCUGGAAUUCAAGAGGAACAUCAUGAAGAAACAAAUGCAGAGCAAAAUGAAGGUACUUCACAAACACUCCCCAAGGAGUGGAGGUAUGUGUCCUCUCAUCCUAAGGAUGUAAUUUUAGGAGAUCCCUCACGAGGUGUUACCACUAGAUCAUCUCUUAGAAACACAUGUGAGCAUGCUGCAUUUAUUUCUCAAAUUGAACCAAAAUCCUUUGCGGAUGCGGAAAAUGAUGAAUCUUGGAUUAUGGCAAUGCAAGAGGAGUUGAAUCAAUUUGAGAGAAAUAAUGUGUGGGAGUUAGUUCCUAAUCCGGAACAUCAAUCCAUUAUAGGUACUAAAUGGGUAUUUAGAAACAAAAUGGAUGAAUCCGGUGUGGUUGUAAGAAAUAAAGCUAGAUUAGUGGCUCAAGGUUACAACCAAGAAGAAGGAAUUGAUUUUGAUGAAACUUUUGCACCUGUAGCAAGAUUAGAAUCCAUUAGGAUGUUGUUAGCAUAUGCAUGUCAUAAGGAUUUUAUUUUGUAUCAAAUGGAUGUCAAGAGUGCUUUCUUAAAUGGAUACAUUAUGGAGGAAGUUUAUGUGAAACAACCUCCUGGUUUUGAAAAUGAAAAAUUUCCAGAUCAUGUGUAUAAGUUAUCCAAGGCUUUGUAUGGUUUAAAACAAGCACCUAGAGCUUGGUAUGAUAGGCUUAAAAAUUUCUUGUUGGAUAACGAUUUUUCAAUGGGAAAAGCGGACACAACUCUUUUUGUUAAGCAUAAGAACCAAGACAUACUUAUUGUUCAAAUAUAUGUUGAUGAUAUUAUUUUUGGUUCUACUAAUGAGUUGUUGUGUAAAGAUUUUUCAUCAUGUAUGAGCCAAGAGUUUGAGAUGAGUAUGAUGGGAGAAUUGAAGUACUUCCUUGGUCUUCAAAUCAAACAAAACGAGGAAGGAAUUUUCAUAAACCAAGCCAAGUACGUGAAAGAUCUACUCAAAAGAUUUGGCUAUGAAAAUGGAACGGCAAAAAGCACUCCUAUGAGCACUACCAUCAAGCUGGACAAAGAUGAGAAAGGUAAGGAAGUUGAUAUCAGGACUUAUCGAGGUAUGAUCGGAUCCUUACUCUACUUGACUGCUAGUAGGCCUGAUAUUAUGUUUAGUGUUUGCUUGUGUGCUAGAUUUCAAUCUUGUCCUAAAGAGUCUCACAUGCUUGCUGUCAAACGCAUUUUUCGGUAUUUAAUUGGUACUAUUAAUCUUGGCCUUUGGUAUCCUAGAGGAACUCACAUUGAUUUAACUUGUUAUUCGGAUGCUGAUUUUGCUGGGUAUAAGGUUGAUAGAAAAAGUACUAGUGGAACAUGUCACUUCCUAGGUCAUUCUCUUGUCUCUUGGUUUAGUAAAAAACAAAACUCAGUUGCGCUUUCAACCACCGAGGCAGAAUAUAUUGCCGCAAGUAGUUGUUGUGCACAAAUUCUUUGGAUGAAACAAACCCUUAGAGACUAUGGCAUUAUACUUGAUCAAAUUCCUAUCUUAUGUGACAAUACUAGUGCUAUAAAUCUUUCCAAGAAUCCCAUUCAACAUUCUAGGACUAAGCAUAUAGAGAUUAGACAUCAUUUCCUUAGAGAUCAUGUUCAAAAAGGGGAUGUUGUAAUUAAAUUUGUUUCCACUGAAAAUCAACUUGCGGAUAUCUUUACAAAACCUCUUAGCGAAGAGCAUUUUAUAAAGAUUAGGCAUGAGCUUGGAAUGAUGAAUGUUGAAUCUUAAUUCAUGUUUUAAUUCAUGGCUUGAUAUGAUUGUUAUCAUAUGGUUUUAUGCUACAUGAAUUAGAUAACUUGAUGUGCUUGUAAAUUUAUGAUUUUAUGAUUUUAUAUUACAUGCAUUAGAUGGCUUAUUGAAAAGUUUUAAAUCUCGAAAUGAUUUAAAAUUAAUCAAUUUUUAAAGUCGGAAAUAAAAUGGUGUGUAAUACAAGUACAAGAGCUAGCAAAUAUUCCCUUUUCAUUCUUCCGGAAAAUUAUUUCUCCUUAUUGAUCCCUCUCGGGACAAAUUCCGGAAAACCGGAUUAGCUUUGGUUGGUCUCUGGACAACAUUCGGAUGACCGGAUUUUCAAUCCAGAAAACCGAAUUUGGAAGGAUAUUUACUGCCUCAUAACCGGUCAACCGGUUAUCAAUAACCGGAAAACCGAAUUCGCAUGCAUGCUUUGCUGGAGCAAAACCGGAUUUCCGGUUCAAGACAUCCGGAAAACCGAUUAUUUUUGGAGGCUCUCGAAACCGGCCAGCCGGUUAAGGAAACCGGCCAGCCGGUUAAGGAAACCGGCAAGCCGAAUUGCCUCUUGCAUCUCUCGGUCCAUAUCCGGUUUACCGGAUUUCAAUUUCGGAAAGCCGGUUUCGGCUUUCUCCUUUUCUGCAUGCUAACCGGCUUGCCGGUUAGGAAAUCCGACAAGCCGGAUUCGUGCCUUUUAUAUUUGCUGAAGAUGGCUGUUCUCGGGUUCACAACCGGCCUACCGGUUAGCAAAUCCGGCAAACCGGAUUCGUGAUCUCUUAAGCACUAUUCAUCUUCCUCAAGCAUUCGGCAUACCGGUUCUUCAUCUCUCUAAAACCCGUUUCCAUUUUCUCUCUUUCUCACUCCAACAUCCUUCUUUUUCUUCCAUUUUCACAUCAAAUUGAAUCAAUAAAAUCAUUCCCCAUCUCAUUAAGAUCACAAAACCAUCCUUGAAACCCGUUUUCAACAUCUAAAUCCUUAGAUCCCAAUUCCAACCUAGGUUUUGAGCUGAAUUUUCUCUCUCUAGAUUUCUCACUCUCAAGCCGUUUUUGAUCAAUUUUGUUUCACCAAAUCACCUCCAAUCUUCAUCUUCUUCAUUCUCUUUAGUGUUUUUAUCUUCAAAUCAAUCAAAAUCAAUAUGUCAAGCUCUCGGCCGGUUCGAAGAAAAGGCAAGGAACCGGUUCAACCAUCCACACGGCCACGGGAAGCAAGGGGCACCUCCAAUCAAUCCACCUUUGAGUCCAUUCACUUUCAGAACAGAACACGCAACACUUGAUCAAAAGGUUUCAUCAAAACUUUCGGACUCGUGAGGUACUCAACACUUUCUUUGUUUUACCGGAUGUUUUACAUUCUCUCCAGAUUAGUCAUAGAACUUUAUUUCAAUUGUUGGGAGAUGUUGGUUGGAUUGAUGCAUUGUUGAUUGAGGAGAAUGUGUAUCCCGACUUGGUGAAAGUAUUUUACUCGAAUAUGGAUUGUUCCGCGGAGAAAGAGAAUCGAGUAAUCACCAAAGUUGGAGGAGUUUUGAUUGAAUUUGAUGAUUCGGACUUGAACAACAUCCUAGGAUCUUCUGAUGAUGGCUUGGACAUUUUUUCUCUUAGGAAACCUCGUGAAAUUGAUGAUUAUGUUCAUGUUGAUGCCGUUCGUAAUAUUUGUCGGCGUAAUGAUCUCUCUGUUGAAGACUGUACCAUUCAUUUCCGUACUCAGUGUCUUUGUCUUCAAACUCGUUUUUUGCUUCGUAUCAUCCAGUCCAUUGUACUUCCUAGAUCAGGACAUUUGGAUGAGGUGUCUCACAUGGAUGUCACCAUGAUUGACUGUAUUCUUAGAGGUCGCCCGGUUGACUUGGGCUAUUCCAUUGUUCGCACCAUGUUGAGCAUUCCGGCCUUGAUUACCCGCUCUCUCCCCUAUGGUCACUUCAUUACUCGUAUUCUUAAAUUCUUUGAAGUGCCGAUUCUAGAACCUUCUUGUAGGCCAUCCAAGGGUAUUGGGGAUGAGGUUAUUGUUGGGUUAGGCUUUGAGUGGAAGGAUGACACUUGGGUCAAAUAUAGCGAUAACAAGUUUACCUUUCUAGCCCCAAGUGAUGAUCGGCCACUUAAUGCCGUGAUUCUCGCUGAUCAGCUUCCAGUAUUCUCACUAUCAUUUCGAGGGCAGCGUAGACGCCGAGUUUCUUCUACGGUUGCUUCGGCUCCUAGUGCAUCUGCAUCCGCUUCAUCACCUCCACGGCCUCCUACCUCUGGAGAUGUCACUCUUCAGCAGCUUAUGGAUGAGGUUCGGACACUUUCAGUGAGGCAGACUAAGCUUCAGCAGGAGCAGCAGCAGCAGCGGCAGCUGCAGCAGCAGCUCAUUCAUGGACAGCGCCUCCUCUUCGAGCACUUCGGCAUUCCAUAUCCGUUUCCACCUCCAUCACCUCCAUCCUCACCACCUGAGUAGUAUUUUGUGCUUGUACUUGGACACACCUACAUUUUAUUUACUGCAUUGUGUGUUCUUUUAUUUUCGACUCUAUGGAUGGUUGUUAUGCUUUCGGUUUAUGUAUUUGUUUUGGAUUGUAUGGAUUUGUUAUGACUAUCUAUGUUGAUGUUAUGGAUUUUGUGUUGCUUGAUCAUUAUGGAUUAUAUGGAUUUUAUAUGGAUUUUCUUAUGCUUAUGAAUUUUUUUUACUAAUGUACUUAUGUUGUGAUUUUAAUGAUUGAUAGGGGGAGUCUUUAUUCUUUUUGAUGAUGAAGGGGGAGAAUGAUUUAAUAUAUGUUAUGAAAAUAUGCAUGUAUCUAGGGGGAGCAUGUAUGCAAGGGGAGUUUUUUAUUAAACUAUUUUCAAAUCAUUUUUUUAACUUGCAUUGAUUAAGGGGGAGCUUUUUCAUAACAAAAUUAAAGUUUUGAAUGUGCUUUGUCAUCAUAAAAAAGGGGGAGAUUGUUAGCCUAUAUGGCUAUAAAUAUUGAUUUUGAUGAUAACAAACCACAUGUAUUUUAAAAGCUUUGAUAAUGUUUUUAAAGUUUUCGGAUUUGGACUUAUUUGAAAUUAUUUAAAUGUUUUUGGGGUCAUUAUAUAAUUUCACAAAGUUUGGGCAAAGUCAUAAUUUCAUAAAGUUUUGGGAUUAACGAAGCAUUACUUAAAAAUUCUGAAAUUGGACAUAUUUGCAAAGUUUCAUAACGUUUUGGGCCAUACUACAGUUUUUAUAAAGUUUUGGGGUCAAACUGAAAAUAUGGGAAAAAUUUCACUGUAGCAGGUUACUGUAGCAAGCGGCUUACCGGAUAAUGAUAAACGGCAGGCCGAAUUCGGGCAGUAAGCACCAGAACGAAAACGGCUUACCGGAUUCCGAAUCCGGCAAGCCGGUUAGGCAAAAUUUUGCCUUAACGGUAACAUAAAUCCGGCUUACCGAAUUCCAUUAAACGGAAAACCGGAUAGCCCAGAAUGUGAGUAACGGCUAGUUUUCGAGCUCAAGCUAUAAGAACUCAAAUCCAACUCAUUUUGAAGCUCUCCAACAAGCAAAAACAAAAGGCACACGUGAUAUCUUGAGUGUUCAAACUUGCGAAAUACAAACAUUGAAUCUUUUCUUGUUCUUCAUCAUUGUAUAUCUACUCAUUGAGUGAGUUUCAUUGUAACCAUCAUUUGUUCAUCUCAUUUGUAAGAAUUUGAGUAUGUGAGACACUUGAGUGAAGAGAUUGGGAGAUAAUCUCUUUGUUGUAAAGGUUUAUUGACACCUCGAAGUCAAUUGUAAUUGUUGAAGCCUUGAAAAGGCUUGGAUAGUGAAAUCCUCGAGCUUGGAUCGCUUGGAGGCGUGGACGUAGGCGGGGAUUGCCGAACCACGUAAAAAUUCGUGUGUUUGUUUCUCUUCUCCCUUACUCUUUAAUUAUUGUGCUAUUAUUGAAAUUAUUGUUUUCAAUUAUUGUUAAGACAUUAGAUUGCUUGUUGUGUGGAUUUGUUAGGAUAGAUUUUAAAAAUCCAAUUCACCCCCCUCUUGGGUUGCACACUUGUAUUUCAUUCUUUGCAAGAGCAAAGAAUUUUGUGUGCUUAGUGAUUUGAGAGUUUGGGUGUAUUGGGGUUUUGGGUAGUGAGCUAAAAUACUACAAUACUUGUAACUCCUUUUCACUAGUAUAAUAUUUCUGUCUGUCUUCGCCCGUGGACGUAGGUUAAAAGCCGAACCACGUAAUUUCUGGUGUCCUCUUUUUGUGCUUGUUCUUUAUUUUUCUUCCAAUUUUACUUUAGCUGCGUGUCUGCUUUACCCAAUAAUUUCCUAACAGUGGUAUCAGAGCUAUUGGUUGUAUUUUUUGGAGUCGGGUACUGUUCACGUAAGGGGUACUAUUCACGUAUACGGUAUUGUUCACGUAUACGGUACUAUUCACGUAUACGGUACUAUUCACUUAUACGGUACUAUUCACAUGAAACGGUGAGAGCGAUCCAAGAAUUUUGCGGUGCAAAGCAGGGAAUAGUGGUGUGAGUAAAACAACUGUGUGGCUUUGUACAUGUCUAGGAAAGUUCUGUCACAAAGGCGAUAAGAGCUUAAGGAGUCUGGGUUUUAAGUGGGACCAUUGUGACCCCUCCAGUCUUUCCUGGGAACUUUUUUGGUGUGCAUUCUCACACAUACUCACAACUAUUCAAGGUGAUACACUAGCUUGUGUACAGUAUUUAUCAAUAAAAUGGCGGCAAAGUAUGAAAUUGAGAAAUUUAACGGAAAUAAUUUUUAUCAAUAAAAUGGCGGCAAAGUAUGAAAUUGAGAAAUUUAACGGAAAUAAUUUUUCGUUGUGGAAAAUGAAGAUGAAAGCUGUAUUGAGGAAAAAUAAUUGCUUGGCAGCAAUUGGAGAAAGGCCCAUGGAGAUAACUGAUGACAAGUGGAACGAGGUAGACAACAAUGCCAUUUCUGAUCUACACUUGGCACUUGCGGAUGGAGUAUUAUCCAGUGUGGCAGAGAAAAAUACGGCGAAGGAAAUAGGGAUACUCUCACAAAAUUGUACGAGGCCAAGUCACUACACAACAAAAUCUUCUUGAAGAGAAAACUCUAUACUCUUCGAAUGACAGAAUCUACAAUGGUGACCGACCACAUCAACACCUUGAAGACUCUAUUUUCACAACUCACAACGUUGGGUCAUAAUAUAGAGGAAAAUGAACGUGCAGAGCUUCUACUUCAAAGUCUACCAGAUUCAUAUGAUCAACUCAUCAUCAACCUGACGAACAACAAUCCAGUGGAGGGUCUAGUUUUCGACGAUGUUGCAGUCUCUGUAUUAAAUGAGGAGAGCAUGAGGAAAAAUAAGGAAAAUAGACAAGCAAGUUCGCAGCAAGCAGAAGCGCUAUCAGUGACGAGAGGGAGAUCAACGGAACGUGGCCCCAGUGGGAGUCAAAAUCAGGGUAGAUCAAAAUCCAGAAGUAAGAAGAAUGUUAAAUGCUACAACUGUGGCAAGAAAUGGCACGUCAAGAAAGAAUGUUGGAGUAACCAGAAGAGAAAAGAGGGCAAAGAACCUGAGUCAUCAAAUGCUCAGAGUUGUGUAGCAAGCACCUCGGAUGAUGGCGAAAUUCUUUACAGCGAGGCAACAACUGUUUCAGAAGGCAGAAAACGACUUUCUGAUGUUUGGCUUAUAGACUCGGGAGCUACCUGGCACAUGACCUCUAGGAGAGAAUGGUUCCACACAUAUGAACCUAUCUCAGGAGGAUCUGUAUAUAUGGGUAACGAUCAUGCCUUGGAGAUCGCUGGUAUUGGUACUAUCAAAAUAAAAAUGUUUGAUAAUACAAUUCGCACAAUUAGAGAGGUACGACAUGUCAAUGGCCUGAAGAAAAAUCUAUUGUCUUUGGGACAAAUGGAUAGUCAUGGGUACAAAACUCAUGUGGAGAAUGGAAUUAUGAAGAUCGUUAAAGGCGCGCUUGUAUUGAUGAAGGCAGAAAAGAUCGAUGCUAAUCUAUUCAUGCUUAAAGGAGAAACACUACAGGAGGCUGAUGCGUGUGUCGCGUCAAAUGGAGAAGAAUCAACGAUGGUGUGGCAUCUCAAACUUGGCCACAUGUUAGAACAAGGCUUGAAGAUUCUCUCUGAGCGAAAAUUGCUUCCGGGGCUCAAAUCGGUAAGUUUACCAUUUUGCGAGCAUUGUGUUACAAGUUACAAGUAAGCAGCAUAGAUUAAAAUUCAGUAGAUCUAUUGCUAGAAGUAAAUGCAUUCUAGACUUGAUUCAUUCUGAUGUUUGGGAAUCACCGGAUAUAUCCAUGGGAGGUGCAAAGUACAUGGUGACUUUCAUUGAUGAUUAUUCCAGAAGAUGUUGGGUGUAUCCGAUUAAGAAAAAGUCAGAUGUAUUUCCAGUGUUUAAAGAAUACAAAGCGUGGGUGGAACUUGAAUCUGGUAAAAAGAUCAAGUGCUUAAGGACAGAUAAUGGUGGAGAGUAUACAGACGGCGAGUUUCUUGCUUUCUGUAAGCAAGAGGGUAUUCAGAGGCAGUUCACGGUGGCGUACACUCCUCAACAAAACGGAGUGGCAGAGCGGAUGAAUAGAACUCUUACAGAAAGAAUAAGAGCUAUGUUGAGGACUGCUGGUCUACCCAAUUCAUUCUGGGCAGAAGCAGCCAAAACUGCCUGUUAUAUAGUAAAUCGAUCACCAUCUACAGCAAUUGGGUUGAAGACGACGAUGGAGAUGUGGACUGGAAAGCCAGCUGAUUAUUCCUACCUACAUGCAUUUGGAUGUCCUGUGUACGUGAUGUACAAUGCCCAAGAAAGAACAAAGCUGGAUGCAAAAUCUAGAAGAUGUAUCUUCUUGGGGUAUGCUGAUGGAGUAAAGGGGUAUCGUCUGUGGGACCCCACUGCCCACAAGAUCAUUAUCAGUAGAGAUGUUAUUUUUGUAGAAGAUCAACUGCAAAGAAAAUAUGGAGAUGAUGGCACUGGAAAAGAAAAGUCAGAGACUGUGCCGGUAUAUGUCGAAAAUAAUCCAGAAGAUUCAGAUUCUUCUGAAGCAGCACCAGAGCACGAGGAACAAGAACCAGUUGAGUCCGAGGCUCCAGAAGUUCGUCGGUCAACUCGUGAGAGACGACCACCGGCGUGGCACUCGGAGUAUGUCACAGAGAUCAACGUUGCAUACUGUCUUCUAACAGAGGAUGGAGAGCCUUCAACUUUCCAUGAAGCUUUAAACAGCUCAGAUGUUGCUUUGUCAUCAUGUUGCUUUGUGGAUGACAGCAAUGCAGGAAGAAAUUGAAGCUCUACACAAGAAUAGGACAUGGGAACUUGUACCACUACCACACAGAAGAAAAGCCAUUGGAAACAAAUGGAUCUACAAGAUCAAACGUGAUGGCAAUGAUCAAGUGGAGCGGUAUCGUGCGAGAUUGGUGGUGAAUGGAUAUGCUCAGAAAGAAGGUAUUGACUUCAACGAGAUAUUUUCUCCGGUGGUUCGACUCACAACAGUCAGAAUAGUCUUGGCGAUGUGUGCUACAUUUGAUCUACAUCUUGAGCAGUUAGAUGUGAAAACUGCAUUUCUUCAUGGAGAACUUGAAGAAGAAAUAUAUAUGCUCCAACCAGAAGGUUUUGCAGAAACAGGAAAGGAGAACUUGGUUUGCAGGUUGAACAAAUCUCUGUAUGGUCUCAAACAGGCGCCGAGGUGUUGGUAUAAGAGAUUUGAUUCCUUCAUCAUGAGCCUUGGAUACAACAGACUCAGUUCAGACCAUUGUGCAUAUUACAAGAGGUUUGAAGAUAAUGAUUUUAUUAUUUUGCUGUUGUAUGUGGAUGACAUGUUGGUAGGAAGUCCCAACAAAGAUCGAAUCCAAGAAUUGAAGGCACAGUUAGCUAGGGAGUUUGAAAUGAAGGACUUGGGACCAGCAAACAAGAUUCUAGGGAUGCAAAUUCACCGAGACAGAAAUAACAUGAAGAUUUGGCUUUCACAGAAGAAUUACUUGAAGAAAAUCUUGCGACGCUUCAACAUGCAAGAUUGUAAGUCAAUUUCUACCCCACUUUCUGUUAAUUUCAAAUUAUCCUCAAGUAUGUGUCCUAGCAAUGAAGCAGAGAGGAAGGAGAUAUCUCGAGUACCGUAUGCAUCAGCAGUGGGAAGUUUAAUGUUCGCUAUGAUAUGUACAAGACCGGACAUUGCACAAGCAGUGGGAGCAGUCAGUCGAUACAUGGCGAAUCCUGGUGGAGAGCAUUGGAUAGCUGUGAAGAGGAUUCUGAGAUACAUCAGAGGAACCUCAGAUGUUGCAUUAUGUUAUGGAGGAUCAGAGUUUACUGUCAGGGGUUAUGUGGAUUCAGAUUUUGCAGGAGAUCUUGAUAAAAGAAAAUCCACUACUGGUUAUGUGUUUACACUUGCGGGAGCAGCUGUAAGCUGGGUUUCGAAACUGCAGACCGUUGUGGCAUUAUCUACAACAGAAGCAGAAUACAUGGCAGCUACACAAGCUUGCAAGGAAGCUAUUUGGAUACAAAGAUUAUUGGAGGAGCUCGGGCACAAACAACAGAAAAUUCCUGUGUUUUGUGACAGUCAGAGUGCCUUGCACAUUGCAAGGAAUCCAGCCUUUCAUUCCAGGACAAAGCACAUAGGAGUCCAGUAUCACUUCGUUCGAGAAGUAAUGGAAGACGGAAGCGUGGAUUUGCAGAAAAUCCAUACCAAGGAGAACCUAGCAGAUGUUUUGACCAAGCCGAUAAAUGCUGACAAAUUUAUCUGGAGUAGAUCCUUUUGUGACCUAGCAGAAACGUAGGCAACAUGAUUAUGGCGAAGCAGAAAGGAUGGUGUGGAGAUUGAUUGCUUUUCAAUCUAACCUCCAAGUGGGAGAAUGUUGAAAGUCAUGGCUGGCACCGGCCAUCUAGAUGGCCGGUGCCAACCAUUCAACAUUCAACACGGCCCGCCAUUAUUGGUGGUGUUGUGUUGAAUUACUCUAUAAAAAAAAAAAAGAGCCAAAAUUUUGGCUAUAUAAAGAGGGCUUCCCACCCUCAUUUUUCAUCCAAGUUUUGUAGAGAGAAUUGAGAAUUCUUUGCAAGAGCAAAGAAUUUUGUGUGCUUAGUGAUUUGAGAGUUUGGGUGUAUUGGGGUUUUGGGUAGUGAGCUAAAAUACUACAAUACUUGUAACUCCUUUUCACUAGUAUAAUAUUUCUGUCUGUCUUCGCCCGUGGACGUAGGCUAAAAGCCGAACCACGUAAUUUCUGGUGUCCUCUUUUUGUGCUUGUUCUUUAUUUUUCUUUCAAUUUUACUUUAGCUGCGUGUCUGCUUCACCCAACAAUUUCCUAACACAGCUUUGUCAUCAUCCUCGUCGUCGUCGUCUUCUCCGAAGGAAGGAGUAAAGUGUAAGGGUAGGAAAAGGUGAUGCUUAGCUGCUUGUCUUUGUUAUUCAUUUCUAGGAAACUAAGAGAGUUUUACCGAGUUUGAUUGUUACUUGUAGAGAGAUACUCUUAGAGCCUAUGUUAUGGCUUAUGUUGUAUAAUAGCAGAGGAACUUCAAGCUUGCAUUGUUGUAUUUUCCCUGGUAUUUGGCAUGUAAUAUACUAAAUGACAAAGAAUUUUCUAAUUUUAGAGGGGAAAAAUGUGUCAGUUAAUUAUUUGUUUAUUUUAUCUGUUUAAUUCAGUUUAUAAUAUAGCUUUUCUUUUAUAAAAAAAAAAUCUCCUAGCUUCAUCUGCAAAUUCAGUCAUGUGUAACUUCUUUCAGGGAGAAAAGAAGGGAAAAAAAAAAAAAAAAGCAUUUGUACCUAUAUUUUAGAGUACUGACUCUCAUACAGAAAUUGGUUAAGAUGACAUUAAUGUUCUUUAAAAUAGAUGGAUAUGCAUAAUUUUCAUCGAAAUUGAAAUUAGAAAUGGAUCAAUAUGAAUGAUAUAUAUACAGAACUUUUUAAUAGAAUUUUUAUACAAAAAUUUGUAGCUCAUUACUCUCCAGAAGAAAAAUAAAUUUUUAAUUGUAGAUAUUAAGUUUUAAAUUUAUAAUGUAAUAAAUGUGACUUAAGGUGCACAGCACCCAUAUAAUAAUAAUUAACAAAAUAAAAUUCAAAACCAAUUUUUUAAAAUUAAUUAUUUUUAUACCUAAAUUCUCAUGCUCGACGGCCGCUGGAAUUGGCUAUUGUAAUUUUGUCAUCCUCAUUAUUCACUGGCCAUUUUUGGACCAUGACAUAAUAGAACUUGGGUCAAACUUUCAUCUUUAAAUCACAUAGGUAGAUCACGAUUCAAGCUUCAGUUAUAAGCCUUUCAUUCUUUCUUGAUAUAUCUAUAUAUAUAUAGAUUCAGUUUGAAUAUGGUUCUUCAUAGUAUCAUGGAAAAUGCAAACGAAAAGUCAGCAUCUUUGAGUUUUGCCUCAUCGUAUUCAACUUGUUGGUCUACUAAUCAAUCAACAGGCUAUGGAAAUAGCUGGUGCAGAUACCGCCACUGGCCUUUCAGCAUUAGGACGAAAAGGACUAAGUGGGAACUUGAAGGAGGUUGAUUUGAAUGAAACGCUCUCUAUGCAAGCCAAGAGAUGCCAAUUGAGACUGCAAACUCUGCUCAAAACAGGUAUUUAUAUACUUUUUUAACUUUUGCACCUUUCUAUUUACUGAUUAUCUUUUUAAUUAACUAAUACAUGUAUCCAUGUUUCUCCUUCCAUUUCAUUAGAAGUAAUGUGCAGCUAAUUAAUCAGCAUAUCAGUAUACAACAAUACUUCCACAUAAGCAAAUAAAUCUUACAAUCCUUCUUACAUGAUUUAAAAAAAAAUACUUCUAGAAGUCUUCUAAAUACAAACAUAAACAGAAUUCAACUGCUAAAACCAUACCAAGAUUCAAGCUUCAAUCAGUAAUACACACGGCUAAUUAUUAAAAACAUCUAGCCAGAAACCUUAUUGAAGCUCAAUCCUUCCGAAGCAUUCUUCAAAUUAAUAAUUGCUACUAUCUGUGAAAAAUAAUUGACAAGGAGUCAGCUGUUAACUCAAUCAGUAGAAACAUUCAUAACGAACAAAAAGAAUUCUUUGUGCAAUAGUUUCAGAAAAUUCAUUUAACCCUUCAAACGAAACAGAGUAAUUUUUCUAACGCAGUCAUGAUUUAUAUAAAACAUAAACAUUAGUUUGAUUUUAAAGGGAGGUUAUUGGGAAGUUAAAAUUGGCAGUUGUGGGAAAAGGGUAAUAGCAAUUAUAAAAUCUCUUUUAAAGCAAAUUCAAAUCAAGUUUCAAAUUUUAGGAGUACUUAAUUCAAUAAAAUAAGGAAUAAAUAAAGCUUUCGUUGAAACAAAACUAAGUAAAUUCAUUUAAAGCAAAACAGGAUGCGAGCAUUACUACGGGUUCUUAUGUUUACCCGCAGUCAGACAUCCGGGACCUUGUUAUUUGGAGACAAGACUUGAUUGUGGCAUGUUUCCGCAGCCAGAUAUCUUUUACUUCAUUAUUUCCUAAACAUCUGUGGAUAAGAGAACCCUAAGCCUAUUGAGAAUAAAUUCUGUAAUCCAAGACUCUUCAAUUCUUUCAUUUGUGGCUAAUUAGUUAUAAAAUUUUGGAAUUUCAUGCUCCAUGGCACUUGCAAAAUGUAUUUUAUAUCCUUAAGAUGCCAGUGGAUGAACUGAAAUAAUAAAAAUGGAAAACAGACUUAAUGUCGAUAGCAUUUCUUAAGAAAAAAUUGGGAUGUUUAUAAUUUUCUUAGAGCAUUUGCUGAACUUUCUGUGAUCGCAGUUGAGACGUGUGACCGCAACUUCCCUCAUUGCUCAGUAGUGGCUGAUAAUUUUUUGCAUUUCAACUCCCCUCAUUGCUCAGAAGUGGUUGAUGAGUUUUUGGAUUGUGAUUGGUCCGAUGCGUCCUUCCUAGAAAAGGGUACUCCUGAUGAGCAGAAACUCAAAAGGGCAGGCUUCAUGAAACUUAAAAGUAGACAUGCAGGAGGCAUUCUGCGAGGACCUGGCUUAUCACCGUCGUUCAGGGCUGCCAUCAUCCUGGUCGGCAUUUUACAAGUACAUGGCUGAGCGCAAUCGUUCAGGUAUGUCGACAUCCUCGGCAUCGAGCAAUUAAGCAUCACCUUUCCCUAAAAGUCAUAUUUGACAGCUAGGAAACUAAAAAGAGUUUAGCGCGCCCGAUUGGUAUUUGUAUUUUUUUUUUUUUUCCCUCAAGUGAUCUGGUAUGUAUCAAUUAGUUUGUAAAUUAUUGUAUUGUCUCAAGUCCCGUUAGACGCGAACGUAUAGCAUGGAUCACAAACUCAUUUCAUAUAACAUUGAUUUUGUAAAAUUAUAUAAUUUAUAGGCUAUGCUCAAAAAAUUAGAAAAGAAAAAAGAAUUGUAUUACAAUUGGUACGAGGCAUGCAUGCGUAUGUCAUAUCAGUUGCUGAACAAACUUUGCCUUUUAAUUUUGUAGGCAUUACUAUCUCAAAUUUUCUAUUAUCAUAAAUGAAUUUUCUUUUUCUUUUUAACAAAUCAUAAAUGAGAUUAAGAUAAUUUUUUUUUUUUAAAAAAAAAGAAAACUGGAGAUUUCUUUUUAUAUUUCCUUAAAAAAUGAAGAAAAGUUUAGAAAGUAGUGAGAGAUGGAGAAAUAAAGUAUUUAUAUUCAUAAAUAUAAUUUGUUUGGUGCAGCAACACAAACUAAUAAAUUAUAACUUAUGGGAUUAGUUUACAGAAUCUUACAUAUAAAAUUAUAUCCUCUGAAUAAAAAUCUUCACACCUCUUUUGACUUCUCAUUUAGACCCCCUUUCUGGAACCUCUUCAGCGAUAAACACAUUUUCAUUAAGCAAAACAGAAAAAAUUAUAUAUAAUUGUUCAUAACGACCAUUUCAUUUGUACAUAGUAUGUAAUUGGCCACUAAAAUUAUUUGAGGGGAAAAUUUACAUGAGAUGGGUGCAUCACAUUAUCAAUAUUUUAGUCUCAAUUUGAACAUACAUUCGCUGCACGAAUCUUAUUAGAAUGGUCUCUCAUAAAUUUUUCUCCAAUUUGAGAGAUAGUGGGGAGUGAUCAAAGUGCAUCUAUACAGAAUUAAUUAAAAUAAAUUUUAUUUUUUAACUAUUUUUACUCAAAGUAGUAGUUCUUCUUUUUAUUAGUGUUCUUCCAAUUAUAUCAAAUUAAGUAGUUCAUUAAAUUUUUUAAGUAACGUAUGGUCUGGAGUUUUUAUACAUCCAAUAUUAGUGUUAUUCCUUUUGCCCUUUCGAGCACGAAUUCGAAUCCAAUACUUUAUAAUAAAGAUAUAAAAUUAUUCAGUUCAAAAGAUAUAACAUUAUUAUAAUACUAAUAAUAACAUUAAAAUAUUAAAAAAUAAGUAAAAAAAAAAUCCAAAAUUUUUACUGGUAUACAACGCAUAGCCAAAGCGAUAGCGAAACAUCAAAUUGUUUUUAUUUCAAUCUUCGCGCAACUGCCGGUGACAUAUUUUUUCUCUGUUUCACGUAAAUACCCAAAACUAAACUUUGCAUGUAUCAUUCUUGUAUUUUUGUUAUUCAUUCACAGAUCCUUCUCUUCUUUGCUUUUCUUUUUUGCUGUAAUUUUUUAUUAGACACUCUGUUUCAGUUCUGUUUCUGGUUUUGUUUCAGUUUAAUAUUAUUGGUUCGGUUAUGUUCUGCUCUGUUCUCUGUUGUAUAUAUAUAUGUAUAUAUUUUUGGCCUCGAAUUGCUUUGAUCACCGGUUUUGUAAUUCAUUUAUCAUGAAUUUUAGAUACCCAUUAAACUUGUUUGGUCAUGCAUUCACUUGAUUGUUAGAUUCAGCUGCCAUUUUCAUGGUGGGUUUGUAAGAUAGUCUCUGACUAACAUACGGCAUUGAUUAUGAAUGAUGGUUUUGUGAGAUACAUCAUACAGACGUUAACUCGUAUUAAUGUGUACUCACUUCAUUCAAAAGAUUAGUGUUUUUCUCUUCUUUUUUUUUAAAUUUGAAAUGCAUCUUUUCGCAUUUUAUAGGUGAAAGAAAGAAAAAUAAUAUUGCAGAACUAGAAUAAAGAAGCCCAUUGUGGUAUCUAUUGUCCAAGGAAGCUUCAAUCGAAGUCAAAUCUUAGCAGAGCUAGGCGGAGUCGUUGCUGAAGGAAUAUAUAUUAGCAGACCCAUUUGUCCCGUACACUUCAAUUGUUGGCAGCAUUUUUGCUUGCAAGAUGGUUUGUUUUUCAUCGUUACUUACAAGCAAAUAUUUUGAAUGCAUAGUUUUUAUCUAAUUAGUUAUAAAAUUCUUAUACCCGCUGUUUUCUGUAAGAGUGUGUUCCUUUUCAGGUCUAUGAUCUUGCCCAAUUGAUGAGUGCUGUUCACUUUAAAAGUUAUUCCAGUUUCUCCUGCAUACAGCGGGCGGAGUGGAGUAACAGGUGAUCGAAUACUUUCAUUUAGUUCAAUUGACAUUUCUUUUUCAAUUGGUAAAGUUUAAUCAUUUUUGUUAAAUCGACAACUUAUGCAGGGCCAUAUCAACCGUCCAUGCCAUUUUUGUUACAGCUAUGUCUUUGUACUUCGUGUUUUGGUCUGAUCUCAGAGUUUGUGCGUAGCACACUUGUUUCUAUUGUUUGAUUGUCCCUUCAUAGACAUUUCGAUAAACUGUUAUUUUUGUUCUUUGGAAGUGAAUAUUUUCCGCAACUAGAACUCCGAAGCAUCUGGAAUGAUCCAUUUUAUGAUUCUUAAUACCUAUAAAAGAAUGUCAUAGAAAACAGUUUCCAAAGCAAGUUGCAUGUGGUUUGAAUUUGUCUUUGGAAGCCCUAAUUGCUUGGAGCACACUGUUAGCCAGUCGUGAUUCCAUCCACUUUUUUGGAUAGACAAUUAUGCAUCCAUCUGAUCUGGUCUAAACUAGUUUUUAAUAAAUAAUUGCCCAACGGUUUAGUCUGAGUGUUACAGCCCAGUCUUUGUUGUCAAUACUCUUUCCCCCGUCGUGGAUGAGCGCCAUAACAGCUUCUUAAUGUUUUGCAGUGGCUUUUGCACGGUUGUUUUUUUCCUUCUGAAGCUAGAGUAGCUAUGGAUAGAGCAGAUGCCGAUGCCACCAAUUUUUAUACUGGCCUUUCAGCAUCAAAAUCAAAAGGAUCAAGUGGGAACUUAAAGGAGGUUUAUUUGAAUGAAACACCCUCUAUGCAAGCCAAGAGACUCCAAUUAAUACUGCAAGCUCUGCUUAAAACAGGUAUUUAUCUCAACAAAAUAUUAGAACCUUUGCACCACUAGAGACAUUUUCUUAGAGCAUUUACUGGACUUUCUAUGAUUCCAGUAGAGACGGGUCGACGCUCUACCGCAAUCCAUCUGUCUAUUUAUUUUUUGUUUGGAAAUGUAACAAUUUAUAGCUGGCAAAGUAAUAGAGUUGUAUACUUGUAUUUAAUUUAUUAUUAUUAUUUUUUUAAUGACUCGGUAAUGUCAUUGUCCAUGGUGUUUUGUCAUUUCGAAAGUACUUACCCCUUUGACGCUAAGGCACAUUACAGCAGCCGAAAUUUUGAGCUUUCAGUUCUUGAUUUUAGCGUGAGGGGUAUCUUUGUCUUUUCAGUAGUCAACACACGGUCAACAAAACAGUCUACAAGCAAUCAGGGGGCAAAUCGGAUCUUUGAGUUUUCAGUAGUCAACAAAACAGUCUACAAGCAAUCGGGGGGGAAAUCGGAGAUAAGCUGAUACUUUCUAUCAUAGUGGAGAAACGCCAAACCUCAGGGGAGGAAACUGGAAAUUACCCCUUCGCGACCUGUGAACUUGGGUCAAAACUUUCAUCUUUAAACCUAAUAGGUAGAUACCAAUGGGCCUUUGGUCCAGUGGGAGAGCCCUUGCACUUAGAAUAAUGAGUGCAAGGGUUCGAGCCUCCAUAAAAGCAUUUAUGGGGCUUAUUUACAAUCCUUCCUCAAUUAUCACACAAUUGAGUGGAGCCAGUCUAUUCCUCACGAAAUGUGAGUAGAGUGGACAGCCCUCGAAUAUUUGAGAGGGUUUGAAGAAUUUGGGCAGCGCUUCAGAGGAGUACAUGCCACGAUGAAGGUCCCAAUUGUAGAAUCUGUGUGUAAAUAUUAAUUGUAAUACCUACAGUCCUGUAUAAACAGUAUUCAAAAAAAAAAAACCUAAUAGGUAGAUCGCGAUUCAAGCUUCAGUUAUAAGCAUUUCAUUGUGAUUGAUAUUAUUCUUUCUUGAUAUAUAUAUAUAUAUAUAUAUAUAUAUAUAGAUUCAGUUUGAAUAUGGUUCUUGAUGGUAUCAUGGAAAAUGCGAACGAAAAGUCAGCAUCUUUGAGUUUUGUCUCAUCAUAUCAAACUUGUUGGUCCACUAAUCAAUCAACAGGCACUUGUGAUCUUGAUAAUUUGAACUUAAGGAGGCAAAGCAGCAAUCCCAAAGAGACAUGGCUUGAAGCUGAGAUUGUUGUUGAGGGCAAAUCAGUGGCGGUUAAUCGCAGCAUAUUGUCUGAGCGCAGUCAAUUUUUUCGUCGGCUUUUUAAUUUGAGAAAUGAUGGGAAAGCCAGGUAUCUUUUGACUGAUUUGGUGCCUCAUGGGAAGGUUGGAUAUGAAGCUUUCAAGGAUACCUUGCAUUUUCUUUACACUGGAAUGAUUAAGGAAUCUCCUCCAGAAGUGUCCACGUGUGUUGAUGAUGCUUGUGCUCAUUUUGCUUGCCCUCCUGCUAUUAAUUAUGGUAUUGAGUUGAUGUAUGCUUCCGCUGCUUUUCAGAUGAAAGAACUCGUUGUUCUUUCGGAGGUAAUUGUGCUUCCCUGCUAUUUGUAUUGCUUAAAUUUAUGCUUCUUGGUAUAGUUUUAACAUAUAUGGGAUUGAAAUCAAUUUCAGUUGUGAAGCAACUUCGGUGGUUCCCAAUAUUAGGCAUUGUAGUAGAUCCAAAACUAGCUUAUUAAAAAGUGUAGAUAUCGUAGAGCCCAAAACUUCGUCUUAUCUUGCAAGAGUCUGUUGUUUUAUUUUGAAAGAGACAAAAGUGAUGAUGAUGGGCAGCGAGCUCUAGGAAUCAAUGCUUGCUGACACUGACUCCCAAGAAUCAAUGAGUCUGAAUUUGAUAAGUGCACCUAUCCUAUCACAAAAGCUUUUGCGUUGAGUUUCUAACCAAGGAAAAUUGUCACUUCUGUCUGUAGGCUUCAUAGAUUUGUUCAAGCCUUCAAGGAUGUCUAGCUGUUACUUACCGUCCAACAAUGGUGCUACAUUUCUAGUGAAUGAUAUGUUAUUCUACAUCUGUAUAUUGCAACUUUGACAAACUUCGCCUUUCCUUUGUUGAUUCACUCGUCUCACUUUUAUUAAAUUGCCCGAUUAUGAAAUGGUCUAUUGGAGACUAGCAAUGGAAGGUUUCUUCUGGAAAAAAUUUUACUUGACCACUAAUUUUCAUUUGGGUGGGUGUCAGUUCAUGCUCUGGCUUGACUGUUCUGUUAUUUAGGUUGUUUUAUCCGUAUUUUCUCACUCACUUGAUAGUUAGUUCUCUCAUGCUUUCAAGCUCAACAGUGAAUGCGGAUGCGAGAGAUUCUCUUUUUUCCCGUACAGGCUAUAACCUAGCAAAUCAUUAAUGCUGUAGAAUAACAUCUUGUGUAGGUGAGCUUAUGUCUCUGAACAUUGGUCCAUCGGCAUUUAGGUUCGAUAAGCAUGGCACUGAUUUUCCCCCUCAUUAUUAUUUUCCUACACAGAUUAUCCCUGUUAAGUAUUUGAAUUUUGAAUAUAUUAUUCUGAAUCAAAACUCUAUCUGUCUGUGUAGCAUUUUGUAUAUGCUUUAUGAUGUUUACCAAUAAUUACCCACUAUGGGGUAUUUGAAUUUUGAAUAUAUUAUUUUGAAUCAAAACUCUGUCUGUCCGUGUAGUUUAGGCUUCUGUACAUGGCUGGGAAGGCUCCUGUGGAAGAUGUAAUCCCAAUUCUCGUGGCUGCCGUCCAUUGCCAACUGAACAUGCUCCAUUCUUACUGCAUCCAGAGAAUUGCAGGGUCAAAUCUUGACAAUCUUUGUCUCGAGAAAGAGCUUCCUGAUGAAGUUUCAAGAGAAAUCAAAUCACUCCGUGUCAAAUCCAACCAGGAGUCUGAAGCUAAUAUAGCAGAAGUGGAUCCUAUGCAUGCAAAAAUAGUCAGAAGUAUCCAAAAGGCGCUGGACUCUGAUGACGUUGAACUGUUGAAGCUUCUUCUGGAUGUAUCUAAUGUCACUCUGGAUGAUGCUUAUGCUCUGCACUAUGCUGCUGCCUACUGCAGCCCUAAGGUUUUUAAGGCAGUGCUCAAUAUGGACUUGGCUGGUCUCAAUCUUAAGGAUGCAAGAGGUCGUACGGUGCUUCAUGUGGCUGCAAGGCGUAAUGAGCCAGAAGUGAUGGUGACUCUGCUGAGCAAGGGAGCAUGCGCGUCAGAAACUACAUCAGAUGGGCAAACAGCUGUAGCAAUCUGUCGGAGAAUGACAAGGCGAAAGGAUUAUAUUGAAGCUUCAAAGCAGGGGCAGGAAACUAACAAAGACCGGUUAUGCAUUGACGUCCUUGAGAGAGAGAUGAGAAGGAACUCCAUGUCUGAGAACUUGGCAAUGUCAUCGGAGGGGAUGGAUGAUGAUUUCCAAAGGAAGCUGGACUUUCUGGAAGAAAAAGGUGAUAUUUCUUUACGGGUAUUAGUUCAUCACCUUCUCAGAGUUUUUGCUAUGCACACUUCUUUGUACUGUUUGUUUGUCCCUUCAUAUGGAAAAUAGAGGUGAUAUUCCUUUACUGGUAUUAGUAAAUCAUCUUCUCAAGAGUUUGUGAGUCCCUUCAUUUUAGCAUCUCGAACACGCAUGGGCUCACUGCUUGGGGCACACUGUUGGCCAGUCAUGUGAUUUGAUCCCCUUUUUUGGAAUAGAGAAUUCUGAAUCCAUCUGAUCUAGGCUUGGUGGUUUGCACUGAACUGGUUUUUGAUAAAUAAUUGUACAAGACUUUGUCAUCAAAACCUUUUUUUUUUGUUUUUUGUUUUUUGUUUUCCAAAGGUAAAGAGGUACAAUACAAUUUAUGCCUAUCCUGGAUGAGUGCCAUAACAGCUUCUUAAUAUUUUGCAGUGGCUUUUGUACGGUUUUUUCCUUCUGAAGCUAGAGUAGCUAUGGAAAUAGCAGGUGCGGAUACCGCCACUGGCCUUUCAGCAUUAGGUCAGAAAGGACUAAGUGGGAACUUAAAGGAGAUUGAUUUGAAUGAAACGCCCUCUAUGCAAGCCAAGAGACGCCAAUUGAGACUGCUAACUCUGCUUAAAAUAGGUAUUUAUAUACUUUAUUAACUUUUGCACCUUUCUAUUUACUGAUUAUCUUUAUAAUUAACUAAUACAUGUAUCCUCGUUUCUCCUUCCAUUUCAUUAAAGGGAGGUUAUUGGGAAGUUAAAAUUGGUAGUUGUGGGAAAAGGGUAAUGGCAGUUAUAAAAUCUCUUUUAUAGCAAAUUCAAAUCAAGUUUCAAAUUUUAGGAGUACUUAAUUCAAUAAAAUAAGGAAUAAAUAAAGCUUUCAUUGAAACAAAACUAAGUAAAAAUAUUCCCAACGAAUGAGCACUUCUUAAUUUUCAUUUAUAAGAAAAAAGAGAGAGAGAGAGAGAGAGAGAGAAUUUAUAAUAAAAAAAUAUAACUACACAUUAGUUAAACCCUAAUGAGCUACGGGAAAGCUUCUCCACCGCCGCUGGCGAGCGACCGUUUCACCAAAAAGACAAAGUUUAGGGCUGAAGGGGCUGAUGGAGAUAACCCUAAGCCCUUAUCCUACCGUGAUAUUGCCAUGGAGGCGAAUGGGGGUUCUGCAAAUAUGGGGUUUGGCAUGAGGGACGAGUGGGAACUGGAAGAGGAGGAUGUCUGUUGCAAGGAGGACGAAUCUAUGCCCUAUAUUGCUUUCUCACAAAGGGUUCACGAUCGACUAGCAAAACCUUGGGCGAACUCAGUUGUCGUUAAAACUCUUGGACGAAACUUGGGAUAUAGAGUUAUCAGCGAGCGUUUGAAAAGACUCUGGAGUUCUACAAUGGGUUUCUCCAUCAUUGACUUAGCUAAUGAUUACUACUUGGUCCGUUUUCAGAACGAGGGAGAUGUGGAAUAUGCUCUUACUGAGGGGCCUUGGACCAUCAUGGGGCAUUAUCUUUUUGUUCAGCAAUGGACACCGGAGUUUGAUGCUACCACGAAUAGAGUUGAUCGGAUUGUGGCUUGGAUUCGUUUGUCUGGCAUGAAUAUUCACUUUUAUCAUAAAACUAUUAUUCGGCGGUUAGGGCAAAUUGUUGGCCCGGUCAUCAAGAUAGACUAUCUCACUGCCGCAGCCCAAAGGGGAAAAUUCGCUCGCAUUGCGGUUCAACUAGACCUUGACAAGCCGCUGGUUUCUCAAUUUAAUUUUGAGGGAAGAAUCCAAAAGGUGGAGUAUGAAAAUCUGCCCAUGAUUUGUUUUUGUUGUGGCAAGUUUGGCCAUUAUCAAGAUGCUUGCCCUGACGGUGGUACCACGCAUGUGGAAGCGGCACAGCCAACUUCUUGUCCUGUUGCUGCAAACCAGAAUAUUGUGGUGGAGGAGGGUUCUAACCAAAAUGAGUCUAAGUUUGGAUCGUGGAUGGUGGUAACCCGUAAACCUCGCCCUCGUAGAUCUACAGAAAGGGUUUCUUCUAAGGUCUGGGUUCAGGAUCAACAGGGGCUGAAUGUUCGUGUGUCGCGGUUUGAUGUUUUAGGCAAAGUGAUGGAUGACGAAAUUGUACCACAAAAUCAGGACAACACUUCGGUAGUCCAUCAGGAAAUCCUGGAGCCAACAGUAGAAAACCCCAACACAUUAGCCCCAAAAUCCAGGAGCAUGAAAAAGAAACAAGUGAGUCACUUUAUGCGGAAAUAUCCUACCAAGAAAAUUUCAGUUUCGGCAAACAACUCCAUAGCUGAAAAUAUCAACCCAAACAAUCAUAGCCGUGGCCAGACUUUCCAACCACAUAAGCCUACCCUAGCCAUGCAAGGCAUGCACGCACAUCUCAAGGUUCUUACAACAUCUGAACCAAGUGCCACCUCCGAUGUUCCCUGUAGCUCCAUGCAUGGCAUGCAUGCCCAUCCCAACACACUGGCUGCUUCUCCGAUGCCUGUUCAUGUAACCCUUAACCCGUUAAACCACAGUGCAGUUUCUUUCCCCAACCUUCAGCUACAAUUUCCUCAUCCUCGGUCUCAUCAUGAACACUUGCCUGAGGGAGUUUUGGCCCUAAAUUUGGAUAAAGAGCCUCCCGAUGAGGAUGGAAUGGAGAGCCCUAAGUUCCGGGGGGGAGAUUUUAGGGAGCUUGAUUCAGAUGUUGCGGGUAGGAUUUUGCCUUCAACUGAUGACGAUAAUUCAGGGGUUCCUGACACCUUCAUGGAUGAUGAAGCUGAAGCCAUAGGGCUGUCUUAGUUUCGCCCCCGUUCCCCUUUUAAAAUAUUUUUGUUAUGUGUAUUACAACUAUGUUUUGGAAUGCUCAAGGUGCUGCCUCACCGUCCUUUCGUCGUUCUUUCUCUGCUGUGGUUACCAAUUACAAGCCCAUAAUGGUGGUGUUAAUGGAGCCUCGCAUCAGUGGGUCCAAGGCGGAUAACUUCAUCAAGAAUAGUGGUUUUGAAAAGUCUCACCGAGUGGAAGCUGAGGGUUUUUCGGGCGGCAUUUGGAUCCUUUGGAAAAAUUUAUUUGAUGUUGAGAUAGUGGAGAAUCAUACUCAAUUCAUUCACCUCAAGAUUUCAAGGAACAAUAAUCUUCUAACUUGGAUGACGGCAAUCUACGCUAGUCCUAAUCCAAGCAUUAGGAGGCAUCUUUGGAAUGAGUUGGCAAAGAUUGCUUUGACUGUCCAGGGCCCUUGGUUGUUAGGUGGAGAUUUUAAUACUAUUCUGUAUAAUUCUGAGAAGAAAGGAGGAUCUCCGAUGGGCGCAGGAGUGUGCAGACUUUUUCAGUCUUGGUUUCAUAGUCACGGCAUGCAUGACCUUCCUUUUCAUGGGCCACGUUUUACUUGGUCUCGCGGCAAUCUUUUCAAACGUCUUGAUAGAGUGAUUUGCAAUGGAGAUUGGGCUCAGACUUAUGCUGCCUCUACUCUCCUUCACCUUCCAAAGUUUAUUUCUGAUCAUCGGCCUCUUCUAGUGAAAGAGAAUAUUAAUCCUCCGAGAAAUUUGAAUUCUAGGCCGUUUCGUUUUCAGGCGGCUUGGCUCACGAAUGAUGGUUUCAAGGAUUUUGUGGCCACUUCAUGGGAUCGGAACGUCACCUAUAUGGAGGCGGCAAUUUUUGGCGGAAACGACGAUUAAUGGCUCGGCUGGGGGGAAUUCAGCGGGCCUUGGAGAAGUAUAGUUCUCAAGGGCUCCUUGAGGGGGAAUUCAGCGGGCCUUGGAGAAGUAUAGUUCUCAAGGGCUCCUUGAGCUUGAAUUAAAGUUGAGAACCGAGCUUGAAGGCUCCUUUUAGGUGAUCGUAACACUUCCUACUACCAUCAGAAAACUUUAUCUAGAAGGCGUCGGAAUCAUAUUACAGCCAUUAAAAAUAAUGCGGGCACUUGGAUUUAUGAUAAAGAGGAAAUUAAGCAGCAUGUGAUUCAGUUCUAUUCAUCCCUGUAUUCUUGCGACUCGCCAAAUUUCCGGGCAUAUCCGCAUCCGAACUCUUUUCCUAUUAUUAAUGAUAAGGAGCUUCAAUAUCUUCAGGGGAAUGUGGAUGAUGAUGAAAUUAAAAGAACCAUCCUUGGCAUGCACCCUCUCAAGGCCCCGGGUCCGGAUGGCCUCCAUGCCAUUUUCUAUCAAACACAGUGGGAUACGGUUGGCCCAUCUCUUUGCUGCUUAGUGAAAGAUGUUUUUCAGCAUAAACGUUUGCCGGGGGAUCUAAAUGCUACAUUGCUUGCGCUUAUUCCAAAGAUUGAGAAUCCCUCUUCUUUGAAGUUGUACCGUCCCAUCUCUCUCUGCAAUGUAGCGUACAAGACCAUUACCAAGAUUAUUGCCAAUCGGCUCCAAUCGAUUUUACCUCAUCUGAUUGGCCCCCACCAAACUAGCUUUGUUCCCGGUCGUCACAUAACGGAAAAUAUUGUGAUCGCUCAAGAAGUCAUCCAUUCCAUGAGGAAAAAGACUGGUGCUAAAGGUUUUAUGGCGAUCAAGGUUGAUCUUGAGAAGGCGUAUGAUCGCCUUAGUUGGGAAUUUAUCAAUGAUACUUUGUGCGAAGCUCAAAUUCCCCCCGAUCUCAUUCAGACUAUUAUGGCUUGUAUUACCUCAGUCAAAAUGCGGGUUUUGUGGAAUGGGGAAGUGACGGAUGAAUUCGUUCCUUCCCGUGGAAUUCGCCAGGGUGAUCCGUUGUCUCCUUAUCUUUUUGUUCUCUGCAUCGAACGCUUGAGCCAUGGGAUUCAUAAUGCCGUGACUGCUGAUAAGUGGAAACCGAUUCAUUUGGCUCGCAAUGGUAUCCCUCUCUCUCAUCUUUUCUUUGCGGAUGAUCUCCUGUUGUUGGCUGAAGCUUCUAUUGAGCAAGCUCGUAUUCUAUCGGCAGUCUUGGAUGCUUAUUGUUACAGUUCAGAAGCUAAGGUUAAUGUUAACAAGACUAUGUUAUACUUUUCCAAGAAUGUAAGGGGUAUAGAUGUGGCCAGGAUCUCGGGUAUUCUUGGUUAUUCUGUCACGCAGGAUCUUGGGAAGUAUCUUGGGGUCCCUCUCCACCACUCACGGGUCACCAAUAAAAUGUUCCAGGAUAUUAUUGAUAAAGUUGAAAAGCGGCUCUCUGGCUGGAACGCUUCCCAUUUGUCUCUGGCUGGCCGCAUUACUCUGGCUCAGUCGGUCCUUCAGGCUAUUCCCAUUUACGUCAUGCAAACUGUUUCUAUUCCGGCUAGUAUCAGAGAGAAGAUUGAUAGGGCAUGCAGGCGCUUUAUUUGGAGUGGCUCUUCACCUAAUCAAAGCCUUAGCAUGAUCAGCUGGAAGGAUAUUUGUAAGCCAAAGUCAGCCGGGGGGUUGGGGUUCAAAUCCUUGGCUAUCAUGAACCGGGCCCUUCAUAUGAAACUUGCUUGGGGUCUCCUCUCUUCCCCAAACAGCUUCUGGGUUCAGGUCCUUGUCUCUAAAUAUGGGGUUGACAUUCGCAAUCCGCCUCUUUUGCUUCCAACGCGCUAUGGUUCUCACUUGUGGAAGUCUAUCGGAAAUGUGUGGAGUGAUGUUUUGGCAAGCCGACGCUGGUGCUUGGGAGAUGGUAAAUCCGUUUGGUUUUGGUGGGAUCUUUGGGUGACUAAGGAUGUCCCUCUUGCGGCUUAUACAACCAAUAAUCUUCCUAGCAAUAUCUUAAACGGUAAAGUGGCUGAUUUUGUUAAAGAAGAUGGUUCCUGGCACUGGGAGCGUUUUGAACAAUUUCUUCCUGCUAAUAUCAUUAUUCAGAUUGCGGCUUUUCAUCCCCCAUCCCCUGAUAAGGGUACGGAUUCUUUGUUUUGGACUCACUCCAAAUCUGGGCGUUUCACUACUCACUCGGCCUACUUGGCCUUUUCGAAUGAUACUCCCAUGAAUGAUGACAGGCUCUGGCGUACGGUUUGGAGUUGGAAGGGUCCCCAAAGUGUGAGGAUCUUCUUAUGGCAAGCAUUUCACGAUCGUCUGAAAACUAAGGCCGAAUUAGUUCGUCGUCACAUCCCGGUAUCAACCUCCUGCGACCGGUGUGGGGCUGCGACUGAGGAUGCUAUGCAUGUCUUGCGGGACUGUGCUUUGGUUAAGCGUUUCUGGCUCCUGAUUCUCCCAGAAAAUAAACGACAACAAUUCUUCAAUUGGCGGCUCCAUGAUUGGCUUCGUACGAACCUGGGAAUGGUCGGAGGGCUAGGGAGUGUUUCUAAUUGGGCCAUCUUCUUUGGUAUUGCUCUCUGGAGACUUUGGUUUUGGAGGAACCAAUUCAUCUUUAAUCAAGUUUCUAUGGAUCCGAAUACUGUUUUAAUGGAUGUUUUUAUGCGCACUGCGGAAAUGCAUAAGAUUCAUUCUCAUCCGCUUACCUCAGGACAUACAAGAGUGAUGAGAUGGAUUUCUUGGAAACCUCCAGAUUGGCCUUGGUGCUCUCUGAACACGGAUGGUGCCCAUAACAGGGAGGGAAUUUCUUCUGCUGGGGGAUUGAUUCGCGAUCACAUGGGUCGCUGGAUAAGUGGUUUUGGGAUGAUGAUAGGUUCCUGCUCUGUUACAGUAGCGGAGCUUUGGGGUUUGUAUCAAGGGUUGCAGCUAGCCUGGAAUUCUGGUAUAAGAAAGCUUAAAGUGGAAAUAGAUAGUCGUUGUGUGCUGCAGUUGGUGACCAAGCCAACAUUGGAAAUCAAUCACUAUACUCCUCUGAUUCGAGCUAUCAAGGAUUAUCUAAAGAUGGAUUGGCAAGUUUCUGUUUCCCAUAUUUACAGAGAAGCUAACUUCGCAGCGGAUUAUAUGGCGAGCCUAGCCUUCUCUAUCCCUCUUGGUCUUACUAUCUACCAUACUCCCCCGUUGGGUGCUAGACCCUUUUUGUUUAAGGAUGCUUAUGGGGUUGCCCAUUCUCGCUCGAUUGUUCUUUAGCUCUGCCUAGAGCCCCUUUUUACCAAAAAAAAAAAACUAAGUAAAUUCAUUUAAAGCAAAAAAGGAUGCGAGCAUUACUAUGGGUUCUUAUGUUUACCCGCAGUCAGACAUCUGGGACCUUGUUAUUUGGAGACGAGACUUGAUUGUGCCAUGUUUUCCAUAGCCAGAUAUCUUUUAGUUCAUUAUUUCGUAGACAUCUGUGGAUAAGAGAACCCUAAGGGUGCGUUUGGUACAUUGUAUUGUAUUAUGCUGUAUUGUAUUAUUUUAAUACUAAUGUAUUGUAUUAUGUUGUAUUGCAUUAGCACUGUAUUAUAAUAAUGCUAUACAAUGUUUGAUGUUACACUGUACUGUAUUAGAUUUUAAUUAUAUUAUAUUACAAUUGUUGUAACAUAAACACGACCAAAAUAAAUUGUACUAAAUAAUCUAAGUAAGAGUUCUGUAGUAUAUGUAAUAAUACUAUUUAUAUUAUUAUUAUUAAUAAUUCUAAAUUAAUAUUAUUUAAUUUUAUUCAUAUUUAAAUAUGUAUUAUUAGUUUAUUAAAUUAUUUAAAAAUAAUUAAUUUUUAUAUAUUAAUUAUUGUAACUUAAUUAAAUAAUGUAAUGCUAUAUUAUAUUUUUAUAUACUAUUUAAGUAUUUAUUAUUAAUUAUAUUCAAUUAUAAAUUUAUUAAUAAAUUAUAAUGUAAAAAUAAAAAAAAUAAAAAUUAAUAUGUAUAAUAUUAUAUUAAAUUAAAGUUUUAUUUUUAUUACUAUUAUUAUAAAGUAAAAAAAAAAAGGCAAGCUACUGACUUUUGAAACACAAAAGUCAGUAAUACAGCCUAAUCACGAGGGGGGGCGCGAGUUUUGAUAAUGCGGCAAAAGCUGCAUUGUAAUGCUGCUCAAUAUAAUCCAUUUGAUCACCAAACACAUGUAUAUUUUAACUAAUGCUGGGCCCACAAGAUAAUACAAUGCAAUACCACAUGCCAAACAUACCCUAAUGGUGCGUUUGGUACACUGUAUUGUAUUAUGUUGUAUUGCAUUAUUUUAAUAUUGGUAUAUUGUAUUAUGCUGUAUUGCGUUAGCAUUGUAUUAUAACAAUGUUGUACAAUGUUUGGUGUUAUACUGUAUUGUAUUAAUUUUUAAUUAAACUAUAUUUGAUGUUACAUUGUAUUGUAUUAAUUUUUAUGAUUAAUUAAAUUAAAUAAUUAAAAAUUAUAUUUAUUAAUACUUAGAAAAAUAAUAAAUAUAGAAAUCUUAAUUGUAGAAAUUUAACAAUUUUUUAGUAAAUAUUAAAAAUUAAUGAUUAAAUUUCUAAAAUUUGUAUUAUAAUUAUGAUAAAAUAAAUUUAUAAAAUUUAAUAUUAUAUGUAAAUAAUAAAUUUAGAUUAUAAUUAAUAUUAUAAUUGUUAAUAUAAAUUAAUAAAUUAUUAUUCAACAAUAUUAAAUUAUAUUUUAAUUUACAAUAUAUUAUUAUUUUUACAUUUUAAUAUAUUAAUAAAUUUAUAAUUUAAUAUAAAUAUUUAUAAAUAUUUAAAUUUGUAUAAAUUUAAAUAAUUUUAAUUUUAAAAUUAAUAUUAAUGUAAAUAAUAUUAUAAUAUUAAUAUAAAUAAUAUUAUAAUAUUAAUAUAUUAUUUACAUUAAUCAUUAAUAAAUAAAAUAAUAUUAUCAUAUAAUUUGUUUUUAUAUUUUAUUCAUUAUAUUAGUAUUUAAUAAUAAAAUAAUUUAUUUUUAUAAUAUUUUAAUAAAAUAAAUUUGCCUCAAUUGAGGCAUUAACUGUUGCCUCAAUUGAGGCAAAAAGCUUCCGCAUUACGCAAACCCAUCGGGUUUGCGUAAUGCGGCCCCAUGCCUCAUUAUGCUGCAUUAUAAUGCAGUAUAAUAAGGUCUCAAAUUUUACCAAACAUCUUUUUGGCAAUAAACUAAUGUGAAUAGUGGUAUAAUACCACACAAUCCCAUGCACCAAACACGCCCUAAGCGUAUUGAGAAUAAAUUUCGUGAUCCAAGACUCUUCAGUUCUUUCAUUUGUGGCUAAUUAGUUAUAAAAUUUGUGAAUUUCAUGCCCCAUGCCCCUUGCAAAAUGUAUUUUAUAUCCUUAAGAUGCCGGUUGUUGAACUGAAAUAAUAAAAAAUGGAAAACAGACUUAAUGCUGAUAGCAUUUCUUCAGAAAAACUUGGGAUGUUUAUAAGUUUCUUAGAGCAUUUGCUGAACUUUCUGUGAUCGCAGUCGAGACGGGUGAACGAUACUUCCCUCAUUGCUCAGAAUUGGUUGAUCGCUUUUUGCAUUGGCCCUAUGCUUCCACCCCAGAAAUGGACGAGGAGAAACUUAAAGUAUACGUGCAGGAGGCACUCCGCAAGGACGUGGCUUAUCACCGUCGUUCAGGGCUGCCAUCAUCCUGGUCGGCAUUUUACAAGUACAUGGCUGAGAGCAAUCAGUCGGCAUUUUACAAGUACCUGGCUGAGAGCAAUCGUUCAGGAAUGUCGACAUCCUCGGCAGCGGAAAACUAAAGGAGUUGAGUGAGCUCUGCUCGAUUGGUUUUUGUAGUUUCUUUUUUUUUUUUCCUCAAGUGAUCUGGCAUGUAUCAAUUAGUUUGUAAAGUUAUUGUAUUGUCUCAAGUCCGGUAAGAUGCGCGAACGUAUAGCAUGGAUCACAAACUCAUUUCAUAGAUUAUUUUUUUGUAUAAUUAUAUAAUUUAUAGGCUUUGCUUAAAAAAUUAAAAAAGAAAAAAAGAAUUGUAUUACAAUUGGUAUGAGGCAUGCUUGUGUGUGUCAUAUCAGUUGCUGAACAAACUUUGCCUUUUAGUUUUGUAGGCACUACCAUCUCAAAUUCUUUGUUAUCAUGAAUGAGUAUUUUUUUUCUUUUUUUUCUUUUUUAACAAAUCAUAAAUGAGAUUAAGAUAAUCUUUUUUUAAAAAAGAAAAAAAAUGGAGAUUUCUUUUAUUUUUCCUUAAAAAACUGAAGACAAAUUUAGAAGGAAGUGAGAGACGGAGAAUUAAAGCAAUUUUAUUCACAAAUGUAAUGUAUUUGGUGCAGCAAUACAAACUAAUAAAUUAUAAUUUAUGAGACUAGUUUACAGAAUCUUAUAUAUAAAAUUAUAUCCUCUGAAUAAAAAUCUUCUCACCUCUUUUGACUUCUCAUCUAGUUUACAGAAUCUUAUAUAUAUAACACAUUUUUAUAAAACAAAACAGAAAAAAAAAUUAUAUAUAAUUGUCACAAGGACUAUUUCAUUUGCACAUAGUACGCAAUUGGUCACUAAAGUUAUUUGAGGAGAAAAUUUACAUGAGAUGGGUACAUCAUAUUAUCAGUAUUUUAGUUUAAAUUUGAACAUACUAGAAUGGUCUCUCAUAAAUUUUUCUCCAAUUUGAGAGAUGGUGGGGGAGUGGGGUUAAAGUGCAUCUACAUAGGAUUAAUUAUAAUUAAAUUUAUUUUUUAAAACUAUUUUAACUAGAAGCAGUGGUAAUUCUUUUUAUUAUUGUUAUUCAAAUUAUAUCAAAAUCUCGUGACUCGUGAUCAAAUUAAGUAGUUCAUUAAACUUUUUUAGGUGACGUAUGGUAUGGAGUUUUUAUAAAUCUAUAAAUAUAGUAAAAUAUUUAAUUUUGCUUGUCGUAAACUUUUAAUUUGCAUGGGUUAAAAAAGAAAAAAAGAAAUUCACUUAUUACUUAAUUAACAAUUAUAGAAAGAAUAAAUAGAAAAUUAUAGUUGCGUGAGAAAACCCUCGUGAAAAGGGCUCCGGAUUUCCUUUCCAUGGCUUCGUGCGUUUCCUUUUGCCCUUUCGAGCACGAAUUCGAAUCCAGUACUUUAUAAUAAAGAUAUAAUAUUAAAAAAUAAGAAAAAGAAUCCCAAUUUUUACUGGUAUAUAACGCAUAGCCUGCAUUAUGAAACACUCUUUUACUAUUCUUUUCUUUUCUUUUCUCUUUUGCUGUAAUUUUUUAUGAAACACUCUGUUUCAGUACUGUUUCUGGUUUUGUUUCGGUUUAAUAUUAUUGGUUCGGUUCGGUUCUGCUCUGUUCUACGUCGUAUGUAUAUAUGUAUAUAUUUUUGGCCUCGAAUUGCUUUCAUCACCGGUUUUGUUAUUCAUUUAUCGUGAAUUUUAGAUGACUUGUUCGGCCAUGUUACAUUCAGCUACCAUCUUCAUGGUGGGUUUGUAAGAUAGUCUCUGACUAACACAUGGCAUUGGUUAUGAAUGAUGGUUUUGUGAGAUACAUCAUACAGACGUUAACUCGUGUUAAUUUGUACUUACAUCAUUCAAAAGAUUAGUGUUUUUCUCUCUUUUUUUUAAAAAAAAAAAAAAUUGAAAUGUCCCUUUUCGCAUUUUAUAGAUGAAAGGAAGAAACAUAAUAUCGCAGAACUAGAAUAAAGGAGCCUAUUGUGGUACCUAUUGUCCGAGGAACCUUCUGUAUAUUCGGUAGGAACUACCAUGGGAAGUCAAAUCUUACCAGAGCCAGGCGGAGUCGUUGCUGAAGGAAUAUAUAUUAGCAGAUCCAUUUGUCCCGUACACUUCAAUUGUUGGUAGCAUUUUUGCUUGCACGAUGGUAUGUUUGUCAUCGUUACUGCGCGGUGGUAUUUACUAGAAAAUAUUUUGAAUGCAUAGUUUUUAUACCCUCUGUUUUCCAUAAGAAUGUGUUCCUUUUCAGGUCUAUGAUCUUGCCCAAUUGAUUAGUGUGCUGUUCACUUUAAAUCUGAUUCCAGUUUCUCCAACAUACAGCGGGUCGAGUGGAGUAACAGGUGAUUGAAAAUUUUCAUUUAGUCCAAUUGUCAUUUCUUUCUCAAUCGGUAAAGUUUAAUCAUUUUCCUUAAAUCGAUAACUUAUGCAGGUCCAUAUCAACUGUCCAUGACAUUUUUAUUACAACGAUGUCUUUGUACUUUGUGUUUUGGUCGGAUCUCAGAGUUUGUGCAUAGCACACUUGUUUCUACUGUUUGUUUGUCCCUUCAUAGACAUUUCGAUAAACUGUUAUUUUUGUUCAUUGGAAGUGAAUAUUUUCAGCAACUAGAACUCCAAAGCAUCUGGAAUGAUCCAUUUUAUCAUUCUCAAUACCUAUAAAAGAAUGUCAUAGAAAACAGUUUCCAAAGCAAGUGGCAUGUGUUUGGAAUUUGUCUUUGCAAGCCACUAAUUNNNNNNNNNNNNNNNNNNNNNNNNNNNNNNNNNNNNNNNNNNNNNNNNNNNNNNNNNNNNNNNNNNNNNNNNNNNNNNNNNNNNNNNNNNNNNNNNNNNNCGGGUUUUUUUUUUCUUUUAAAACAAGGGGAGUUUGGGAACCCCCCCCUUUUUUUUUUUUAAUUUUUUCCCCCCCCCCCCCCCCCCCCCCACCACACCAAAAAAAAAAAAAAAAGAAUUGAGAUACAAAAUAAUUUAUUCCUAUCAUGUAUGAGUGCCAUAAAAGCUUCUUAAUGUUUUGCAGUGUUUUUUGCGCGGUGGCUGUUUCCUUCUGAAUCUAGAAUAGCUAUGGACAUAGCAGAUGCAGAUGCCACCAAUAUUUGCACUGGCCUUUCAGCAUCAAAAUCAAAAGGAUCAAGUGGGAACUUAAUGGAGGUUGAUUUGAAUGAAACACCCUCUAUGCAAGCCAAGAGACUCCAAUUAAGACUGCAUGCUUUGCUUAAAACAGGUAUUUAUAUACCUUAUUAGUUUUUGUAUGUUUAUAAUUACUGAUUUUUGCAUCAAAAGAGAGAGGUUAAUUUUUAGUACAUUUACUGAACUUUCUAUGAUUGCCGUGGAGACAGGUCGACGCUACUUCCCUCGUUGCUCAGAAAUGGUUGAUAAAUUUUAGGAUUGUGAUUGGUCCGAUGCUUCCCUCCUAGAAAAAGGGUACUCCUAAAGAGCAGAGACUCAAAAGGGCACGCUUCAUGGAACUUAAAGAAGACGUGAAGAAGGCAUUUUACAAGGACAUGGCUGAGAAAAAAUGGCUCAGGUUUGUAGUCAUCCUCGUUUCUCCGAAGGAAGGAGUAAAGUGUAAGGGUAGGAAAAGGUGAUGCUUAGCUGCUUGUCUUUGUUAUUCAUUUAUAGGCAACUAAAAGAGAUUUAGUGAGUUGGAUUGUUACUUGUAGAGAGAUACUCUUCGAGCCUAUGUUAUGGCUUAUGUUGUAUAAUAGCAGAGGAACUUCAAGCUUGCGUAGUUGUAUUUUCUCUGGUAUUUGGCAUGUAAUGCACUAAAUGACAAAGAAUUUUCUAAUUUUAGAGGGAAAAGUUAUGUCAGUUAAUUAUUUAUUUAUUUUGUCUGUUUAAUUCAGUUUAUAAUAUAGCUUUUUUUUUCUUUCUAAAAAAAAAAAAUUCUCCAUAUCUUCAUCUGCAAUUUAAGUCAUUCGUUACUUGUUUCAGGAUGGGGAGAGAAAAAAAAAAGAAAAAAAGAAAAGAAGCAUUUGUAAGUAUAUUUUACAGUACUGAUUUUCCUACAUAAAUUGGUUAAGGUGACAUUAAUGUUCUUUUAGGUAGACGGAUGUGCAGAUUUUUCGUCGAAAUUGAAAUUAGAAAUGAAUGGAUAUGCAGAAUUUUUUAAUAGAAUUUUUAUACAAAAAUUUGUAGCUCAUUACUCUCUAAAAGGAAAAAAUAAAUUUUUGAUUGUAAAUAUUAAAUUUUAAAUUUAUAAUAUAAUAACUUUGUGAGUUAAGGUGCACAAUACCCAUAUAUUAAUAAUUAAGAAAAGAAAAAAAAUUAAAAUUUGUAAAUUACCAAUUUUUUCUUGAAAUUUGAUAUUCUAUAUUAACGUAGGUGUUGCAUGGACUGGGUUAGUACAAUUGAAAGAAACUAACUAAAGUAAAACAAAAUAUCAUUAAAAAUAUGGCAAGCUUCUCAUAUUUUUUAAGUGAAAAAGAGACGAAAACUAAAAUUAAUUAUUUUUAUACCCAAAUUCUAGUGCUUGAAGGCCGCUGGAAUUGACCAUUGCAGUUUUGUCAUCCUCAUUAUUCACCGGCCAUCGUGGCCUUCCUCCAUUAAAAAAAUAAAUGACCAUUUUUUUGGACCACGACAUAUUAAAAAUAGUAUUGAUUAGUACUAAUAAAUCUCUUUUUUGAUUAUUUUGCAGUGUGAUAGUCGAGUGAGGGCAGUGCCCAUCGUAGCACUUGAACAUGUGGUAAAUUUCUGCCAGUCUUUGUAAAAUAAUUUUUAAAUUAUGUAUUAACCAGAUAGCUCAAUGAAGAUUAUCGCUCACUAAAUCAUUACUUUAUUUUGUAUAUAUUUAUGGGAAUUGUUGAAAAGAAAAAUGUAAAGUGAGAUUAAUGAACGUUUAUGAAUGUGGAAAUUAACACAACCAGGAUUUAUGAUGAAAUAAUUUUAAGUCAAAUGAGCAUAAAUUUGUAUAAAUAUUUUUUGAAUUGUCAUAUAUAUACAAGUUUGUCACUAAUAGUAAACUUAAUUAUGAAUAUUUUAAUAAUUCAAAAUUUUAUUUAACCAUCGGUGUUUAUAGUGUUUUUCAUAAUACAAAAUUGUAAACAGUCUCAUCCUGAAUAGUAUAAUGCCAAACUUUUUAAAAAAUUUAUUUUAUUAUAAUCGUCUUAGUCAGUUAUAUUUAUUUCCAAAUUGAAGAUAAAAAUAAUACUUCAUAUAUCAUACAUUACUUCAUACAUUACUUAAAAGUUUUUUUUUCAAUCAAAUUAUGAGCAAGUGAAAGGAUGCAAUAAAUUACGACUAAAAUUGUAAAAUUUACCAAUGGCUAUAUACAAAGUCUGAUUCUUAUGAGCUUAAAAGAUGGGCUUUGAAUGAUGUAUGGUUCUCAAAACUCUACUUUUAUUAAUAUGAUUGCCCUGCUUCCUUCAUGACGGGUAAUUUUUAGUUUCUUCCCCUAAAGUUUGGCGUAUCUCCAUUUUAAUAGGAAGUAUUAGCGUAUCUCCCACUUUUCUCCCCUGCCGUUAGGGAUGGCAAUUGUACCCGCAAACCCGCAAACCCGCCCAAACCCACCCGCCAAAACCCGCCCGUUGCGGGUAAUUUUAUCCGUUGCGGGCGGGUUUAGUAUUAUAAAUUAAAACCCGCAUAUGGAUGCGGGUGGGUUUGGUAUUAACCUUAUACCCGGUGGAUACCCGCAUGGAUAUCCACCAAACCCGCAAUAAUUUUUUUCAAAUAUUUUUAAUUUAAUUUAAAUAUAAAAAUAUAUAAAGAAAAUAAUGUAAUUAAUCAAAUUACCAAAUAGUAAAAGGCUCAAAGUUGUGUAUGUGUGUAUAUGGCUCAUCUCUUAUUCUAAAGUCAUAACCUAAAGAAAACUAAAGGCAUUUCCCUUCGAAUUAAUAUUUGAAAAUAUUAAUCUUAAUUAUUAUUUUAGGCAUUGUGUUAGAUGGGUGCUUAUGGUGGUGAAUAAAAUAAAUAUAUUCUCUUUGAUCUUGUUUUAAAUGAUAAUAUGAAAUGUAAUUAUUAUUUUUAGAUAUUAGUUUGUGUUUUUUAAAUAGAUUUGUAUAAUUUAUACUUAAAUUUGAGAAUUUGUGUUGAAUUGAUGUGGAAAUUUUAAUUUUUCAUUUACAUUGUUUAAAUAUAAAAUUGAAUAUGUUAUAUGGAACUUGAGGUUAUUAUUAUAAAUUUAUAUAUUAAAUAUUUGUGAUUUUAAAUACGGAAACCCGCAAAAAAUCCGCCGGAUACCAUUGCGGGUUUGGUAAUUGUUAAAACCCGCUGCGGGUGGGUUUUUUUAAAAAAAUUAAAACCCACUGCGGGUUGCGGGUGGGUUUGGUAAUUUAAAUUUUGUGCGGGUUUGGGUUUGGUAAUGGCAAACCCGCUGCGGGCGGUGCCCAUUGCUAUCCCUACCUGCCGUUUGUAUACCGUUUCAUAUUGUUAAUGGACGAAGCUACAAGUCUUCUCUUUCAUCAAAUCGAUCCAUAACAAAUACGAGUCUGCUUCACCUAACCAAAACACACACAUACUCCAUCUCUAAAUGCUUUGAAGAUAAACAAAUCAACCGUAAUCCUGCAACUUUAGCUCAGAGAAUCGGAUAAGAAAAGAACAGGUGAUGAAUCAAGGGUAAUGGCGCCGAGUGAGUGUCGCCUGCGGUCGGCGUUAGAGGCGACUGUCACUCAAUCGCGUACAAGGUUAGUCUUUGAAAAAACUCUUUGCACGUUAGAAAUCAGUGAUUGGGCAUUAUUUUUUUUAUUUAAAAAUGAAAAUGGGUUUAUUAGUUUGUCGAAGAAUCUGCUCUGUUGCCGGUGUUGUUUGUUGAUUAAAAUGAAAAUGGGUUUGUUGAUGUGUUGAAGAAGUUGCUCUACUGCUGGUGUUUUUUUAUUAAUUAAAAUGAAAAUGGGUUUGUUAAUUUAUUGAAUUGUGACUUUAUUUAUCCAAUUGAUGAGCUUAUGAGCUAAUAGUAUUGUUUGAUCAAGCUUGUGUUCUUAAUAGUGGAGUUGAUAUUCUUAAAAAUGAAUUUAUGAUUAUGAGAAUAUGAAAAUUGAAUGGCAUCGUAGAGGUCUGGAUUAAUCACCAUCGAAUAUGUUUCUAAAUAAAGGAAUAAGCAGCAAUCUGAUUUGAAACUUAAGACUUUAGGGAUAUGUAUGUGCAACUGAAUGAAUCAUCAGUUGCUAUCUUGUAAGUCAAUACUAGCAUAUUACUUAAUGGCAAGUGAAGCUAUUUUAUGUGUAUUGCUGCCUAUCAAAAUGUUUAUGUUUGAAGUUAUCUCCUUUUAGGAAAUUGAAUGCUUCUGUGAGUUCUCUGGUAAGGGCUAUACAACUAGCUCUAAUAGAUUCCUUCAUGUGCAUUAAUUAGCUUAGUAGUUUAUUGACCUAUAUCCAAUGUCUAUUCUCCUUUUCUGUAGCCGUCUAGUUUUAUGAGUGUGUGAAGUGAACUUUUGUUUUAUGUUUCAGGACUUGGGAUUAGAGUGUAUAACAUUCAAUAUCUUUAUAUCAAAGAACUGAUAUAUGUCAAUGUAGUGCGAUCUGGUCUUUAUUAGCUUCUUGAUUUGCCAGGAUGUUUGACAACCAUCUUUGACUAUGAUUGCCAACAUAUAAGCUGCUACAUAGUGUCUCAGGAAUCACAGCAAAUUAUUAUCAUAAUAUGGUGAUUUUGAAUCCAAAACUUGGUAGUGUCAAGAAAAUAGACCCAUGUUUAUUUAUCUUCAUGUUUUGUAUGCGCCUGCAAUAGACUAUUAUAAGUUACUUUUAGUUUUAUCAAGUUUUUUUUUCCUUAAAUUUCAUCGAGUCUUGGAGUCUUUGUAAUAUAGAGUCUAAGUGAAGAAUACUUGGGUGAAAUCUUGUAUUCUCUCUUCCAGUAAUAUAAUCAUCCUUUGUGUUUUUAUCUUUUUAUUUUGGUAUCAGAGCAUACUUUAUUAUAGAAGGACUUGGACUCUAUAUUACAAAGACUCAGUGGUUUCUUUUAACUGAGUUAAUAGUGUUGUUAGGUUAAACUAAGUUUGGCUUCAUAAGAUUCAUAGUAGAGUGUAGAACUGGGUACAAUUUUGGGUUAAGACAAGUCAAAAGUCUUCUCAAGUAAUUGUUCUGCUUACUGAUUUGGUAAUUGCAACAUUGCUAAAUAGUUCAAUUUGUCCUUUUUUUUUGUUGAAUUUAUUGUAUGUCAUAUUACUUCAUUUAAUUAUUUUCUCAGAUCUUGUAGGUGAAAAUUUCAGCUUCAAAGGCCAAGCUAAUCAUCCAGCAAUUCAGUGAAACCAAGACACAGUGGCUCAUAAAUUGUUGUUGGUGAUCGAGCCAUUCGGGUGCUUGCCAGUCCUAGAUGAGAGAACUUUCAACGCGGCGCAUAAAUUGUUGUUGAUCUGUUUUAUAUAUUUUGACCUUUGUGAUUUGUGAAUACAUGGUUUGAUUCCAGUGUUUACAACUNNNNNNNNNNNNNNNNNNNNNNNNNNNNNNNNNNNNNNNNNNNNNNNNNNNNNNNNNNNNNNNNNNNNNNNNNNNNNNNNNNNNNNNNNNNNNNNNNNNNNNNNNNNNNNNNNNNNNNNNNNNNNNNNNNNNNNNNNNNNNNNNNNNNNNNNNNNNNNNNNNNNNNNNNNNNNNNNNNNNNNNNNNNNNNNNNNNNNNNNNNNNNNNNNNNNNNNNNNNNNNNNNNNNNNNNNNNNNNNNNNNNNNNNNNNNNNNNNNNNNNNNNNNNNNNNNNNNNNNNNNNNNNNNNNNNNNNNNNNNNNNNNNNNNNNNNNNNNNNNNNNNNNNNNNNNNNNNNNNNNNNNNNNNNNNNNNNNNNNNNNNNNNNNNNNNNNNNNNNNNNNNNNNNNNNNNNNNNNNNNNNNNNNNNNNNNNNNNNNNNNNNNNNNNNNNNNNNNNNNNNNNNNNNNNNNNNNNNNNNNNNNNNNNNNNNNNNNNNNNNNNNNNNNNNNNNNNNNNNNNNNNNNNNNNNNNNNNNNNNNNNNNNNNNNNNNNNNNNNNNNNNNNNNNNNNNNNNNNNNNNNNNNNNNNNNNNNNNNNNNNNNNNNNNNNNNNNNNNNNNNNNNNNNNNNNNNNNNNNNNNNNNNNNNNNNNNNNNNNNNNNNNNNNNNNNNNNNNNNNNNNNNNNNNNNNNNNNNNNNNNNNNNNNNNNNNNNNNNNNNNNNNNNNNNNNNNNNNNNNNNNNNNNNNNNNNNNNNNNNNNNNNNNNNNNNNNNNNNNNNNNNNNNNNNNNNNNNNNNNNNNNNNNNNNNNNNNNNNNNNNNNNNNNNNNNNNNNNNNNNNNNNNNNNNNNNNNNNNNNNNNNNNNNNNNNNNNNNNNNNNNNNNNNNNNNNNNNNNNNNNNNNNNNNNNNNNNNNNNNNNNNNNNNNNNNNNNNNNNNNNNNNNNNNNNNNNNNNNNNNNNNNNNNNNNNNNNNNNNNNNNNNNNNNNNNNNNNNNNNNNNNNNNNNNNNNNNNNNNNNNNNNNNNNNNNNNNNNNNNNNNNNNNNNNNNNNNNNNNNNNNNNNNNNNNNNNNNNNNNNNNNNNNNNNNNNNNNNNNNNNNNNNNNNNNNNNNNNNNNNNNNNNNNNNNNNNNNNNNNNNNNNNNNNNNNNNNNNNNNNNNNNNNNNNNNNNNNNNNNNNNNNNNNNNNNNNNNNNNNNNNNNNNNNNNNNNNNNNNNNNNNNNNNNNNNNNNNNNNNNNNNNNNNNNNNNNNNNNNNNNNNNNNNNNNNNNNNNNNNNNNNNNNNNNNNNNNNNNNNNNNNNNNNNNNNNNNNNNNNNNNNNNNNNNNNNNNNNNNNNNNNNNNNNNNNNNNNNNNNNNNNNNNNNNNNNNNNNNNNNNNNNNNNNNNNNNNNNNNNNNNNNNNNNNNNNNNNNNNNNNNNNNNNNNNNNNNNNNNNNNNNNNNNNNNNNNNNNNNNNNNNNNNNNNNNNNNNNNNNNNNNNNNNNNNNNNNNNNNNNNNNNNNNNNNNNNNNNNNNNNNNNNNNNNNNNNNNNNNNNNNNNNNNNNNNNNNNNNNNNNNNNNNNNNNNNNNNNNNNNNNNNNNNNNNNNNNNNNNNNNNNNNNNNNNNNNNNNNNNNNNNNNNNNNNNNNNNNNNNNNNNNNNNNNNNNNNNNNNNNNNNNNNNNNNNNNNNNNNNNNNNNNNNNNNNNNNNNNNNNNNNNNNNNNNNNNNNNNNNNNNNNNNNNNNNNNNNNNNNNNNNNNNNNNNNNNNNNNNNNNNNNNNNNNNNNNNNNNNNNNNNNNNNNNNNNNNNNNNNNNNNNNNNNNNNNNNNNNNNNNNNNNNNNNNNNNNNNNNNNNNNNNNNNNNNNNNNNNNNNNNNNNNNNNNNNNNNNNNNNNNNNNNNNNNNNNNNNNNNNNNNNNNNNNNNNNNNNNNNNNNNNNNNNNNNNNNNNNNNNNNNNNNNNNNNNNNNNNNNNNNNNNNNNNNNNNNNNNNNNNNNNNNNNNNNNNNNNNNNNNNNNNNNNNNNNNNNNNNNNNNNNNNNNNNNNNNNNNNNNNNNNNNNNNNNNNNNNNNNNNNNNNNNNNNNNNNNNNNNNNNNNNNNNNNNNNNNNNNNNNNNNNNNNNNNNNNNNNNNNNNNNNNNNNNNNNNNNNNNNNNNNNNNNNNNNNNNNNNNNNNNNNNNNNNNNNNNNNNNNNNNNNNNNNNNNNNNNNNNNNNNNNNNNNNNNNNNNNNNNNNNNNNNNNNNNNNNNNNNNNNNNNNNNNNNNNNNNNNNNNNNNNNNNNNNNNNNNNNNNNNNNNNNNNNNNNNNNNNNNNNNNNNNNNNNNNNNNNNNNNNNNNNNNNNNNNNNNNNNNNNNNNNNNNNNNNNNNNNNNNNNNNNNNNNNNNNNNNNNNNNNNNNNNNNNNNNNNNNNNNNNNNNNNNNNNNNNNNNNNNNNNNNNNNNNNNNNNNNNNNNNNNNNNNNNNNNNNNNNNNNNNNNNNNNNNNNNNNNNNNNNNNNNNNNNNNNNNNNNNNNNNNNNNNNNNNNNNNNNNNNNNNNNNNNNNNNNNNNNNNNNNNNNNNNNNNNNNNNNNNNNNNNNNNNNNNNNNNNNNNNNNNNNNNNNNNNNNNNNNNNNNNNNNNNNNNNNNNUACCCCCCCCCCGGGCGGGGGGUGGGGGGUUUGGAGAUACGCUGAUACUUUCUAUCAUACUGGAGAUACACCUAACCUCAGGGGAAGAAAACUACACCUUUACGACGGGUGAACUUGGGUCAAACUUUCAUAUUUUAAUCAAGUAGGUCGAUCAUGAUUCAAGCUUCAGUCAUAAGCCUUUCGUUAUGAUUGAUAUUAUUCUUUCUUGAUAGUAUCAUGGAAAAUGCAAACGAAAAGGCAGCAUCUUUGAGUUUUGUCUCAUCAUAUCCGACUUGUUGGUCUACUAAUCAAUCGACAGGCCCUUUUGAUCUUGAUAAUUUGAACUUAAGGAGGCAAAGCAGCAAUCCCGAAGAGCCAUUGCUUGAUGCUGAGAUCGUUGUUGACGGCAAAUCAGUGGCAGUUAAUCGCAGCAUAUUGUCUGCACGCAGUCGUUUUUUUCAUUGGCUUUUUCAUUUGAGCAGUGAUGGUUCUGUGAGUGAGGGGAAACCCAAGUAUCUUAUGACUGAUUUGGUGCCUUAUAGGAAGGUUGGAUAUGAAGCUUUUAAUGAUAUCUUGCAUUAUCUUUACACUGGAAUGCGUAAGGCGCCUCCUUCAGAAGUGUUCACGUGUGUUGAUGAUACUUGUGUUCAUCUUGUUUGCCCUCCUGCUAUUAAUUAUGUUAUUGAGUCGAUAUAUGCUUCUGCUGCUUUUAAGAUGACAGAGGUCGUUUCGGUUUAUGAGGUAGUUGCGCUUCCCCGCUACUUGUAUUGCUUAAAUUUAUGCUUAUUGGUAUAGUUUUAACAUAUGUGGGAUUGAAAUCAAUUUCAGUUGUGACUUGCAAAGAGCCAAAGAAUCUGUUGUUUUAUUUUGAAAGAGACAAAGAUGAUGAUGAUGGGCAGUGAACUCUAGGAAUCAAUGCUUGCUGACACUGACACCCAAGAAUGAUAAAAACUAACCAAAAAGGUAUAUAGAUUACAUGAGUCUGAAUUUGAUAAGUGCACCUAUCCUAUCACAAAAAGCUUUUGCGUUGAGUUUCGAACCAAGGAAAAUUGUCACUUCUGUCUGUAGGCUUCAUAGAUUUGUUCAAGCCUUCAAGGAUGUCUAGCUGUUACUUAGGGUCCAACAAUGGUGCUACAUUUCUAGUGGAUGAUAUGUUAUCUACAUCUGUAUAUUGCAACUUUGACAAACUUCGCCUUUCUUUUGUUGAUACACUCGUCUCACUUUUAUUAAAUUGCCUGAUUAUGAAAUGGUCUAUUGGAGACUAGCAUUGGAAGGUUUCUUCUGGAGAAAAUUUUACUUGCCACCAAUUUUCAUUUUGGUCGGUGUCAGUUCAUGCGCUGGCUUGAUUGUGCUGUUAUUUAGGUUGUUUUAUCCAUAUUUUCUCACUAUCUUGAUAGUUAGUUCUCUCAUACUUCCAAUCUCAGCAGUGAAUGCGAAAGAUUCUCUUUUUCCCGUCCAGGUUAUAACCUAGCAAAUCAAUAAUGCUGUAGAAUAACAUCUUGUGUAGGUGAGCUUAUGUCUCUGAACAUUGGUCCACCGGCAUUUAGGUUCGAUAAGCAUGGCAUUGAUUUUCCCCCUCAUUGUUAUUUUCCUGCACAGAUUACCCCCUUUAAGUAUUUGAAUUUUGAAUACAUUAUUCUGAAUCAAAACUCUAUACGUCCGUGUAGCAUUUUAUAUAUGCUUUAUGAUAUUUACCAAUAAUUACCCACUGCGAGGUAUUUGAAUUUUGAAUAUAUUAUUCUGAAUCAAAACUCUAUCUGUCCGUGUAGGAUUGGCUUCUGAAGGUGGUUCGGGAGGCUCUUGUGGAAGAUGUAAUACCAAUUCUCGUAGCUGCCUUGCAGUGCCGACUGUACCCGCUCUGUUCUUUCUGCAUCCAGAGAAUUGCAAGGUCAAAUAUUGACAAUGUUUGUCUCGAGAAAGAGCUUCCUGAUGAAGUUUCAAGUCAAAUCAAAUCACUCCGGGUCAAAUCUAACCAGGAGUCUGAAGCUAACAUAAAAGAAGUGGAUCCUAUGCAUGAAAAGAGAGUCAGAAGAAUCCACAAGGCGUUGGACUCUGAUGAUUUUGAACUGCUGAAUCUUCUUCUGAAUGAAUAUAAAGUCACUUUAGAUGAUGCUUACGCUCUGCACUAUGCUGCUGCCUACUGCAACCCUAAGGUUUUUAAGGAAGUGCACAAUAUGGGCUUGGCUGAUAUCAAUCUUAAGGAUGCAAGAGGACGUACGGUGCUUCAUGUGGCUGCAAGGCGUAAGGAGCCAGAAGUGAUAGUGGUUCUGCUGAGCAAGGGAGCAUGCUCAUCAGAAACUACACCAGAUGGGCAAACAGCUGUAGCAAUCUGUCGGAGAAUGACAAGGCGAAAGGAUUAUAUUGAAGCUACAAAGCAGGGGCAGGAAACUAACAAAGACUGGUUAUGCAUUGAUGUCCUUGAGAGAGAUAUGACAACGAACUCCACGUCUGGGAACUUGGCAAUGUCAUCAGAGGUGAUAGAUGAUGUUUUCCAAAUGAAUCUGGACUAUCUGGAAAAUAGAGGUGAUAUUUCUUUACUGGUAUUAGUUCAUCACCUUCUCAGAGUUUGUGCAUAGCACACUUCUUUUUACUAUUCGAUUGUCCCUUCAUCUUAGCAUCUCAAACACAAAUGGGCUCAGUGCUUGGAGCACACUGUUGGCCAGUCAUGUGAUUUGAUCCCUUUUUUGGAAUAGACAAUUCUGAAUACUGGUCUAGGCUUGGCGGUUUGCACUGAACUGGUUUUUGAUGAGUAAUUGCACAAGACUUUGUCAUCAAAACGUUUUUUUUUGGUUUUUUUUCCCCAAAAGUAAUGAGGUACAAAAAAUUUUUUGCCUAUCCUGGAUGAGUGCCGCAACAGCUUCUUAAUAUUUUGCAGUGGCUUGUGUACGGUUGUUUCCUUCUGAAGCUAGAGUAGCUAUGGAAAUGGCAGGUGCAGAUAUCGCCAUUGGCCUUUCAGCAUUAGGUCGGAAAGGACUAAGUGGGAACUUAAAGGAGGUUGAUUUGAAUGAAACGCCCUCUAAGCAAGCCAAAAGAUGCCAAUUGAGACUGCUCACUCUGCUUAAAACAGGUAUUUACAUACUUUAUUAACUUUUGCGCCUUUCUAUUUACUGAUUAUCUUUAUAAUUAAAUAAUACAUGUAUCCAGGUUUCUCCUUCCAUUUCAUUAGAAGUAAAUUGGAAUCUCUUUAUAGUGCUCUGUUAGGUGUAAUCAGACGUAUCAAAAGAGACAGGGUAAUUGUUAGUACAUUGAUAUCUCAACAAAAUGGUAAAACCUUNNNNNNNNNNNNNNNNNNNNNNNNNNNNNNNNNNNNNNNNNNNNNNNNNNNNNNNNNNNNNNNNNNNNNNNNNNNNNNNNNNNNNNNNNNNNNNNNNNNNAACACUAAAUCUCACUAGAUCAACUCUUUACCUCUGGACUGAAGGUGUGACACCCAAACCCAAUUAGGGCUUAGAACACAUAUCGAAUCUGAGCGAAACUAAAUGCUUGUAAAUCCAAAUCUCCAAAAUAUCAAAAGGUCAUCUACUUUCUCUUUUCAUAGAUUUCACAAAAUUUUGAAAAACUGAUUCUCAAUCAUAAACUAUGCCCAGCUAAUUAAUCAACAUAUCACUAUACAACAAUACUUCCUCAUAAGCAAAUAAAUCUUACAAUCCUUCUUCCAUGAUUUAAAAAAAAAAAAGAAAUAGUUCUAGAAGUCUUCUAAAUACAAACAUAAACAGAAUUCAACUGCUAAAACUGUGCCAAAAUACUAGCUUCAAUCAGUAAUACACACGACUAAUUAUUAAAUCAGUAAUAUACACGACUAAUUAUUAAAAACAUCUAGCUAGAAACCUUAUGAAAGCUCAAUCCUUCCGAAGCAUUCUUCGAAUUAAUAAUUGCUACCAUCUGUGAAAAAUAAUUGACAAGGGGUCAGCUGUUAACUCAAUCAGUAGAAACACUAAUAAUGAACAAAAAGAAUUCUUUGUGCAAUAUUUUCAAAAAAUUCAUUUAACCUUUCAAAUGAAACAGAGUAAUUUUUCAAACACAGUCAGGACUUAUAUAAAAUAUAAACAUUUCCGACAGAAGCUUUUUGGAACGUAAAUUUUGCUUCUUUAAACAGAAAGUUAUACAUUAGUUUGAUUUUAAAGGGAGGUUAUUGGGAAGUUAAAAUUGGCAGUUGUGGUAAAAGAGUAAUAGCAGUUAUAAAAUCUCUUUAAAAACAAAUUCGAAUCAAGUUUCAAAAUUUGGAAGUACUUAAUUCAAUAAACUAAGGAAUAAAUAAAGCAUUCACUGAAACAAAACUAAGUAAAUUCAUUUAAAGCAAAACCGGAUGGGAGCAUUACCUAAGGAUUCUUGACCAUACCAUGUUUACCCGCAGUCAGAUAGCUGGGAUCUUGUUAUUUGGGGACAAGACUUGAUUGUGCCAUGUCUUCCGCAGCCAGAUAUCUUUUACUUCAUUAUUUCCUAGACAUUUGUGGAUAAGAGAACCCUAAGCCUAUAGAGAAUAAAUUAUGUAAUCCAAGACUCUUCAGUCCUUUCAUUUGUGGCUAAUUAGUUAUAAAAUUUGUGAAUUUCAUGCCCCACGCCCCUUGCAAAAUGCAUUUUAUAUCCUUAAAAUGCCAGUGGAUGAACUGAAAUAAUAAAAAAUGGAAAACAGACUUAAUGUUGGUAGCAUUUCUUAAGAAAAACUUGGGAUGUUUAUAAUUUUCUUAGAGCAUUUGCUGAACUUUCCGUGAUCGCAGUCGAGACGGGUCAACGCUAUUUCCCUCAUUGCUCAGAUGUGGUUGAUAAGUUUAGGUAUUGCAACCGCCCUCAUUGCUCAGAAUUGAUUGAUGAGUUUUUGGAUUGUGAUUGGUCCGAUGAUUCCCUCCUAGAAAAGGGUACUCCUGAAGAGCAGAAACUAAAAAGGGCAGGCUUCAUGAAACUUAGAGUAGACAUGCAGGAGGCACUCCGCAAGGACGUGGCUUAUCACCGUUGUUCAGGGCUGCCAUCAUCCUGGUCGGCAUUUUACAAGUACAUGGCUGAGAGCAAUCGUUCAGGUAUGCCGACAUCCUCAGCAGCGAGCAAUUAAGCAUCACCUUUCCCCAAAAGUUAUAUUUGACACCUGGGAAACUAAAAGAGUUUAGUGAGCUUGAUUGGUAUUUGUAGUUUUUUUUCCCUCAAGUGAUCUGGCAGAUUUCAAAUAGUUGNNNNNNNNNNNNNNNNNNNNNNNNNNNNNNNNNNNNNNNNNNNNNNNNNNNNNNNNNNNNNNNNNNNNNNNNNNNNNNNNNNNNNNNNNNNNNNNNNNNNNNNNNNNNNNNNNNNNNNNNNNNNNNNNNNNNNNNNNNNNNCAAAAAACAGUAAAACUGAGAGAUUUCUUUUAUUUUUCCUUAAAAAAUAAGAAAAAUUUAGAAAGUAGUGAGAGAAAUAAAGUAAUUAUAUUCAUAAAUAUAAUGUGUUUGGUGUAGCAACACAAACUAAUAAAUUAUAAUUUAUGAGAUUAGCCUAGAGAAUCAUACAUAUAAAAUUAUAUCCUCUGAGUAAAAAUCUUCACAUCUCUUUUAACUUCUCAUUUAGAUGUCCUUUCUAAAAUCUCUCCAGAGAUAAAUACAUUUUUAUAAAACAAAACAGAAAAAAUAUAUAUAUAUAAUUGUUCAUAAGGACUAUUUGUUCAUAGUACACAAUUGGCCACCAAAGUUAUUUUGGGAGAAAAUUUGCAUGAGAUGGGUACAUCACAUCAUCAGUAUUUUUGUCUCAGUUUGAACAUGCGUCUGUUGUACGAAUCUUACGAGAAUGGUCUCUCAUAAAUUUGAGAGAUGGUGAGGAGUGGGUUAAAGUGCAUUUACAUAGAAUUAAUUAAAAUUAAAAUUUUAGUUUUUUAACUAUUUUUAAUUAAAAGUAGUAGUUAUUCUUUUUAUUAUUGUUAUUCUCAUCAUAUCAACAUCAAGUGACUGGUGAUCAAAUUAAUUAGCUCAUUAAAUUUUUUAAGUGACGUAUGUUAUGGAGUUUCUGUGCAUCUAUUUAAAUAGUAAAAUAUUUAAUUUUGCUUGUCGUAAAAUUUUAAUUUACGUGGGUUAGAAAAAGAAAAAGAAAAAAAUGAAAAAAGAAAUUGACUUAUUAAUUAAUUAACAAUUAUAGAAAGAAUAAAUUGAAAAUUGUAGUUGGGUGAGAAAACUCUCGGGAAUUCCUUUCCCUGGCUUCGUGCGUUUGCUUUUGCCCUUUCGAGCACGAAUUUGAAUCCAAUACUUUAUAAUAAAGAUAUAAUAUUAUUAUAAUACUAAUAAUUAACAUUAAAAUAUUAAAAAAUAAGAAAAAAUUCCAAAUUUUUCUGUUUCUGGUUUUAUUUCAGUUUAAUAUUAUUGGUUCCGUUCUGCUUUGUUCUCGGUUGUCUGCAUAUCUGUAUAUAUUUUUGGCCUCGAAUUGCUUUGAUCACCGGUUUUGUUCUUCAUUUAUCGUGAAUUUUAGAUACCCAUUAAACUUGUUUGGCCAUGUAUGCACUUGAUUGUUACAUUCAGCUGUCAUUUUCAUGGUGGGUUUGUAAGAUAGUCUCUGACUAACAUAUGGCACUGAUUAUGAAUGAUGGUUUUGUGAGACACACCAUACAGACAUUAACUCUGUCAAGAUUGAUAUCUUUUCUAGAUAUUCAAACUUUCAAUAUCAAAUUCAAAAUUCUAGAUAUUCAAAGUUUGAAUAUCAAACUUUGAACUUUGAAUUUUGAAAAAUAAUAAAUAAUUAAAAAAAUACAUGAAUAGUAGCCAAGAUUUUGGCUAUAAAUAGCGGGGCUCAUAUAGAGGGGCUCAUUCCCUCAUUUGCUCAUCCAAUUUUGAGAAGAGUUUUCUUGUAUUUAGAGAGAGUUUAGAGAGCUUGAAAUUAUAAGCUCUUGUUUUAGUGUUUUGAGAGUUUGGGUGUAUUGGGGUUUUGGAAAGUGAGCUAAAAUACUACAAUACUUGUAACUCCUUUUCACUAAUAAAAUAUUUUCCUUCUGUCUUCACCUGUGGACGUAGACUAAAAGUCGAAUCACGUAAUUUCUGGUGUUCUCUUUUAUGCUUGUUCUUUAUUUUCUUCCAAUUUCAUUUUAGCUGCGGCCUGCUGCACCCAUCAAUUUCCUAACAGUGGUAUCAGAGCUAUUGGUUGUAUUUUUGGAGUUGGGUACUAUUCACGUGAAGGUACUAUUCACAUAUACGGUACUGUUCAUGUAUACGAUAUUAUUCACGUAUACGGUACUGUUCACGAUACGGUACUGUUCAUAUAUACGAUAUUAUUCACGUAUACGGUACUGUUCACGAUACGGUACUGUUCAUAUAUAGGCACUGUCCACGAAAAACAGUGGGAGCGAUCCAAGAAUUUUGCGGUGCAAAGCAAGGAAUAGUGGUGUGAGUAAAGCAAUUGUGUGAUUUUGUACAUGUCUAAGAAAGUUCUGUCACAAAGGCGAUAAGAACUUAAGAAGUCUGGGUUUUAAGUGGGACCAUUGUGACCCCUCCAGUCUUUCCUGGGAACUUUCCUAGUGUGCAUAUUCACACAUACUCACAACUAUUCGACGUGAUACACUAGUUUGUGUCUAAUAUUUAUCAACAAAAUGGCGGCAAAGUAUGAAAUUGAGAAGUUCAACGGGAAUAAUUUUUCGUUGUGGAAAAUGAAGAUGAAAGUUGUAUUAAAGAAAAAUAAUUGAUUGACAGCAAUUGGAGGAAGGCCCAUGGAGAUAACUAAUGACAAGUGGAACAAGAUAGAUGGCAACGCCAUUUCUGAUCUACACUUAGCACUUGCGAAUGAAUUAUUAUCUAGUAUGACAGAAAAAAAUACAGCGAAGGGAAUAGAGAUACUCUCACAAAAUUGUAUGAGACCAAGUCACUACACAACAAAAUUUUCUUGAAGAGAAAACUUUAUACUCUUCGAAUGGCGGAAUCUACAAUGGUGACCGAUCACAUCAAUACCUUAAAGACUCUAUUUUUACAACUCACAACGUUGGGUCAUAAUAUAGAGGAGAAUGAACGUCCAGAGCUUCUACUUUAAAGUCUACCAAAUUCGUAUGAUCAACUCAUCAUCAACCUGACGAACAACAAUCCAGCGGACAGUCUAGUUUUCAACGAUGUUGCAGCCUCCGUAUUAAAUGAAGAGAGCAGACGAAAAAAUAAGGAAAACAGACAAGCAAGUUCACAGCAAGCGAAGACGCUAUCGAUGACAAGAGGGAGAUCAACGGAACAUGGCCCCAGUGGGAGUCACAAUCAUGGUAGAUCAAAAUCGAGAAGUAAGAAGAAUGUUAAAUGCUACAACUGUGGCAAGAAAGGGCACGCCAAGAAAGAGUGUUGGAGUAACCAGAAGAGAAAAGAUGGCAAAGAUCCUAAAUCAUCAAAUGCUCAAGGAUGUGUAGCAAGUACCUCGGAUGAUGGCAAAAUUCUCUACAAUAAGAUAACAACUAUUUCAGAAGGUAGAAAAUAACUAUCUGAUGUAUGGCUUAUAGACUUAGGAGGUACCUGACACAUGACCUCUCGAAGAGAAUGGUUCCACACAUAUAAACCUAUCUUAGGAGAAUCUGUAUAUAUGGGUAACGAUCAUGCCUUGGAGAUCGUUGGUAUUGGUACUAUCAAAAUAAAAAUGUUUGAUGGUACAAUUCGCACAAUUGGGGAGGUACGACAUGUCAACGGCCUGAAGAAAAAUCUAUUGUCUUUGGGACAAAUGGAUAGUUAUGGGUACAAAACUCAUAUGGAGAAUGGAAUUAUGAAGAUCAUUAAAGGCGCGCUUAUAUUGAUGAAGGAAGAAAAGAUCGGUGCUAAUUUAUUCAUACUUAAAGGAGAAAUACUACAGGAGGCUGAUGUGUGUGUCGCGUCAAAUGGAGAAGAAUCAAUAAUGAUGUGGCACCUUAAACUUAACCAUAUGUCAGAAUAAGGUUUGAAAAUUCUCUCUGAGUGAAAAUUGCUUCUAGUGCUCAAAUCGGUAAGUUUACCAUUUUGCGAGCAUUGUGUUACAAGUAAGCAUCAUAGAUUAAAAUUUAGUAGAUCUAUUGCUAUAAGUAAAUGCAUUCUAGACUUGAUUCAUUCUGAUGUUUGGGAAUCACCGGAUAUGUCCAUGGGAGGUGCAAAGUACAUGGUGAUUUUCAUUGAUGAUUAUUCCAGGAGAUGUUAGGUGUAUCCAAUUAAGAAAAAGUCAGAUGUGUUUUCAGUGUUUAAAAAAUAUAAAGCGCGGGUGGAACUUGAAUCCGGUAAAAAGAUCAAGUGCUUGAGGACGGAUAAUGGUGAAAAGUAUACAGACGGUGAGUUUCUUGCUUUCUGUAAGUAAGAAGGUAUUCAGAGGCAGUUCAAUGUAGCAUAUACUCCUCAACAAAAUGGAGUGGCAGAGCGGAUGAACAGGACUCUUACAGAACGAAUAAGAGUUAUGUUGAGGACUGCGGCUCUACCUAAUUCAUUCUGAGCAGAAGCAGCCAAAACUGCAUGUUAUAUAGUAAAUCAGUCACCAUCUACAACUAUGAGGCUGAAGACAGCGAUGGAAAUGUGGAUUGGAAAGCCAGCUGAUUACUCAUACCUACAUGCAUUUGGAUGUCCUGUGUAUGUGAUCUACAAUGCCCAAGAAAGAACAAAGUUGGAUCCAAAAUGUAGAAGAUGUAUUUUCUUAGGGUAUGCUAAUGGAGUAAAGGGGCAUCGUCUGUGGGACCCCCACUGUCCACAAGAUCGUCAUCAGCAAAGAUGUUAUCUUUGUAGAAUAUCAACUAAAAAGGAGAGAUGAGGAUGAUAACACUAUAAAAGAAAAGUCAGAAACUGUACCGGUGUAUGUGAAAAAUAAUCUGGAAAAAGAAGAUUUAGAUUCUUCUGAAGUAGCACUAGAGCACGAGGGACAAGAACUAGUUGAGUCCGAGGCUCCAGAAGUUUGUCGGUCAACUGGUGAGAGACGACCGCCAACAUGGCACUCGGAGUAUGUCACAGAGAUCAACGUUGCAUACUGUCUUCUAACAGAGGAUGGAGAGCCAUUAACUUCCCAUGAAUCUUUAAACAGCUCAGAUGUUAUUUUGUGGAUGAUAGUAAUGAAGAAAGAAAUUGAAGCUCUACACAAGAACAAGACAUGGGAACUUGUACCACUACCAUAUGGAAGAAAAGCCAUUGGUAACAAAUGAGUCUACAAGAUCAAGCGUGAUGGCAAUGACUAAGUGGAGCAGUAUCGUGUCAGAUUGGUGGUGAAAAGAUAUGCUCACGAGAUAUUUUCUCCAGUAGUUCAACUCACAACAGUCAGAAUAAUCUUGGCAAUGUGUACUAUAUUUGACUUACAUCUUGAGCAGUUGGAUGUGAAAACUGCAUUUCUUCAUGGAGAACUUAAAGAAGAAAUUUAUAUGCUCUAACCAGAAGCUUUUGCUGAAAAGAAAAAUGAGAACUUGGUUUGUAGGUUGAACAAAUUUUUAUACGGUCUCAAACAAGCGCCGAUGUGUUGGUAUAAGAGAUUUGAUUCCUUCAUCAUGAGCCUUGGAUACAAUAGACUCAGUUCAGACCAUUGUGCAUAUUACAAAAGGUUUGAAGAUAAUGAUUUCAUUAUUUUGUUGUUGUAUGUGGAUGACAUGUUGGCAGCAGGCCCCAACAAAGAUCGAAUCCAAGAAUUGAAGGCAUAAUUGGCUAGGAAAUUUGAAAUAAAGGACUUGGGACCAGCAAACAAGAUUCUAGGGAUGCAAAUUCACCGAGACAGAAAUAACAUGAAGGUUUGACUUUCUCAGAAGAACUACUUGAAGAAAAUCUUGCGACGCUUCAACAUGCAAGAUUGUAAGUGAAUUUCUACCCCACUACCUGUUAAUUUCAAGUUAUCCUCAAGUAUGUGUCCUAGUAAUGAAGCAGAGAUGAAGGAGAUGUCUCGAGUACCGUAUGCAUCAACGGUGGGAAGUUUUGUGUUCGCUAUGAUAUGUAUUAGACCAGACAUUGUACAAGCAGUGGGAGCAGUUAGUCGAUACAUGACGAAUCCUGAUGGAGAGCAUUGGAUAACUGUGAAGAGGAUUCUGAGAUACAUCAAAGGAACCUCCGAUGUUGCAUUAUGUUAUGGAGGAUCAGAGUUUACUGUCAGGGGCUAUGUGAAUUAAGAUUUUACAGGAGAUCUUGAUAAAAGAAAAUCCACUAUUGGCUAUAUGUUUACAUUUGCAGGAGCAGCUGUAAGCUGGGUUUCAAAACUGUAAAUUAUUGUGGCCCUAUCUACAACAGAAGCAUAAUACAUGGCAGCUACACAAGCUUGCAAUGAAGCUAUUUGGAUACAAAGGUUAUUGGAGGAGCUCGGGCACAAACAACAGAAAACUCUUGUAUUUUGUGACAAUUAGAGUGCCUUGCAUAUUGCAAGGAAUCCAGCCUUUCAUUCCAGGACAAAGCACAUAAUGGUACAAUAUCACUUCGUUCGAGAAGUUGUGGAAGAUGGAAGUGUGGAAGAUGGAAGUGUGGAUUUACAGAAAAUCCAUACCAAGGAGAACCUAGCAGAUGUUUUGACCAAGCCAAUCAAUGCUGACAAGUUUAUCUGAAGUAGAUCCUCUUGUGGCCUAGCAGAAACAUAGGCAACAUGAUAAUGGCAAAGAAAAAAGGAUGGUGUGAAGAUUGAUUGGUUCUCAAUCAAAUCUCCAAGUAGGAGAAUGUCAAGAUUGAUAUCUCUUCUAGAUAAUCAAACUUCGAAUAUCAAAUUCAAAAUUCUAGAUAUUCAAAGUUUGAAUAUCAAACUUUGAACUUUGAAUUUUGAAAAAUAAUAAAUAAUUGAAAAAAAUACGUGAAUAGUAGCCAAGAUUUUGGCUAUAAAUAAAGGGGCUCAUUCCCUCGUUUGCUCAUCCAAUUUUGACAAGAGUUUUCUUUUAUUUAGAGAGAGUUUAGAGAGCUUGAAAUUAUAACUUCUUGUUUUAGUGUUUUAAGAGUUUGGGUGUAUUGGGAUUUUGGGAAGUGAACUAAAAUAGUACAAUACUUGUAACUCCUUUUCAUUAGUAAAAUAUUUUCCUUCUGCCUUCGCCCGUGGAUGUAGGCUAAAAGUCGAACCACGUAAUUUCUGGUGUCCUCUUUUAUGUUUGUUCUUUAUUUUCUUCCAAUUUCAUUUUAGCUGUGGCCCUGCUUCACUCAUCAAUUUCCUAACAAACUCGUAUUAAUGUGUACUUACUUCAUUCAAGAUAUUAGUGUUUUUCUCUCUUUUUUUCUAAAAAAAAAAUUGAAAUGCCCCUUUUCGCAUUUUAUAGGUGAAGAAGAAACAUAAUAUCGCAGGACUAGAAUAAAGGAGCCUAUUCUGGUACCUAUUGUCCAAGGAAGCUUCUGUGCAUUGAGUCGGCACUGCCAUGGCAGUCAAAUGUUACCAGAGCCAGGCGGAGUCGUUCCUAAAGGAAUAUAUAUUAGCAUAUCCAUUUGUCCCGUACACUUCAAUUGUCGAUAGCAUUUUUGUUUGCAAGAUGGUAUGUUUUUUGUCGUUACUGCGUGGUGGUAUUUACUAGAAAAUAUUUUGAAUGCAUAGUUUUUAUUUAAUUAGUUAUAAAAUUUGUAUACCCUCUGUUUUCCAUAAGAAUUUGUUCCUUUUCAGGUCUAUUAUCUUGCCAAAUUGAUUAGUGUUGUUCAAUUUAAAUGUUAUUCUAGUUUCUCCAACAUACAGUGGGUCGAGUGGAGUAACAGGUGAUUGAAUAUUUUCAUUUAGUUCAUUUUUCAUUUCCUUUUCAAUCGGUAAAGUUUAAUCAUUUUCUUAAAUCGACAACUGAUGCAGGGCCAUAUCAACCGCCCAUGCCAUUUUUAUAACAGCAAUGUCUUUGUACUUUGUGUUUUGGUGGGAUCUAAGAGUUUCUUGGAUAAACAAUUGUGUAUCCUAUGAUCUAGGCAUGGUCGUUUGGACUGAACUAGUUUUAAAUAAAUAAUUGCCCAAGGAUUUAGUCUCAGUGUUACAGCCCAGUCUUUGUUGUCCAUACUCUUUCGCCCAUCGUGGAUGAGUGCCAUAACAGCUUCUUAAUGUUUUGAAGUGGCUUUUGCACGGUUGCUGUUUCCUUCUGAAGCUAUAGAGUAGCUAUGGAUAUAGCAGAUGCAGAUGCCACCAAUUUUUAUACUGGCCUUAUGAAAAGGAUCAAGCGGGAACUUAAAAGGAGGUGGAUUUGAAUGAAACACCCUUUAUGCAAGCCAAGAGACUCCAAUUAAGCCUGCAAGCUCUGCUUAAAACAGGUAUUUAUAUACGUUAUUAGUUUUUGUACCUUUACAAUUAGUGAUUUUUGUAUCAAAAGAGAGGUUAAUUUUUAGUACACAGGGGCGGCUCUUCCUCUAGACAACUGCCUAGAGCCCCACUAUAGAUGAAGACCCUAAAUUUUUCUCUAACAUUAUAGCUAUUAAAUUAUUCAUUUAUUUUUAUUUUUAUUUUUAUUAUUCUAUAAUAAUCUUUGUUCAAAUAAAUUAUCAAGUCCCUACCAAAUCUCUUUUUAACAUUGGAAUAAGCAAUGUUAAUCCUAUUUACUCCUACAAAAUCUCUACUUAAUGUUAUUUCAUUUAAAACUCCAUAAAAGUCACACAUUUGUUAACUUGUUAUCCAUUAAUAUUUUUAUCCAUAAAAAGAAAAAGCACGAGACAUUCAAUGCUUCAAUUCAUAAGGAAAAAAAGAAGCUUUUUUAAUUUUUACUUAAGAAAAAAAUUAACUAUUUCCAUUGACCGUUGCUGUUUAAAACUUCAAUCCAUCGAAAUUAGAGUUUCAAAUAUCCAAGUUUUUUCUUCCUAUUCUCUUCUUAAUCAGUUGUGUUAUUCAAUUGUUAUUGUUUCUUUUUUAAAUAUUAUUGUUGUUUUCUUUUAAUUAUCCAGCAUAAUUGCUUACUUGUUUUCUCUUCUUUCACUAAAAAAGAAAAAAAUGUCUAAUAGAAAAUGUGCAUCAAGAUACAAAAAACUUGGGAAAACAAAAAGAGAAGAAUAAAAAAGUUAGUUCGAUCUAAAAAAUGAGCUCUUGAUAAGUUUGUCAAAAAUAGUAAAAAAAAGAUAUGAAUUAUAGUGAAGAAUUAGUGAUUGAUGAAAUUUUUCAAAAUUAAAAUUAAUAAAAAUUUAUUUAAGAUCAAAUAAGUCGCAAGAAAAGUUAAUGAUUUAGCUAUAUUGAGAAGAAUGUAUUAGCGAAAUUAGAAAUAAAAAUUUGAGCAAUAAUUUUGCACCUAAGAAAGCUAGAAAAUUUGAUUUUAAAUAAAUAACUUUUUAGUAAAACAAAUACAUAUAUUUGACCUCAAAUUUUUUAAAAAGCCUAAUUAAAGCAAUUCAUCUAAGGCCCCAAAAUUAGUUGAGCCGCCCCUAUUAGUACAUUGAUAUCUCAACAAAAUGUUAGAACCUUUGUAGCACUAGAGACAUUUUCUUAGAGCAUUUACUGACCUUUCUAUGAUUGUAGUGGAGACAGGUCGACGCUACUUCCCUCAUUGCUCAGAAGUGGUUGAUAAGUUUUUGGAUUGUGAUUGGUCCGAUUCUUCCCUCCUAGAAAAGGGUACUCCUGAAGAGCAGAAACUCAAAAGGGCACGCUUCAUGGAACUUAAAGAAGACCUGAAGAAGGCAUUUUACAAGGACAUGGCUGAGAAAAAUCCGUCAGGUCUGUCGUCAUCUUCUCCGAAGGAAGGAGUAAAGUGUAAGGGUAGGCAAAGGUGAUGCUUAGCUGCUUGUCUUUGUUAUUCAUUUAUAGGCAACUAAAAGUGUUUUAGUGAGUUUGAUUGUUACUUGUAGAGAGAUACUCUUAGGGCCUAUGUUAUGGUUAUGUUGUAUAAUAGCAGAGAAACUUUAAGCAUGCAUUGUUGUAUUUUCCCAGAUAUUUGGCUUGUAAUACACCAAAUGACAAAGAAUUUUCUAUUUUUAGAGGGGAAAGUUAUGUCAGUUAAUUAUUUAUUUAUUUUGUCUGUCUAAUUCAGUUUACAUAGCUUUUUUUUUUUUUUUCCUUUCCAAAAGAAUCUGCAUAUCUUCAUCUGCAAUUUAAGUCAUUGGUAACUUCUUUCAAGGAGGAAGGGAAAAAAAAGCAUUUGUAAGUAUAUUUUACAGUACUGAUUUUCCUAAAAAAUUGGUUAAGGUGACAUUAAUGUUCUUUGAAAUAGAUAGAUAUGCAGAAUCUUCAUCGAAAUUGAAAUUAGAAAUGGAUGGAUAUGAGUGACUUAUAUUAAGAAUUUUUUAGUAGAAUGCUUAUACAAAAAUUUGUAGCUCAUUACUCUCUAGAAGGAAAAUAAAUUUUAGAUUGUAAAUAUUAAAUAUUAAAUUUAUAAUAUAAUAAAUGUGUGACUUAAGGUGUACAAUACCCAUAUAAUAAUCAUUAAGAAAAGAAAAAUCAAAUUUUGUAAAUUACCAAUUUUCUCUUGAAAUUUGAUAUUCUAUAUUAACGUAGGUGUUGCAUGGAGUGGGCUAGUACAACUGAAAGAAACUAACUAAAGUAAAACAAAAUAUCAGAAAAAUACGACGAGCUUCUCAUAUUUUUCAAGUAAAAAAAAAACUAAAAUUAAUUAUUUUUACAACCAAAUUCUGAUGCUUGAAGGUUGCUGGAAUUGACCAUUGUAAUUUUGUCAUCCUCGUUAUUCGCUGGCCAUCGUAGCCUUCCUCCAUUAAAAUGAGAGUUGUUUUUCGAACCACGACGUAAUAAAAAUAAUAUCGAUUAAUACUAAUAAAUCUAUUUUGAUUAUUUUGUAGUGUGAUGGUCUAGAAAGUAUCAGGACUUAUCCUAGCAUCCGAACAUGUGAUAAAAUUAUGCGAGUCUCUAUAAAAUACUAUUUAAAUUGUGUAUUAACUAGACAGUUCUAUGUAGAUAUUUCGUAUAUAUUUAUGGUAAUUGUUGAAAAAAAGAACGUAAAAUGAGAUUAAUGAACAUUCAUAAAUGUGGAAAUUAACACAACUAAGAUUUAUGAUGAAAUAAUUUUAUGUCAAAUGAGUGUAAGUGAAUGGAUGUUAAAAUAACUUGUAAUAUAUAUUUUUUGAACUGUUAUUUACACAAGUUUGUCACCAACAGUAAAUUAAAUUAUGAAUAUUUCAAUAAUUCAAGAUCUCAUUCGAUGUUUAUAGUAUUUGUCAGAGUACAAAAUUGUAAAUGGUCUCACCCUUCAUAGUAUAAUGCUAAACCUUUUCAAAAAUUUAUUCUAUUAUAGACGUAUUAGUCAGUUAUAUUAGAUUAUAGACGAAAUUGAAGAUAAAAAUAGUACUCCAUCUAUCAUACAUUACUUUCAAUUUUUUUUGUCAAAUUAUGAGCUGGUGAAAGGAUGCAACAAAUUACGUCAAACAUUGUAAAAUUUAUCAAUCACUAAAUAAAUAUCAUGUUAUAUGUGUGUGUGUGUGUCUCUCUCUCUAUCUAUCGAUAUAUAUAUAUAGGGGUGGGCAUAAACCCACAACCCAUGGGUUUAUCCAAACUCAAACCAAAUUAAAUGGUUUGGGUUGGGUAAAUCAUUAAAAUGGGUUAGAUGUGGGUUUUAUGUAGAAAACCAUUUCAUUAUGGUUUGGGUAUGGUUUACCCAUGGGUUAUGGACAAAACCCCAACACUCAAAUUUUCAAAUGAAAUAAAUGAAAACAAAAUAAAUGAACACAAAUAAGUGAAAAACCACCAUUAAAUUUUUUACAGCGUGAUCAAUUGUCAACAGUUAGAAAAUGAAAAUAACAGUAAAAAUAAAUUUAAAUUAAAUAAAUAUUGUUGUAAAUAACAUAAAUUUUUUUUCUUAUUUACAAAAAUAAUUCCUCCCACAUGGAAGGAUCAUCAUAGAAAGAGCAGGAGACUCUACUAAUGAUCAAUAAUAACUCGGCUUAGACUGGGUCCGAUAUGCUAGAUGGCGGCUAAUUUUUUGUCAAUAAUUGAAUGUAAUGCCCAUAUUAAGUAUUAAAACAAGAAAUAUAUGUUUUGAUAUGAGCAGAAAAAUUAAUAAUAAAAUUUUUUCUUGUAAUUAUUUAUUUUGUGAACAUUUUCUUAUAAUAAAUAUUUUGUAAUAUUUUAAAAUUAAAUGUAAAAAGUAUAGGUAAAAUAUUUUAUUAUUUAUCUUAUAAUAAAUUUUUAUUUGUCAAUCAAGUUUUCUUAUAAUAAUUUUUUUAUCAUUUGACUAAUAAUUUUCUUAUAUAUUUAUUAUAAGAAAAUUUUCACAAAAUAAAUAAGUAUAAAAAAAUUUUAUUAUUAAUUUUUUUGUUCAUAUCAAAACAUAUAUUUCUUAUUUUUAAUGUUUUAUUUUUUAUUUAGUUUCUAUUCAUGUGAUUUAUUUAAUUUAGAAUAAAUAUAAAUAAAAGAGUAGUUGAAAAUAAGGGUAAUAUUGUAAACGUAUACUAUUAGAGGAGUUUUUGGCCAUUAUAAAAGCAGAAGGGGGAAAAAUAAUAUAUAUUGAUUACUGUAGGGGGGAAACUGACAAUCUCCCUAAAAUUAAACAUAUAAGUAGACAAUAUAACGCAAAACUACCAAAACGAUAAAUAAAAACAAAUAUUGCAUAAUUAAAUAAAUAACAAGUGGUAAAAUUUAUUAUUAAAUUGUUAAUGUCAUGUUUGUGAAAGUUUAUUAUUAAAGUGUACUUUCUUAUUUAUUGAGAAAUAAUAAUUUUUGUGAUUAAACUUUAUUUUGAUUUUCUAGUAUUCUUUAAUUUAAGGAUUAAGUUUUUGUAAAAUUUAUAAUUUUUAUCCACUAUAUUUUUUUAUAUUUUAAUAUUAAUUUAAUAAUUAAUAACAAUUAAUAAUUAUUAUAAUUUUGAUAUAAUUAAAUUUUAUUAAAAUAAAAACUAUUUUGAUAAUAAAAUUCAAACCAAACCCAAACCAAACCCAAAUGGUUUGGUUUGGUUUGGGUUAAAAAUAUUUGGGUUGGUUUGGGUUGGAUCCAAAUUUUUAUGGUUUGGUUUGGGUUGACUUAAAAUCCAACCCAAACCAACCCAUGCCCACCCCUAUAUAUAUAUAUAUAUAUAUAUAUAUAUAUAUAUAUAUAUAUAUUAUACAAAAUCUGAUUCUCAUGAACUAAAAGGACAGGCUUUGGAUGAUGUAUCAUACUCAAAAAUCUAUUUUUAUUAAUGAUUAUACUAACAUUUAAAGGUGUCUGUAAGCUAUAUUAUAUAUUUACUAAUUACUGUUAAGCUUACACUGCUUCCUUCUCAGAAAAUCAUCUUUUGGCUUUUUCUAUUUUUAUGCUUUUUAAAAGUUUUUUCAAGAUUUUUUUUUUAUUGCUUUACCAAGUGGGCAGUUAAAAAAUCUUUUUUUUUUUUUUUUUGUGUGUUGCUUUUGAUAGAAACAUAUGAUUCACCUCUGUUUCUUCGAUGCUUGCUUGCUUCAUGAUUGGUCAACUUGGGUCAAACUUUCAUCUUUAAAUCACAUAGGUAGAUCAUGAUUCAAGCUUCAGUUAUAAGCCUUUCAUUGUGACUGAUAUCAUUCUUUCUUGAUGUACAUAUAUAUAUAGAUUCAGUUUGAAUGUGGUCCUUGAUAGUUUCAUGGAAAAUGCAAACGAAAUGUCAGCAUCUUUGAGUUUUGUCUCAUCAUAUCCGUCUAGUUGGUCUACUAAUCAACCAACAGGCUCUGAAACUUGCUCUGAUCUUGAUAAUUUGAACUUAAGGAGGCAAAGCAGCAAUCCUGAAGAGCCAUUGCUUGAUGCUGAGAUUGUUGUUGAGGGCAAAUCAGUGGCAGUUAAUCGCUGCAUAUUGUCUGCACACAGUCAAUUUCUUCAUUGGCUAUUUAAUUUGAGAAAUGAUGGUUCUGUGAGUGAGGGGAAACCCAAGUAUCUUAUGACUGAUUUGGUGCCUUAUGGGAAGGUUGGAUAUGAAGCUUUCAAUGAUAUCUUGCAUUAUCUUUACACUGGGAAGGUUAAGCCAUCUCCUCUAGUAGUGUCCACGUGUGUUGACGAUGCUUGUGCUCAUGAUGCUUGCCCUCCUGCUGUCAAUUAUGCUAUUGAGUUGAUGUAUGCUUCUGCUGCUUUUCAGAUGAAAGAACUCGUUUUGCUUUUGCAGGUAAUUGUGCUUCCCUGCUAUUUGUAUUGCUUAAAUUUAUGCUUCUUGGUAUAGUUUUAACAUUUCGGUAUAGUUUUAACAUUUAUGGAAUUGAAAUCAAUUUCAAUUGUGCGAAAGCAAGUAAAUGUGAAGCAACUUCAGUGAUUCGCAAUAUUAGUCAUCGCAGGAGAUCCAAAAUUUGUAGAUACUGUAGAAUUGUAGAGCCCAAAACUUCAUCUUAUCUUGCAAGAGUUUGUUGUUUUAUUUUCAAAUAGACAAAAAAAAAAUGAUGAUGGGCAGCGAACUCUAGGGAUCAAUGCUUGCUGACCCUGACACCCAAUGCUUGAUGUCUAGCUUGCUUAUUUUUCCAACAAUGACACUACCUUUCUAGUAAAUGAAAUAUUAUUCUACAUCUAUGUAUUGGAACUUUGACAAACUUCGGUUUUCCUUUGUUGAUUCACUGGUCUCACUUUUAUUCAAUUGCCCGAUUAUGAAAUGGUCUAUUGGAGACUAGAAAUGGAAGGUUUCUUGUGGAAAAAGUUUUACUUGACCACCGAUUUUCAUUUUGGUGGGUGUCAGCGCAUGCUCUGGCUUGACUAUUCUGUUAUUUAGGCUGUUUUAUCUGAUCUUCUCACUCACUUGAUAGUUAGUUCUCUCAUGCUUCCAAGCUCAAAGAUUAAUGCAAGAGAUUCUCUUUUUCCCCUCUAGACUAUAACCUAUCAAAUCAUUAAUGCUAUAGAAUAACAUCUUGUGUAGGCGGGCUUAUGUCUCUGAACAUUUGUCCAUCGGCAUUUGCAAUAAGCAUGGCCCUGAUUUUUCGUCUCAUUAUUAUUUUCCUACCCAGAUUGUCCCCUUUAAGUAGCAUAUUGAAGGAGAGCAACAUUCUUAUAUAUGUUUUAUGAUGUUUACCAAUAAUUACCCACCACGGGGUAUUUAAAUUUUGAAUGUAUUAUUCUGACUCAAAACUCUAUCUGUCGGUGUAGCUUCAGCUUCUGAACUUUGUUGAGAAGGCUGUUGUGGAAGAUGUAAUCCCAAUCCUUGUGGCUGCCUUGCAUUGCCACCUGAACCAGCUUCGUUCUCUCUGCAUCCAGAGAGUUGUAAGGUCAAAUCUUGACAAUAUAUAUCUCGAGAAAGAGCUUCCUGAGGAAGUUUCAAGUGAAAUCAAAUCAAUCCGCAUCAAAUUUCACCAGGAGUCCGAAGAUAAUGCAGCAGAAGUAGACCCUGUGCAUGCAAAAAGAGUCAGAAGAAUCCACAAGGCACUGGACUCUUAUGAUUUUGAACUGCUGAAUCUUCUUCUGAAUGAAUAUGAAGUCACUUUAGAUGAUGCUUAUGCUCUGCACUAUGCCGCUGCCUACUGCAGCCCUAAUGUUUUUGUGGAAGUGCUCAGUAUGGGCUUGGCUGAUCUCAAUCUUAAGGAUGCAAGAGGUCAUACGGUGCUUCAUGUGGCUGCACUGCGUAAGGAGCCAGCAGUGCUGCUGGCCCUGCUGAGCAAGGGAGCAUGCGCAUCAGAAACUACAUCAGAUGGACAAACAGCUGUAGCAAUCUGUCGGAGAAUGACAAGGCGAAAGGAUUAUAUUGAAGCUUCGAAGCAGGGGCAGGAAAUUAACAAAGACCGGUUAUGCAUUGAUGUCCUAGACAACUUCAUGUCUGGGAACUUGACAAUGUCAUCCGAGGUGAUGGAUGAUGAUUUCCAAAUGCAGCUGAACAAUCUGGGAAAUAGAGGUGAUAUUCCUUUAUUGGUAUUAGUAAAUCAUCUUCUCAGAGUUUGUGUGUUCCUUCAUCUUAGCAUGUCAAACACACAUGGGCUCAUUGCUUGGGGCCAGUCAUGUGAUUUUUUCCACUUUUUUCGAAUAGACAAUUGUGAAUCCAUUUGAUCUACGUUUGGUGGUUUGCACUGAACUAGUUUUUGAUAAAUAAUUGUACAAGACUUUGUCAUCAAAACUAUUUCAUUUCCAAAAGUAAUGAGGGACAAAAAAAUUUAUGCCUAUCCUGGAUGAGUGCCAUAACAGCUUCUUAAUAUUUUGCAGUGGCUUUUGCACGGUUGUUGUUUCCUUCUGAAGCUAUAAUAGCUAUUCGUAUAGCAGGUGCAGAUACCACCAAUUUUAAUACUGGCCUUUCAGCAUUAAAUCCUAUAGGACUGAGUUGGAACUUGAAGGAGGUUGAUUUGAGUGAAACGCCUUUGCAAACUCUGCUUAAAACAAGUGUUUAUGUACUUUAUUAACUUUUACACCUUUCUAUUUACUGAUUAUCUUUAUAAUUAAAUAAUACAUGUAUCAAGGUUUCUCCUUACAUUUCAUUAGAAGUGAAUUGGAAUCUCUUCAUGGUGCUCUGUUAGGUGUAAUGAGAUGUAGCAAAAGAGAAAGGGUAAUUGUUAGUGCAUUGAUAUCUCAACAGAAUGGUAGAACCUUUCUUUAUAUCACUAGAGACAUUUGUUGUAGGGAUGCCUCCAUAAUCAGUGUGCUUUAAAACUUUCCAGGAGUUAGCUACGCCUACCUCCGGACCUAAGGCGUGACACACAGACCCAAUUAGUGCCUAAAACACAUAUCGAAUCUGAGCAAAACUAAAUGCUUGUAAAUCCAAAUCUCCAAAAUAUCAAAAGCUCAUCUACUUUCUCUUUUCAUGGAUUUCACCAAAUGUUUUUAAAAAUUCAUUCUCAAUCAUAAACUAUGCGCAUCUAAAUAAUCACCAUAUCAAUAUACAACAAUACUUCCUCAUAAGCAAAUAAAUCUUACAUUCCUCUUCUUACAUGAUUUAAAAAAAAAAAAACUUUUAGAAGUCCCCUAAAUACGAACAUAAACAGAAUUCAGCUGCUAAAACUAUGCAAACACAAGCUUCAAUCAGUAAUACAUACGACUAAUUAUUAAAACAUCUAGCUAGAAGCCUUACAGAAGCUCAAUCCUUCCGAAGCUUGUUUCCAAAGAACCUUCAAAUUAAUAAUCGCUACUAUCUGCGAAAAAUAAUUGAUAAUGGGGCAGUUGUUAAUAAGUAAUUAAGUAGAACCAUUCAUAACGAACGAAAAGAAUUCUUUGCGCAAUAUUUUCAGAAAAUUCAUUUAACUUUUCAAAUGAAUCAGAGUAAUUUUUCAAACGCAGUCAGGAUUUGUGUCAACAUAAACGUUUGAGACAGAAGCUUUUUGGAACAUAAAUUUUGCUUUUAAUAUAAAGUUAUACGUUGGUUUGAUUUUAAAGGGAGGUUAUUGGGAAGUUAAAAUGCACAGUUGUGGUAACAGGGUAAUAGCAGUUAUAAAAUCUCUUUUAAAACAAAUUCGAAUCAAGUUUCAAAUUUAGGAAGUAUUUAAUUCAAUAAAAUAAAGAAUAAAUAAAGUUUUCGUUGAAGCGAAACUAAGUAGAUUCAUUUAAAGCAAAACAGGAUGCGAGAAUUACAUAAGGGUUCUUGACCCUACCAUGCAGUCAGAUAUCUGGCACCUUGUUAGCACUUGAUUGUGCCAUGUUCUCCACAGCCAGAUAUCUUGUUCUUCAUUAUUUCCUAGACAUCUUUGGAUAAGGAACCCUAAGCCUAUUGAGAAUAAAUUCUGUAAACCAAGACUCUCUUCAGUUCUUUCAUUUGUGGCUAAUUAGUUAUAAGAUUUGUGAAUUUCCUGCCCCAUGGCCCCUGCAAAAUGCAUUUUAUAUCCUUAAGAUGCCAAUGGUUGAAUUGAAAUACUAAAAACCGGAAAACAGACUUAAUGAGAUGUUUAGAAUUUUCUUAGAGCAUUUGCUGAACUUUUUGUGAUCGCAGUCGAGAGGGGUCGACGCUACUUCCCUCAUUGCUCAGAGGUGGUUGAUAAGUUUUUGGAUUGUGAUUGGCUCGAUGCUUCCCUUCUAGAAUCAGAUGCUCUGGAAGAGCAGAAACUUAAAAGGGCACGCUUAAUAGAACUUGAAGAAGAUGUGCAGGAGGCAUUCUGCAAGGACAUGGCUUAUGACAAUCGUUCAGGGCUGCCAUCCUCCUCGUCGGCAUUUUACGAUUACAUGGCUGAGAACAAUCGUUCAGGCAUGCCGACAUCCUCCGCAUCGAGCAAUUAAGCAUCACCUUUUCCAGGAAGUGAUACUUCGACGCCCGGGAAACUAGAAGAGUUUAGUGAGCUCGACUGGUACUUGAGAGAUGGUCAGAGCCUAUGUUAUGGCUAUGUAUUGUCUAGUAGCAGAGAAUAUAUUAAUGAAUGAUGGAUGACUUUCUUGUGACUCUUUGAUGCAAUCAUGUAACGAUUUGAGUAAUGCUAACAUUAUCUCAUAUAUAUAUAUAUAUAUAUAUAUAUAUAUUUUUUUUUUUUUUUUUUUGAGUGAUCUGACAUUCAUCAAUUAGAUUGUAAAAUUAUUAUAUUGUUUCAAGUCCAGUGAGACACAACUUAUAACAUUGAUGGAAUGAAUCGCAUUAUUCAUAAACUCAUUUCAUAAAAUAUUUUUAUAUAAAAUUGUAUAAUUUAUAGGCUAUGCUUAAAAAGUUAAGAAAAAAAAAAAGGGUGUACUACAAUUGGGAUGAGGCAUGCAUGAGUAGUCACAUUAGUUGCUGAACAAACUUUGCCUUUUUAAUUUUGGAUACAUUACUAUCUCAAAUUUUCUAUUAUCAGUAAAUGAGAUUAAGAUAAUCUUUUUUUUUAAAAAAAAAAAAAGAGAGCUGGAGAUUCUUUUUUCCUUAAAAAAAUGAAGAAAAAUUUAGAAAGUUGUGAGAGGGGGAGAAAUAAAGUAAUUAUAUUCACAAAUAUAAUGUGUUUAAGGUGUAUUUGGCACACUGUAUUGUAUUAUGCCGUAUUGCAUUAUUUUAAUGCAGGUGUAUUGUAUUAUUAUGUAUUGUUUUAGCACUGUAUUAUAAUAAUGUUAUACAACGUUUGGUGCUACACUGUACUGUAUUAAUUUUUUGUGAUUAACUUAAAUAAUAUAUUUAGAAAAUAAUAUUUAUUAGUACCUAGAAAAAUACUAAAUAUAUAAGUCUUAAAUUUUAAAAAUUUAACAUUAUUUUUUAGUAUAGAUGUUAAAAAAUAUCACAAUUUUUUGUAAAGAUCGAAACUUAUAGCCUUAUAUUUUUGACAAUGUAACAUUGAUUUUUCAGUAUUUCCUAAAUAUAUAACAUGUGAAAUAAAGAUCGAAGUAAAUAAUUUAAUCAAAUAAUCUCUAAAUAAUAUCAUAACUUAAUGAUAUUUUAUGUUAUUAUUUUUAUUGGUAUUAAUUUUAAAUUAAUAUUAUUUAAAUUUAUUCAUACAUAAAUAUUUAUUGUUAGUUAUAUUAAAUUUUUAAAUAAUAAUCAAUUUUUAUAUAUUAAUUAUUAUAAAAUUAAAUAAUGCAUUAUUUAGUUAUAUUUUUAAUAUAAUGAAAAUUAAAAUAUGAAUAAUAAAUAAUAAAAUUAUUAAUUUAUUUCAAUAAUUAUGAUGUGAACAGUGUUAUAAUAUACUAUAAUCACAUGCACCAAACACACCCUUAAUGCGGCAAUACAAACUAAUAAAUUAUAAUUUAUAAGAUUAGUUUAUAGAAUCUUACAUAUAAAAUUAUAUCCUCUAAAUAAAAAUAUUCACACCUGUUUUGACUUCUCAUUUAGAUGUUCUUUCUAAAGUCCCUCUAGCGAUAAACACAUUUUUAUAAAACAAAACAGAAAAAAUUAUAUAUAAUUGUUCAUAAGGACUAUUUGUACAUAGUACACAAUUGGCCACUAAAAUUAUUUGAGGAGAAAAGUUAUAUGAGAUGGAUUCAUCAUAUUAUCAGUAUUUAUUAGCAGAUCCAUUUGUCUCGUACACUUCAAUUGUUGGUAGCAUUUUUGUUUGCAAGAUGGUAUGUUUUUCGUCGUUACUGCGAGGUAGUAUUUACUAGAAAAUAUUUUGAAUGCAUAGUUUUUAUUUAAUUAGUUAUAAAAUUUUUAUACCCUCCGUUUUCCAUAAGAAUGUGUUCCUUUUCAGGUAUUCAUAUGCCUUAUUAGUUUUUGUACCUUUACAAUUAGUGAUUUUUUUAUCAAAAGAGAGAGGUUAAAUUUUAGUACAUUGAUAUCUCAGCAAAAUAUUAGAACCUUUGCACCACCAGAGAUAAUUUCUUAGAUCAUUUACUGAGCUUUCUAUGAUUGCAGUUGAGACGGGUCGACGCUACUUCCCUCAUUGCUCGUUUUUGGACUGUGAUUGGUCUGAUGCUUCCCUCCUAGAAAAUGGUACUCCUGAAGAGCAGAGACUCAAAAGGGCACGCUUCAUGGAACUUAAAGAAGACGUACAGAAGGCAUUUUACAAGGACAUGGCUGAGAAAAAUCGUUUAGGUUUGUCGUCUUCUCCAAAGGAAGGAGUAAAGUGUAAGGGUAGGAAAAGGUGAUGCUUAGCUACUUGUCUUUUGUUAUUCAUUGCUAGGAGACUAAGAGAGUUUUACUGAUUUUGAUUGUUACUUGUAGAGAGAUACUCUUAGAGCCUAUGUUAUGGCUUAUGUUGUAUAAUAGCAGAGGAACUUCAAGCUUGCAUUGUUGUAUUUUCCCAGGUAUUUGGCAUGUAAUAUAUACUAAAUGACAAAGAAUUUUCUAAUUUUAGAGGGAAAAAAUAUGUCAGUAAAUUAUUUGUUUAUUUUAUCUGUUUAAUUCAGUGUAUAAUAUAGCUUCUUUUUUAAAAAAAAAAAAUCUCCAUAUCUUCAUCUGCAAACUCAGUCAUGUGCAACUUCUUUCAGGGAGAAAAGAGGGAAAAAAAAAGGCAUUUGUACCUGUAUUUUACAGUAGUGACCCUCAUACAGAAAUUGGUUAAGAUGGCAUUAAUGCUCUUUGAAAUAAAUAGAUAUGCAGAAUUUUCAUCGAAAUUGAAAUUAGAAAUGGAUGGAUAUGAAUGAUAUAUAUGCAGAAUUUUUAACAGAAUUUUUAUACAAAAAUUUGUAGCUAAUUACUCCCCGAAGAAAAAUUUUCAAUUGUAGAUAUUAAAUUUUAAAUUUAUACUAUAAUAAAUGUGACUUAAGUUGCACAGCACCCAUAUAAUAAUAAUAAUUAAGAAAAGAAAAUUUAAAUUUUGUAAAUUACCAAUUUUUUAAAAUUAAUUAUUUUUAUACCCAAAUUCUCAUGCUCGACGGCCGCUGGAAUUGGCUAUUGUAAUUUUGUCAUCCUCAUUAUUCACUGGCCAUUUUUGGACCACGACAUAAUAGAAAUGACAUAGAUUAAUACUAAUAAAUUUCUUUUGAUUAUUUUGUAGUGUGAUGAUCUAGUGAGUAUCAGUGUCCAUCAUAGCACCUGAACAUAUGAUAAAAUUUGUGAUUUUCUGUAAAAUAGUAUUUAAAUUGUGUAUUAACUAGACAACUCUAUGUAGACCACCGCUCACUAAAUCAUUACUUUAUUUUGUAUAUGUUUAUGACAAUUGUUGAAGAAAAAUAUAAAGUGAGAUUAAUGAACAUUCAUGAAUGUGGGAAAUUAACACAACUAGGAUUUAUGAUGAAAUAAUUUUAUGUCAAAUGAGUGUAAGUGAAUGGAUGUUAAAAAAACAUGUAUAUAUUUUUGAAUUGUUAUAUAUACAAGUUUGUCACUAACAGUAAAUUAAAUUACGAAUAUUUUAAUAAUUUAAAAUCUCAUUCAACCAUAGCUAUUUAUAGUGUUAUUUGGAGUACCAAAUUGUAAAUAGUCUCACUCCUAAUAGUAUAAUGCUAAACAUUUUCAAAAAUUUAUUUUAUUAUAAUCGUCUUAGUCGGUUAUAUUUAUAUCCAAAUUGAAGAUUAAAAUAGUACUUUAUAUAUCAUACAUUACUAAAAGAAUUUUUUUUUCUUAAUCACGUCUAAAAUUGUAAAAUUCAUCAAUCAUCAAAUAAAUUAAAUAUCAUGUCUCCUGGGCUUAAAAUAUAGGCUUUGAAUGAUGUAUCGUACUCAAAAAUCUAUUUUUAAUUAAUUAUUAUAGGAACGUUUAAAUGUAUCUCUAAGCUAUAUUAUAUAGUUGCUAAUUACUAUUAAGCUUGCACUUCUUCCUCCUCAGAAAAGCAUCUUUUGGCUUUUUCUAUUUUUAUGCUUUUUUGGAAAUUUUUUUUUCAAGAUAUUUUUUUAUUGCUUUACCUAGUGGGCAAUUAAAAAAUCUAUAUAUAUAUAUAUAUAUAUAUAUAUAUAUAUAUAUUUUUUUUUUUUUUUUUGCUUUUGAUAGAAACAUAUGAUUCCCCUCUGUUUCUUUGAUGCCUGCUUGCUUCAUGACGGGUGAACUUGGGUCAAACUUUCAUCUUUAAAUCACAUAGGUAGAUCACGAUUCAAGCUUCAGUUAUAAGCCUUUCAUUCUUUCUUGAUAUAUAUAUAUAUAUAGAUUCAGUUUGAAUAUGGUUCUUCAUAGUAUCACGGAAAAUGCAAACGAAAAGUCAGCAUCUUUGAGUUUUGCCUCAUCGUAUUCGACUUGUUGGUCUACUAAUCAAUCAACAGGCCCUGAAAUUUGCUCUGAUCUUGAUAAUUUGAACUUAAGGAAGCAAAGCAGCAAUCCUGAAGAGCCAUGGCUUGACGCUGAGAUUGUUGUUGAGGGCAAAUCAGUGGCAGUUAAUCGCAGCAUAUUGUCUGCGCACAGUCAAUUUCUUCAUCGGCUUUUUAAUUUGAGAAAUGAUGGUUCUGUGAGUGAGGGGAAACCCAAGUAUCUUAUGACUGAUUUGGUGCCUUAUGAUCGGAAGUUUGGAUUUGAAGCUUUCAAUGAAAUCUUGUAUUAUCUUUACACUGGAAUGAUUAAGGAAUCUCCUUCAGAAGUGUCCACGUGUGUUCAUGAUGCUUGUGUUCAUAGUACUUGCCCCCCUGCUAUUAAUUAUGCUAUUGAGUUGAUUUAUGCUUCUGUUGCUUUUCAGAUGACAGAGCUCGUUUCGGUUUUUCAGGUAAUUGCGCUUCCCCGCUAUUUGUAUUGCUUAAAUUUAUGCUUCUUCGUAUAGUUUUAACAUAUAUGGGAUUGAAAUCAAUUUCAGUUGUCACUUGCAAAGACCCAAAGAAUCGAAGCAAGUAAAUGCGAAGCAACUUCGAUGGUUCGCAAUAUUAGGCAUUGUAGUAGAUCCAAAAUUAGCUUGUUAAAAGUGUAGAGAGCCCAAAACUUCGUCUUAUCUUGCAAGAGUCUGUUGUUUUAUUUUGACAGAGACAAAAAUGAUGAUGAUGGGCAGCAAACUCUAGGAAUCAAUGCUUGCUGACACUGACACCCAAGAAUGAUAACAACUAACCAAAAAGGUAUAGAUUACAUGAGUCUGAAUUUGAUAGGUGCACCUAUCCUAUCGCAAAAAGCUUUUGCGUUGAGUUUCUAACCAAGGAAAAUUGUCACUUCUGUCUGUAGGCUUCAUAGAUUUGUUCAAGCCUUCAAGGAUGUCUAGCUGUUACUUACUGUCCAACAACGGCGCUACAUUUCUAGUGAAUGAUAUGUUAUUCUACCUCUGCAUAUUGGAACUUUGACAAACUUCGCCUUUCCUUUAGUUGAUUCACUCGUCUCACUUUUAGUAAAUUGCCUGAUUAUGAAAUGGUCUAUUGGAGACUAGCAUUGGAAGGUUUCUUCUAGAAAAAAUUUUACUUGACCACCAAUUUUCAUUUCGGUGGGUGUCAGUUCAUGUUCUGGCUUGACUGUUCUGUUAUUUAGGUUGUUUUAUCCGUAUUUUCUCACUCACUUGACAGUUAGUUCUCUCAAGCUUUCAAGCUCAACAGUGAAUGCGAGAGAUUCUCUUUUUCCUGUCCAGGUUAUAGCCUAGCAAAUCAUUAAUGCUUUAGAAUAACAUGUUGGGUAGGUUAGCUUAUGUCUCUGAACAUUGGUCCAUCGGCAUUUAGGUUUGAUAAGCAUGACACUGAUUUUCCGCCUCAUUAUUAUUUUCCUGCACAGAUUAUCCCCUUUAAGUAUUUGAAUUUUGAAUAUAUUAUUCUGAAUCAAAACUCUAUUUGUCCGUGUAGCAUUUUAUAUAUGCUUUAUUAUGUUUACCAAUAAUUACCCACUAUGGGGCAUUUGAAUUUUGAAUAUGUUAUUCUCAAUCAAAGCUCUAUCUGUCCAUGUAGCUUUGGCUUCUGGAAGUGGUUGAGAAGGCUCUUGUGGAAGAUGUAAUCCCAACUCUUGUGGCUGCCUUGCAUUGCCAACUGAACCAGCUCCGUUCUUACUGGAUCCAGAGAAUUGCAAGGUCAAAUCUUGACAAUGUUUGUCUCGAGAAAGAGCUUCCUGAUGAAGUUUCAAGUGAAAUCAAAUCACUCCGUGUCAAAUCUAACCAGGAGUCUGAAGCUAAUAUAGCAGAAGUGAAUCCUAUAAAUGCAAAAGUAGUUAGAGGAAUCCACAGGGCACUGGACUCUGGUGACGUUGAACUGUUGAAGCUUCUUCUGGAUGUAUCUAAUGUCACUUUGGAUGAUGCUUAUGCUCUGCACUAUGCUGCUGCCUACUGCAACCCUAUGGGUUUUAAGGAAGUGCUCAAUAUGGGCUUGGCUGAUCUCAAUCUUAAGGAUGCAAGAGGACGUACGGUGCUUCAUGUAGCUGCAAGGCAUAAGGAGCCAGCAGUGAUGGUGGCCCUGCUGAGCAAGGGAGCAUGCGCAUCAGAAACUACAUCAGAUGGGCAAACAGCUUUAGCAAUCUGUCGAAGAAUGACAAGGUGAAAGGAUUAUAUUGAAGCUACAAAGCAGGGACAGGAAACUAACAAAGACCGGUUAUGCAUUGAUGUCCUUGAGAGAGAAAUGAGAAGGAACUCCAUGUCUGGGAACUUGGCAAUGUCAGCAGAAGUGAUGGAUGAUGAUUUCCAAAGGAAGCUGGACUAUAUGGAAAGUAUAGGUGAUAUUUCUUUACUGGUAUUAGUUCAUCACCUUCUCAGAGUUUGUGCAUAGCACACUUCUUUCUACUGUUUUUUUGUCCCUUCAUCUGGAAAAUAAAGGUGAUAUUCCUUUGCUGGUAUUAGUAAAUCAUCUUCUCAGAGUUUGUGUGUCCCUUCAUCUUAGGAUCUCAAACACACAUGGGCUCAUUGCUUGGAGCACACUGUUGGCCAGUCGUGUGAUUUGAUCCCUUUUUUGGAAUAGACAACUCUGAAUCCAUCUAAUCUAGGCUUGGCGGUUUGCACUGAACUGGUUUUUGAUGAAUAAUUGCACAAGACUUUGUCAUCAAAACUUUUAUUUUUUGGUUUUUUUGCCCCAAAAGUAAUGAGGUACAAAAAAAUCUAUGCCUAUCCUGGAUGAGUGCCAUAACAGCUUCUUAAUAUUUCGCAGUGACUUGUGUACGGUUGUUUCCUUCUGAAGCUAGAGUAGCUAUGGAAAUAGCAGGUGCAGAUACAACCACUGGCCUUUCAGCAUUUGGUCGGAAAGGACUUAGUGGGAACUUAAAGGAGGUUGAUUUGAAUGAAACGCCCUCUAUGCAAGCCAAAAGAUGCCAAUUGAGACUGCUCACUCUGCUUAAAACAGGUAUUUAUAUACUUUAUUAACUUUUGCACCUUUCUAUUUACUGAUUAUCUUUAUAAUUAAAUAAUACAUGUAUCCAGGUUUCUCCUUCCAUUUCAUUAGAAGUAAAAUUGGAAUCUCUUUAUAGUGCUCUGUUAGGUGUAAUCAGAUGUAUCAAAAGAGAAAGGGUAAUUGUUAGUACAUUGACAUCUCAACAAAAUGGUAGAACCUUUCUUUAUACCACUAAAGACAUUUGUUGCAGGUAUGCCUACAUAAUCGGUGUCCUUUAAAACUUUCAAGGAGUUAGCAAUGCCUAACCCUUGAAACACUAAAUCUCACGGGAUCAACUUUUUACCUCUAGACCGAAGGUGUGCACCCAGACCCAAUUAGGACUUAGAACACAUAUCGAAUCUGAGCGAAACUAAAUGCUUGUAAAUCCAAAUCUCCAAAAUAUCAAAAGGUCGUCUACUUUCUCUUUUCAUGAAUUUCACAAAAUUUUGAAAAAUUUAUUCUCAAUCAUAAACUAUGCGCAGCUAAUUAAUCAGUAUAUCAGUAUACAACAAUACUUCCUCGUAAGCAAAUAAAUCUUACAAUCCUUCUUACAUGAUUUAAAAAAAAAAAAUACUUCUAUAAGUCUUCUAAAUACAAACAUAAACUGAACUCAACUGCUAAAACUAUGCCAAAAUACAAGCUUCAAUCAGUAAUACACGCGACUAAUUAUUAAAAACAUCUAGCUACAAACCUUAUGAAAGCUCAAUCCUUCCGAAGCAUUCUUAGAAUUAAUAAUUUCUACUAUCUGUGAAAAAUAAUUGACAAGGGGUCAGCUGUUAACUCAAUCCGUAGAAACAUUCAUAACGAACAAAAAGAAUUCUUUGUGCAAUAUUUUCAGAAAAUUCAUUUAACCUUUCAAAUGAAACAGAGUAAUUUUUCAAACACAGUCAGGAUUUAUAUAAAACAUAAACGUUUCAGACAAGCUUUUUGGAACGUAAAUUUUACUUCUUUGAACAGAAAGUUAUACAUUAGUUUGAUUUUAAAGGGAGGUUAUUGGCAAGUUAAAAUUGGCAGUUGUGGUAAAAGGGUAAUAGCAGUUAUAAAAUCUCUUUUAAAACAAAUUCAAAUCAGGUUUUAAAUUUUAGGAGUACUUAAUUCAAUAAAAUAUAGAAUAAAUAAAGCUUUCAAUGAAACAAAACUAAGUAAAUUCAUUUAAAGCAAAACAGGAUGCGAGCAUUACCUAAGGGUUCUUGACCAUACUAUGUUUACCCGCAGUCAGAUAUCUGGGACCUUGUUAUUUGGAGACAAGACUUGAUUGUGCCAUGUUUUCCACAGCCAGAUAUCUUUUACUUCAUUAUUUCCUAGACAUCUGUGGAUAACAGAACCCUAAGCCUAUUGAGAAUAAAUUCCGUAAUCCAAGACUCUUCAGUCCUUUCAUUUGUGGCUAAUUAGUUAUAAAAUUUGUGAAUUUCAUGCCCCACGCCCCUUGCAAAAUGUAUUUUAUAUCCUUAAGAUGCCGGUGGAUGAACUGAAAUAAUAAAAAAUGGAAAACAGACUUAAUGUUGAUAGCAUUUCUUAAGAAAAACUUGGGAUGUUUAUAAUUUUCUUAGAGCAUUUGCUGAACUUUCUGUGAUCGCAGUCGAGACGGGUCAACGCUACUUCCCUAAUUGCUCAGAAGUGGUUGAGAAGUUUAUGUUUUUCAACCCCGCUAAUUGCUCAGAAUUGGUUGAUGAGUUUUUGGAUUGUGAUUCGGCCGAUGCUUCCCUCCUAGAAAAGGGUACUCCGGAAGUGCAGAAACUCCAAAGGGCAUGCUUCAUGAAACUUAAAGUAGAGAUGCCGGAGGCAGUCUGCAAGGACAUGGCUUAUCACCAUCGCUGAGGGCUGCCAUCAUCCUGGUCGGCAUUUUACAAGUACAUGGCUGAGAGCAAUCGUUCAGGUAUGCCGGCAUCCUCGGCAUUGAGCAAUUAAGCAUCACCUUUCCCUAAAAGAUGUGUUUGACACCUGGGACACUAAAAGAGUUUAGUGAGCUCGAUUGGUACUUGUGGAGAUACCCAGAGCCUAUGUUACGGCUAUGUAUUGUCAAGUAGCAGAGAAAUUUUAAUGAAUGAUGGAUGAUUUUCUUGUGACUCUUUUGGUAACAAUCAUGUAACGAUUUCAGUAAUGUUAACAUUAUGGCAAUUUUCUUUUUCUUCAAGUAA
rnacentral:lncRNA from 1 species